AAGUACUUGUAACUCAGCUCAAUUGUUGAGUAUGCCUCUGCUGGUACUCCUUCGUCGAAGCUUGCCUCUGAAGGCGUUUGGAGUUCUUGCAAGGCAUUCUUCCACACAGGCAGCUCUUUUUUUCUCAGUGCCUUUGCUACUGUGGUUAGGGCAAUAGGCAAACCUCCGCAUGCCUUGGCUACACUUGUUGCUGUAGAUUCUAAUUCACGAUUUUCCACAUAAUCACCUGCCAUUAUCUUGAACAAUCUCCAGGCUUCUUGUUCAUUUAAAAUGCCAAUCGAGAAGUUUUUUUCAGAUUCCAUCCUUAACAGCACAUCGAGAUCUCAUGUUGUGAAUAAUAAUUUGCAUCCUCUGUGCUCAACUCCAAAAGGAAUUCCAAUAGUCCCCAAAUCAAGAGGUUUCCAGAUGUUAUCCAGAAUCACAAGGAUCUUCUUCUCAUUCUUCAAUCUUUCAUAUAGUCUACUAGCUCUUCUAGACUCAGCUUCCUCGGACAACUGUAGGCCUAACGUUUCCGCAAUGUCCUCUUGGACCUUUUUUAUGUCUGGACUUUGGGUAACCUCCGAAAAAGCCACCAUAUCGUAAAGCUUGUCUUCAAUGGCUCGCCUUGCAAACUCCUUCACCAGUGUCGUCUUUCCAAUGCCGCCCAUGCCGUAGACCCCAAUGAUGCCGACAUCAACAUCGAUCAAUGCAUUUUGUAUGGCCUUCAAAGUAGAAAGUCUUGAUUCGAAGGCCUCGCAGCCUUUGUGAGACUUGAGCCAUAUAUCCUCCGGAAUGGUACGGUAGGAAAUUCUAUCAUCAAAUUUCCUAGCUUCUUCUUUGAGUUCAACAAUGGCCUUCACCUUUGUUUCUGCUUCCUUGCUAAGCUGAUAGCCGGACUUCAAAUUAGGACACAAGCCCAUGAGACAUCGUUUAUUUGUUGUCUCCUCAUCGUCAAUGAAUUUGGCUGACUGCUCAAUGGUGUUGUUCGCACGAACCAGCCACUUCUCAACCUUCUCUUCAAUCUUUUCCCCUUUUCUUUCAGCCUCAGAAACCCUGUGCUGAAUGCUUCUCCUUUCAUCCUUGAGCUUGUCUAUUUCUGCCUUGAGAUUCUCAACGUUGGCUUUAUAGUUACGCAAAUAACCAAAUCGGCGUUCUGUUGGAGGAGCCAAGCACUUCAAAAAUUCUAAAACAACAGUAACAAUGCUUUCCACCAUCCUGGAUCCCUUUUUUUUUUUUUUUUCAAAGUUCUGACAAGAAAAUAGACAACGAGCGAAACACAGAGAGAGUGAAAAAAAGAAAAAACGAAACAACGAAGAUGGACAGUUUAUCCGGUUGUGGAAGCGGAGAAAUGAAAGAAAGAGUAAAAGCUGUUAUGGAUCUGGUGAGAAGAUGGAAACAAGGAAAAGGUUUCUAGUUCGAGAACUGAUUGAAUUAAUAUAAGGAAUGAUUUAGAUAAUAGAGGCGAAGGGAACCAAUCAGAAUAACUGAAGUAUUGACCAGCAGAAAGACGGAAAAAAUAUUGACUGGUAAUAGAGAUGGAAAAAAUGAAGAUAUCUUGACACGGUAGAAGUACAAAGGGUAGAUAUGGAACCAAACAGAGACAACAGCAGACCACAACAAGAUUGGGAAUGGAGAGAAACUAAUUAACAAAGACUGGAGAUUACAACAAAACAGAUGCCAAGAGAAAACUUGAUCCAGUGAAAUUCAAGAGAGCUGACAACAAAAACUGAUACUACUUGAUUGGGAAUUGAAGGCAAAGAGUAGGAGCUGACGAAUACGGGGAUCAAGAGGGAAAAACUGCUUGCUCGUAAAACUACUUUCAAGCGAAUCUGAUAAAAUUAUUUCAAUACUGGUGGGCGACUCCCUUUUAAACUGCAGAAGGAGAAAAAAGAAAUGUUCUGAAUUUCAAUGUAUUAAUUUUUAUCCUAAUUUAUGUUGAGACUCGUAAUCUCGUCUCAAUGAUUAAUUAGUAGAUAAUCUUUCUAACAAGUAUGUGAUGAAUAGAUAUAUUUCUUGACUAUUAGUAGGUUAGAUAUAUUUUAGCAUAGGAAUGAUAGUACAAGUUGUGUCAUAUUAGAAUACAAAUUUGACCUAAAAAUAUUGUUCUAUGACCUUUUAAUUAUUUGUCAGUUAAUAAUUAAGUCAUAUAAAAAAAAAAAAUCUGAAUUAGUCUUUAAGUAUUAUAAAUAUUUCUUGAUUUUUAAUUAUAAUAUCAUUAUUUAAAAAUAAUUGCUUGACUUACAUAGUAAGUCAAUAAAAUAUCUAACAAUAGUUGUCAUAAAACAUGUGAUCCUCAAUCAAUGAAAUAUCUAACAAUAUCAUCACCUAAAGUUUGAGAUAUGUGAUCCUUAUUCCACUGCGUCAAUUACACUCCAGUACAAUGCUGCCAUCAUUAUCAAACAGUCGACAUCCACCAGUUCUAAUUGCCAAAACUUAGAACUAAACAGUAGCUCGGUCAGAAAAUCAAACGCCAGUACCGGUCAAAUGACCGAUAAAAAUAUAAAGAAAUAAAAAUUUUAAAGUUUUACUUUAUUGCUUUUUUAAUCUUAUUACUAUUUCUCGUUGCACUUAUAAAGAAACCAAAGCUUUAAGAGAAAUCGGCCAAAUCACGAAGAUUGAAGAGUAAAUCUAUGGUUUUAUAUUUAUAUUUUUAUUUUUAGAUAAUAGAUAUUAUUUUGAUGAAUUUUUAAUAUUAGAAUAAUGUUAGGAAUUUCGAUAGUAGAAUUCUAACUUGAGACCCAAUUGUUAUGUGUCAUUUUUUUAUUAGAUAAUAAAUUUCAUAACUAAUAAAAUUAAUAUUUCGAUUAUCUAAUAAAUGACUAUCAUAUCAGCUGAGACUCAAUUAUUGGGAUCCUUAACAUUGCUCUUAGUAUUAAAUUGGACAUCUUAGCUAAAUUAGAUUAAUUUUUAUAUCAUAACUUUGUAAGUGUAUAAUUACUCAUUAAAUUAACAAAAUUAUUUUAAAAUAUUUAGUUAGAAAAAUAAAUUAUAUUCUUUUUAUUUCAAAUAAUCUAUAAGUUAACUCAAAACAUAAUCAAGCUGAGAAUUAAAAUAAUGCCACUGUAUGAGAGGAUUUUUAUUUUUUUUCCCGAAGUUUCACUAGGAAAUUAUUGAUAUAUAGCUUUAUUCGGAUCAUCUCAGUUCAAACGACAAAUAAUUGAAAGACUAAACUAAAUAGACCAGCCAACAACUUUGUACAGCAGAGUUCAAAAAUUAAGGUCAUGAUAUUGAGGUGUUCUGUCCUGAAACAUACGGCAUAGUGACAAAAUAAAAACUAUUAGUCUUUAGUAAGAUAUGACUUUUAAAUAAUAAUUUUCACAAAAAUACAAAGAAUAUUUAUGAAGUACUUCUAUAAUGAAGUACUUCUAUAGUGAGGAGACCCUCGCUUUGUUAAAGUGAAAAUAUCAAUAAUAUACAAGAAACAUACAUUUUAACACAUUAAGAAUUGUAUCUUUUUAAUCUAUUGGUGUAUUGAAAUAUGUGUUAUUUAAUUUGUUAGUGAUAUCAUCACUUUGUUAAAAUAAGGAUGUCAGAACCAUUAUAUAUAAGAAAGUAAAUAUAUUUUUGUACGGUAUAAUAGUGUAAUAACAUCACCCGAGUAUAUCAUAUAGAGUAAUAGUUUUUGGAACUUUAAUAAAGUUCAAGAUUAUAGAAUGAAUGAUUUAUAUAUAUUUUAAAUUUUUUAUCAUAAAGUGGAGGACAAAAGUAACAUAUUUUUCAAAUUAUAAUAAAUAGAUAUUUUAAUUUAACAUCGUGAUUUCUCCUAACUAGAGUAGUAAAUACGACCUAGGAGGUACAUUCAAAGCAUUUCAUAAGUUAAUUGUUAAUAAUAAAUGAUACAUGCAGCUCCAAUCAUCAUUUUACGGCGAGUAAUUUCCAGUUAUAAAUAGAUAUUACUCCCUUCCCAGCAAUUUUUGAUGGCAAUUUAUUGGGAUCAAAAUCAACAUUGAAUAGUCAAAAUAUUAAUGGCCAUGAUGCUUAUUCCAAUGUGAGUAGUUCACAGUGGGUACUGCACAUGAUGCUUGUUUCUCCUUUUGCAUCUAUUUUUGUUGUUAACAUUAAUUUCAAUAGCAGCUCGUUAUUAUGUAUACAACAUUUCAAAGUUAAUCCAAAAAAAAAAAGACAAAAAUUAGUUCAGCUGACUAAAUUUGAAAGCAUGGAUUUGCCGUCGAUUAAAAAUCGUUUUGUAGGGAAAAAUUUUGGAUUGCAAUUUUCAUACAAUACAUAGAAUUAUCAUAAUCUAUAAAUUAGGGCUCGUUUGGUAUUGUUUUUGAAUUUAUAUUUUUUGAGAAUAAAAAUGAAAAUGAAAAUGGUGUUUUGCAGUUGCUGUAUUUUGAAUUUAAAUAUGCGUCUGGUAUCAUUUUCUGUAUCCUAUAUUUUAAAACUGAAAACAAUAAUAUGCGUUUGGUAGACACAGUUGAAAAUGAUAAAACAAAAAAUAUGUGUUUGGUAAUACUUUUUUCAAAAACAGUUUUUACUAAGCAUUUACAUUAUAUUUGUAGUCAUAAAAUAAUUAUUUAGCUAAUACAUACAUAAAUACAACAAAAUAAUUUAAACAAAUUUAUUAUUAAAAAAUUACAUGAUGAUAAAGUUUUAAAAUUAACAUUAAUUAAAGAAAAGUUUGAUAAUAAACUGAAAGCAUGCAUGGUAUGAACUAGAGUUAGUGCAAUUUAACAUGAAGCUUGCUCGUGCAAAAUUAUUUUAUAUAGCAUUUGCAGUUUCAAUUUCCAAUUCCAAGGUUCUGAUUCCAUGCUCCCAAACACAACAAUAAAUGUAAAUCCAAUUACACAUCUUCUUGGAACAACUUUUUGUGAAGUAAGUGCCAUUUUUUUUUUUAAGAAUAUUCAUUCUGAAAACACAUUAGACACGGAAUUAGAAAGCUGUUUAACUGCUUUCUAGAAACAAUAUUUGCUCUGCCAAAAGAAAAAAAAAAACUACUUCACAUUGACUCACCAAUCCACUCCUCCACUUUCAAUCAUAAAUUCCACAAUAAUCAAUAAUCAUCAGCACUAGCAGGAAAAUUACAUUACACGUUCAGCAACUCACAUAACAAAGAUUCCCAAGCAAAUUAAAACCCAAUGAAUGCCAAAUUCGAUUGUACGCAAUCCAAAGAUUUGUUGUAUAUACAACAAAACACUUAACUGCAACUGCAUCGAAGAAGGAGAGUGUCCUUCUGAUUGUUAUCCUCUGUUUGUAUAUCCAAAAUUCAUGGCCCCGACGCUUACUUCCUCUGUUAAGUAUAUAAGUUGAAGCUGCUGAGCUGACUGAAGAUGUUGUGAGCUGCUGAGCUGGAUUAGGUGGUUAUAUGGUUGAUUAAGUUGUAACGAUUUGUCCAGCUGGCAUGUUAUGAUUGGAAGAUGAAAUGGUUUGUUAAUUCGGCAGCUUUGAGCUCUGUUUCUGUUAUCAGUUUUCAGUGUAACUAUAAAUAAUAGUCAACACGAUUACAAUGUAUGAUUUUCAGAUUUUAAUCAAUAAGAAUUUCUCUCAGUUAAAGUUCUCUUUCUCUUUCUCUUAUGCCAAACACUCUUAUUAAUUCUAAUAUGGUAUCAGAGCCAUCAACUAUGUCUGGAUCUAAUCAUAUAGCUUCCUCUUCACUCUCAUUUCAUUUUGUUCAACCUGUAAAGCUCGACAGAUCAAACUAUCUAGUUUGGAAGGCUCAAGUGAGAACAUCAAUCAUUGCUAAUGGACUCGAAAGCUUCAUCAAUGGUGAGAAUGUGUGUCCAGAACGCUAUCUCGUGGAAUCAACUCAAGAAUCUCGAAGAUCUGGAGCUGAAGCUUCACAAAAACAAGAAAAUCCAGAUUAUGCUUUAUGGAUGAAAACCGAUAAACUUCUGCAGAGCUGGAUGCUAUCAUCAAUGGUGGAUAACGUUUUAAUCAUGGUGAUCAACUGCGAAACAUCACUUGAGCUCUGGGAGAUGCUUGCCGAAAUCUUCAUGUCACAAUCUAAAGCAAGGUAUCUACCUUUGAAGAUGCAAAUUCAAUCAACAAAGAAAGGAUCACUUUCAGUAAGUGAUUAUUUUAAUAAGAUGAAAAAAAUUGCUGAUAGUUUGGCCAUUGGAGGUAAUCCAGUCACUUCAAAUGAAUUGAUUAUGCAUUUGCUUACUGGAUUGGAUGAUAACUAUGAAUCUUUAGUUACAAAUAUACUUACUAGACUGGAAAAAGAGAAACUCACUAUUGAGGAGGUGUAUUCUAUGAUGCUUAGUCAUGAAACUAGGUUGGAAAUGAACAAAGGAAAAUAUCACAAUGAACCUCAGCAUGAAAUGACAGCAAAUUUUGCUCAGAAAAGUCAAGGAUACAAUAGAUCUGGAUAUAAUCAGAAGAAUACAGGUGCUGGUAAUUCAGGUGGUUAUGAUAACAGUCAGAAUAGCAAUACAGGUCCUGGAAGAGAUGUUGUAUGUCAAAUUUGUUUCAUCCCAGGUCAUGUAGCUUAUAAGUGUAAACACAGGUUCAAUCAGGGCUUUAUUCCUAGAAACAGAGGUUUUGAUGCUUUUAGGCCAAGAGGUGGAGGUCAGAAUUAUAGAGGACCUCCUGGAAAUAAUCAAAAUUAUUUUGGCAGAGGUUAUGGGUACAAUGCUUCUGGUUUUGGGUCUGGAUUCAGGUCUAACUUUCCUAGACAAGCUGGACCUUACUUUGGUUAUGUUGCCUAUCAGAAUCCAGGUGUCAUGAAUUCUCAAGGUGUUUUUGAUUUUCAAGGUGUAAAUGGUGCAUAUAAUGGGGUUCAAACAGCAAGCAUGUAUGCUGGAAAUGUUGGUAUUCCUCACAAUGUACAUCCCUCUGCACAAUUGGCAAAUUACAGCAGUGUAGCUGAUCCAGCUUGGUAUCUUGACUCUGGAGCAACUAAUCACAUUGCUCAAGAUGCAGGUAUGCUAUUUAAAUACUCAACUUACCGUGGCUGUGAGAAACUGCAUGUAGGAAAUGGUAUGGGAUUGCCUAUUCACAAUGUUGGAUCUGUUGCUAUUAAAACCCUGUCUACAAAACCUAUUUACCUGAAUCAUGUUUUACAUGUACCCUCAAUUACUAAAAACCUUAUCAGUGUUUCCAAAUUGCUUGCUGAUAACAAUGUUUUCAUUGAGUUUUACAAUCAUGUCUGUUUUGUUAAGGACAAGAACUCAAGGAUCACAUUGCUCAAGGGGAUUGCUAGAGGAGGUCUUUAUCAAGUUCCAAGUUUGAAUGCAGUCUGUGAUAACUCAAGUUCUGUUGUUCCAGUGUUCAACUCUUCAGAGUCUGUUUUUAAUCCAAUAAAUCAAUUGUCAGUAGUUCCAGUGUCUAUGUUUACACAAUUGAAUUCCCUUGAUACUGAGACUUAUCCUCUUAUGCUUGUAAAUAAUCCUCAAAUCAAUAAAAAUGCCUCUGUAGCUCCUUUUGCUUCGUGUAAUAAGACUGUUGAUUAUAACUUGUUGCACAAAAGAAUGGGUCAUCCAACAACUCAUGCCUUAAAACAAAUCAUGAAGUGCCUGGAUUCAACCUUUGUUCUUUCCAAAAACUCAAAACCACAGUUUUGUGAUGCCUGUCAACUAGGCAAGUGUCAUAUGCAGCAUUUUCCUUCAAUAGAAACAUCAACCACUCAGCCCCUUGAAUUGUUACAUGCUGAUCUCUGGGGACCAGCUCCCAUUACCUCCUCCCAAGGAUACUCCUACUAUCUAUCUAUCCUUGAUGACUAUACCCGAUACACUUGGAUAUUUCCCCUUACAGCAAAAUCCAAAACUCUAUCAGCCUUUAUUGACUUCAAAAACAUGAUAGAAAAUUGUCUAAACUUGAGAAUCAAGUGCUUACAAACUGAUUGGGGUGGGGAGUUCAGGCCUUUUGUGUCAUAUCUCUCUGAACAAGGCAUACAAUUUAGACAUCCAUGCCCUUAUAUACAUCACCAAAAUGGGAAAAUAGAGAGAAAACAUAGACAUAUUGUUGAAACAGGUCUCACACUUCUUGCCCAAGCUCACUUGCCACUCAAAUUCUGGUGGAAUGCAUUUCAUACAGCCACCUAUCUCAUUAACAGACUUCCUACACCUAUUCUCAACAAUAAAUCACCAUUUGAAAAAUUAUUUCACAAGCUCCCAGAUUAUACAAUGAUGAAAAUUUUUGGCUGCUCUUGUUACCCUUAUCUUAGACCUUAUAAUCAUCAUAAGCUUCAGUUUAGAAGUGAAAGAUGUGUCUUUCUUGGCUAUAGCUCACUUCACAAAGGAUAUCAAUGUCUUCAUCCUUCUGGAAGAGUCUAUAUAAGUAAUCAUGUCACCUUUGAUGAAUCAUCUUUUCCCUUCCAAUCAGCUGACAAGUUCUCUACAAAGUCAUGUUCUGAUUCUUUACAUGAGUCUACUUCUUCAAAUCCUCUUGUCUCAUUCACAUUAUCACAGACUGCUGAACAACUUGAUAGAUCUCUCUCUCAAUCUACACCUCCAGCAACUGAUUUACCAUCAACUUCAAACCUGUCCAGUUCAGAAAAUCAUUUGUUGUCUCAUACUCCUAGUCCUAUAAAUCAGCAAUCAUCUUCUCAACCUCUUCAUCACCUAUCUCCACCUUCACAACCCAUAAUUGGUCAUCCUAUGACUACCCGAUCCAAAAUGGGAAUAUUCAAACCAAAAAAGGCCUAUCUAGUUGAAUGUAAUCCUAAGCCAACAGAACCACUUACAGUUUCAGCUGCUCUAAAUGAUCCAAAGUGGCUUCAAGCAAUGCAAGAAGAAUAUCAAGCCUUAGUUAAAAAUCAGACCUGGACACUUGUUCAGCCGACAUCUCCUGUCAAAGUUGUAGGAAACAAAUGGUAUUUAGAAUUAAACACAAUGCAGAUGGUAGUGUCUCAAGGUACAAAGCCAGACUUGUAGCAAAGGGUUUCCAUCAAACUCAAGGCAUUGAUUAUAAUGAGACUUUUAGUCCAGUGGUGAAGGCUUCUACAGUUAAACUUAUUUUGAGCUUGGCUGUUCUUAAUCACUGGUCAUUGAGACAAGUUGACAUAAAUAAUGCCUUCCUCCAUGGUUAUCUUACUGAAGAAGUGUAUAUGCAGCAGCCUGAAGGCUUUGUGGAUCCAGCUAAACCUACUCACAUCUGUAAACUGCAGAAGGCAUUAUAUGGUCUCAAACAAGCUCCUAGAGCUUGGUUUGAUAGAUUAAAAACAGUGUUAACUACUCAAUGGGGUUUCAAGAAUUCCAAGUCUGAUAAUUCUCUGUUUUUUCAGAGGACUCAAGGUCAUCUCUUGCUGGUAUUAGUUUAUGUGGAUGAUAUCAUUGUAACAGGUUCAGAUUCUAUUCAGAUUCAGCAAGUUAUCAAUAAUCUGCAGUCAACUUUUGCUCUUAAAGAUCUUGGAGAACUGCAUUAUUUUCUUGGUAUUCAGGUCACCAAAUCUGAAACAGGCUUACAUCUCUCUCAGACAAAGUAUAUAGCUGAUCUCCUCAACAAAGUUAAGAUGCACGACUGUACCCCUUGCUCUACUCCAAUGGCUGCCAAUGUUCCACUUACCAAAACUGACAGUGAAUCAUUUACUGAUGCAACUUUGUAUAGAAGCACAAUUGGAGCUCUUCAGUAUGCUACCUUGACCAGACCUGAGAUAGCAUUUCCUGUCAACAAGCUCAGCCAGUUUCUAGCUGCACCAACAAAUAAUCACUGGCAAGCAUGCAAAAGGAUCCUUAGAUAUCUAAAAGGUACAAUGCACAUGGGAUUACAAUAUUCAAAUCAAGGUCCCUUACACAUAGAUUGCUUCAGUGAUGCAGACUGGGCAGCUGAUAGGGAUGACAGAAAAUCGAUUGCUGGAUAUUGUGUUUAUUUUGGUCCUAAUCUGGUUUCUUGGUGUUCAAAGAAACAAGGAGUGGUGUCCAGGUCCAGCACUGAAUCAGAGUAUCGAGCUUUAGCAAUGGCUGCAUCUGAGGUUUUAUGGCUUAAGUCCUUGUUGACUGAAAUUGGUAUUUCUCUUGUCUCUACUCCUGUCAUUUGGUGUGAUAACCAAAGUGCUGCUGCUUUAGCAAGCAAUCCAAAAUUUCACUCUCGAACUAAACACAUAGAACUUGAUGUGCAUUUCUUGCGUGAAAAGAUUGCUAAUAAGAGCUUUGAAGUUAGUUAUGUUCCUAGUUCCCAUAACUCAGCUGAUAUCCUCACCAAAGCUUUAGCCUAUCAUCCUUUUCAUUAUUUGAGAGACAAGCUCACCCUGACUUCACCAGGUUGAGCUUGAGGGGGGAUGUUAAGUAUAUAAGUUGAAGCUGCUGAGCUGACUGAAGAUGUUGUGAGCUGCUGAGCUGGAUUAGGUGGUUAUAUGGUUGAUUAAGUUGUAACGAUUUGUCCAGCUGGCAUGUUAUGAUUGGAAGAUGAAAUGGUUUGUUAAUUCGGCAGCUUUGAGCUCUGUUUCUGUUAUCAGUUUUCAGUGUAACUAUAAAUAAUAGUCAACACGAUUACAAUGUAUGAUUUUCAGAUUUUAAUCAAUAAGAAUUUCUCUCAGUUAAAGUUCUCUUUCUCUUUCUCUUAUGCCAAACACUCUUAUUAAUUCUAAUAUCCUCCAAUUCAUUUCUGCUCAAUACAACACCCCGUUCAAGGCUCAUCGUCAAGAACCCAAGAUUCAGUGUGUUUGCCAAGAAAGUUGGACCGUUCCCUCCAUUUCAGCUUGGCAAGUCGAAGGAUGAGAAUUCAUCUGAUGAAAGCUCAAAUGGUGAUUCCGGCAAUUCCAAUCCUUUUCGCUUCAACUUUGGUGAGGUGAGGGAUGUGACAUCUUUGAUCCUAGUUGUGAGCAGCCCUAGAACUGGGCUGUCAUUUGGAACUGGGCAGGCCGGCGUUCGUAUUUUACGGCACACCAAAGGACAGCCGCGGUAGAGACGAAGUUGCAGCGGCGGCAGAGAAAAUGUUGUUUGAGGGAGAAAAGGAGAAAGCACUGCUGCCGUGACUAGAUCGAGGAUAGCCGUGGGGGGGGGGGGGUUGACCAGAUCGAGAACGAUGAGAGGGGGGAGAAGGUUGCUGCCGAAGAGAAUGGGUUUUGUUUCUUAAUCUAUUUUUGAGUUUAGUUUGUAAUAUUUAGGAAACAUGUUAAACACGUUUUCAUGUUUGUAGUUAUAACACUAGAUCUGAAUUUGUUAUUUCGUGAUUUGUUUUUUGAAUCCAUCCCACCAAACAUAUAUUAUGUUUGUAUUAUGAAAACAAAAAUGAAAACAAUGGGUAAAAAACGCUACCAAACGGGCCCUUAUUUUUUUGCUUUUCUGUGGUAGUAAGUCCGACUCCUUAGUGACAAUUUAAAUUGAAAAAAUAAAAUCAUAAAUUAGAAUUAUUUGAUAAGAAUUAAAAUAAUUGAUAAAAAUUUGAGAGGAGCAAUUUUGGAAGAUUCGAUUUCUAAUAGAAAGGGUGAAUUUUACAGCCUUCGGUGAGGAAUCCAAAAUGCACAAUUUGAUGAAAAUUAAAUUUCAAUAGAAAUUGAAUUCCCAUUUAUUAGUGAAAACCAAACAACAGAAAAGUGAAAGGAAUUUGAAUUCAUUUCCUUCCUCUCCUCCCUCCAACUAAACACCAUCGAAAUCCAAAGGUAUGGAUUGGGAUUCCAUAUUGAUCAGAAUGGGAUUUGUCCAUAUUAGUAGGACCAAUUUUAAAAGCAGUCGGAGUUUCGAAGUUUAAGAUUGAAAUUGUCCAAUUAAUCACAAUUGUUGAUUUGGGACUAGAUAAGAAUUUAUCUUGGAACUCCAAUUCUCCAAAAAAAAUACGCUAGCUUCGCCACUGCACUAGGGACAUAUUAAUCAGGUGGGUUAUAUUACAACCAGAGGAUUUAAAUUUGAUUUAAGAUAUGUGGGGUCUGCUUUUGGAUUUAGAAAAUUUGCUCAUUAAGAGUUGAACCCAAGUGACCUACCGUUAGAUUAGAUUAAUAGUGAUUUCUUGUAGUAAAUAUUUGUGAAUUUGAAAUAUGUGAAUUCUAUCCUGGUGAUACAAAACAAGCUUCUUGUACACGAGAACUAUUUAUUUUUAUGAUUUGGAAACCAAUCUAUAAAGAUGAAUUAAGUUGGCAUAAUGGUACAAAGCAGCUUUAAUUUUUCAAUAAAUUCAAAAGUUGGCAAGUUGGUUGUGAUUAUUAUCUUUUCUUUUUUACUAUUUAAACUACAAUUAAUUGAAUCCAAAGACUAAAGGGUUGGAUCGAGAAGAAACUAAUUUUAAGUAGACAUUCCGGCGAAAAUCACUCCCAUGAUCGAGACACUCAUGCAAUCAAUACAAAAAUGGACACAAAAAUUGUCUACUUAAGUUUGGUUGAAUGAUUUUAAAAAUAGUUUUAUUUGUUUCACACUCGAAUUUGGAUUUUGAAAAAGAGUGGGAGUUAAAAAUUGAUUUACACUUUAUCAAUUACUCUAUUUUAAAAAGAAAUAAAUAUUAAAAAAAAUAAAAACAUUAAUUUCUUGUUUGUUUGUACUUACCAUUGUAGGAUAAAUAAAGUGGUUGACAAAAAUUAUAUAUCUUAAAAAUAAAUUCUAGAUUUAUAACUAAUGUAUAAUGAUUUCAAUUCACAUGUUUCAAUCCCAAAUAAAUUCUCCUUUGGUUAUUUGAAUCUUAGCGCGGUAAGAUUUCAUUCUCUUAUAUGCAUUUGUGUAAACUUCUCCCUUUACCUUUAUCAUUUUAUCAACUUUAUUGAUUGCCAAUCAACUUUAGGGUUUAGGCAUGAAUCACACAAGGGAAUGAUAUUGUGGCAAUUUUUUCCCCCUUCUUUUUUCUUUUUGAAAAAAAAAAUUAUUUAUAGCUUUGCUUUGAUGGGUAGAAGACUAGAAGACCAAUUAAUUUCUUUUUGUUGCGUGGUGAUAAUAAUGAUGGAAAUUGCUAUGUACGCGUUGGUGAUUGCAUUGCUAGUCACAUAUUGCUUCCCAUCAUGGAGACAAAGGGGACCCCUCUAUCAAAGCUAGCUGUUGAAAUAUCAUACCCAAAAUCACAUGAAUUCAAAGGUUGAAUGGGAAAACGAUCUUGCUCCUUUGUAUGUUUUAUUUUAUUUAAAGACUUAUUGUUUCCCAUAAGAGAUAAGCUUGGAUCUAUCUUUCCUUUUAAUCAUUUUAGCCUCCAACUCCCAUCUUUUUCAAAAGUUUCGUUUAGCCCAUUUUGAAUGGCAAGGUAAGCUUCAAUUAACGCAACAAGUUCAAGUGAUUCCCGUCAAUAUUCGAUUGCAUGUAUGUAGCUUUGAGUGCUCGAAUUUAUUUUAUUUAUUAGUUGUUAUCACUUAUCAUUUUCUUUUUAAUAAUGAGAUUUGGGCAUUUUCUUUUUAAUAAUGAGAUUCGGGUCCCUGGAUGGUGAUUAGCCAACAGUCUAGUUAUGAGAAAUUAAUGUCUUAAUUACAAUGACAAAAAAGGCAAGUGGGGAUCUCAUUUGCCAUUAGGUAACACAACAUCUUCAGCAUUGGAGCUUUUCUUCCUUUCUCUCCUUCUUUCUUUCUUUCUCAAAAUAAUUGAAAAUCUAAUGCAAUACAAUUAAAUUGAUCAACGAUCUAAUUUAAUCAAUACAUUAUAUUAAGAUAUUUAAAAUAAAAUCGGUUCAAAUGGAAUGAGAAGUUCUACUAAAAAAAUAACAACAUUUAUUCCUUAUUAUUAUUAUUCGAAUUCAAAUAACCUUGGAUUCCAAACGCAUUCAAGACUAGCCAGGCUGCAUAUCCAAGAAGAAAACCAAAUCAAAACUUUAGCCACAAACAUAUACGUGUGUGUGUAUGUGUGUGUGUAUAUUUGUGUGUGUGUGUGUGUGUGUGUGUGUAUAGAGAGAGAGAGAGAGAGUUCUUUCACUAGGUUCAUUUGCGUGAAACUUUUUGAUCAUUUAGGUUUAAGACUAUAUCAUAUAUCCUAUUGCACGAACAUUGAUUAAUAUGAAUGAGUCAAACCCACUAAGCUUGCAACAAAAUCUUUUCAUAGUUACUAGAGAAUAUUUAUAUUUUUUUCAAACAUUAAUAAAAUUAUUGAAUUGCUUUAUUUAUAGUACGUAUACAAUUAAUAGUGUAUGGAUUUUUUUAAUCUAUUGGUGUAUUGAAAUAUGUGUUAUUUAGUUUGUUAGUGAUAUAAUCACUUUGUUAAAAUGAGAAUGUCGUUACUAGAGAAUCAUUAUAUAUACAUAUAUAAAGUGCUUCUAUCCAAGACCUAGACUUUAUUAAAAUUUAAGAAAGCAAAUAUAUUUUAUAUGGUAUAAUAGUGUAAUAACAUCACACUAUUAUAUCAUAUAGAGUAAUAGUUUUUUGGAACUUUAAUAAAAUUCAAGAUUAUAGAAUGAAUGAUUUAUAUAAAUUAGAAUUUUUUUAUCAUAAAUGGAGGAGAAAAUUAACAUAUUUUCAAAUUAUAAUAAGUAUUUAUCAAAUAAUUUAACAUUGCAAUUUCUCCUAACUAGUAUAGUAAAUAAUACGACCUAGGAGGUACAUUCAAAGCAUUUCAUAAGUUAGUUGUUAAUAAUAAAUGAUAUAUGCAGCUCCAAUUAAUCAUCAUUGUACGGUGAAUAAUUUCCAGUUAUAAAUAGAUAUUACUCCCUUCCCAGCAAUUUUUGAUGGCUUAAUUUUGUGGGAUCAAAAUCAACAUUGAAUGUCAAAAUGUUAAUGGCCAAACAGACCAGCUGCCAACAACUUAUUCCAAUGUGAGUAGUUCACGGUGGGUACUGCACAUGAUGCUUGUUUCUCCUUUUGCAUCUAUUUUUGUUGUUAACAUUAAUUUCAAUAGCAGCUCGUUAAUCCCAAUUGUUGAUUUGGGACUAGAUAAGAAUUUAUCUUGGAACUCCAAUUCUCCCAAUUAUUUUAGUUGACAAUAUGUUUAACAUUAUUUUUUCAGUAAUGCUACACAUCCCAAAUUUCUUAUCCCAAAAAGUUAUCCCAAAUGAUGUGUCAUUAAUUGAGUGGUUGAUAAUUAUUUACAAUAUCCAAGUGAAUUAAUUGUAUUAUCUCACCAACCAAUUGAUAAAUGCCACAUCAUUUGGGAUAACUUUUUGGGAUAAAAAAUUUGGGAUGUGUAGCAUUAUUGUUAUUUUUUUUAACAUUAUUAAUUGCAUAUUAUUUAAUUAUCAAUAUAUAAUAUUCUUUAAUUUUCUAAUUUUAUAGGAUUAGACACAAAAUUGAUUAUACCUUUUGAAAUUUAAGGGUUAUGUCAAUUGAAUAGAAAACUUGGAGUUAAACUUGUGGAUGUUUUUGUUGAUUAUCAAUUUAUGCAUGGAUUUUUGUACGUUUAUUUGGUUUAUUAUUAUUACUUUUAAACAUUUUUAUUGGUUUGAUUUAGGGUCAGUUUGGUAAUCCUAUAGCUUUUAAAAUAAUUACAGUUAGCUAUGAUGUAGAAAUUGAUCAAUCGUCAAGAGAAUCAGCUGAACAUUUAGUAAAAUUUAUUUUUAAAAGUACUUUUAGUUUUAAAAGUGUCGCAUGUGUUUCGUAAAUCUUAUUGUUAAACUGGUGCAAAAAUGUAAAUGACUGAAUUGGACAUAAUGCUAAAUAAAAUUUAUUUAUACAUUUAUAAACACGUAUAUAAAAUAUUUUUAUUACGUACAUAUAAUUAUUGAUAACUAAAAUAAAUAUUUUAUAUUAUUAAAUUUUAUUCUCUAUUUUGUUAUCUCAAUAUAAUUGGUAAUAGUAAUAAUCUCUUUAAAGUUAAUCAUUUUAUUUCUUAAUUAAUAAAGAUAAUUUUGAAUUUUUAUUAUAUAAUGAGGAUAUGUAAAUAAAUAUAUAGAAUUUGAUUAAAUAUAAAAGUGAUUCUCAAAAUCAGAUUUUGAAAAUUUAUUCAUUCCAUACUUUUUCAAAAUCUACUAUACAAUGAGAUGAUUUUGCCAAAAGUAAUUACUAAAAAUUAGUUUUUAAUUUUUAAAAUUACUUUUGAACUUCCCAAAAAUAAUCCUAACGGACCUUUUUAUUUGGGUGGUGUUAGAACUUGUGACUUUUGGAUCUUUUAGUUUUUAUUGGUUUGAUACAAUUGUUACCUAAAAAUUAAUUGUAUCUUAAACCCAAACUUCUUCUUCUUCUUUUUGACUAACAAAAUAAAAAAACAAUAGUGAACACAUUCUUUAAUAAACAAUAAGUAAUAACUAAAAUCGUGUUAAAUUUCUUAAAAAUUUUCUUUCACGGUCUGCUAAAUAUUUUUAUUAGUAUUUUGAUUAAAUAAAAAUAAUUGAUUUAAUUUUUUUAAAGAAACUUAUUAGGUUCAUGUAAAGAUGUUUUUGUUAUUUUAAAAAGUGUAGAAAGUACUCCUAAAAAAAAGUGUGGAAAGUAAAACUUAAUUUUUUAAAUUUAUUAGCUUACUGCAUAAAUAAUUGAGUGUUCAUAAUGAUUUUUAAAGUAUAGAUAGUCGGACCCUAAUAUUUUUAAUAUGGAAAUUUUGCUAAUAUGUUAAUGAGAAUUAAAAAGAUAAUUAAGGGAGGCAAUUGAGACAUUCAGGAUAGUUAGGAUGGGACAUGAUUGUGAGCGGUUAGAUAUUGGUCCUAAUUUUGAUCACAAAUAUAUAAACAGGACGAGUUUAUCUCUACUUACAUUCCAUUUGAUAAUUAAGAUGAGAGUGGAAUCGUCAAAUCCCAAAUCAUCCCGGACCCUUGCCAUCAAAGGUACCCUCACUAAUAAUAUCUAAAGAAAAAUCUACAUCUAUUUCAUACUUUUUUUUAAUGGAAAGAGCCCUCAUGGGGCUUGAAAUGGUAUCCUAAAUAAUAUUGAGAAUAUCAGGUCAUGAUUGGGUUUGUGACAAACAAAUACUACAUAGUUGGGAUACGUAGUUAUAAUGUCCCAAUUUAUGUAGUAUCUAUCAUUUAAUGCACAUAUAAAGUAUUAAUCAGCUUAAUUAAUUUAUAAAAUCUAAAUCUAAUUAAUAAGUGACACAUAAAAGCCAAGUGCAAUAUAUGCAAGUCAUGUUUGUCGAUCAUUACAAAGCUGGCUCUUGAAAACAAGCAAGAAAGCUUAAUUAAGAACUUAAAACAAAAAGAAAUUUAGAUUGAGAACAGUCAAGCCUUAUUUUUUUCAAGGAUGGAGCUUAUAAAUCUUCAAGUACCAACAUAUGCUUGGCCCAAUUAUUGUUAUUAAAAAUUCAAUAUAUAUAUAUAAGUAUGACAUAGCAAAAAUUUGAUGGUACAUAUGUCGGAAUAUACUAGUUCAUGGAUGCAUUUGAUUAUUGUUUCCAUAAAUUUGAACCAGGAAGGAUAACACGAUAAAAUUUGAUUUUAUGGUAUGGUUGAUUUCAUAUCUCAUGCACUCAUUUCUUAAGAUAAUCAAAUUUUCUCUGGCAUCUUUUGCAACUGUGGAAAUAUCAAUUAUGAUCAAUCAAAACGAUUUCAAAACCUCUCAACGAGACAUAUUUAUAAUACAAUGUUGUGAAAAUUACACCAAAUUUUAAUUUAUUAUAUAUUAUUAUCCAACGAGCACACAAAAAUGAAUUCGUACAAAUAGAGUUUACCAUGUACUACAAGAAACUAGGGUAUAAGUGACCCCUAAUGUGAAUGCAAAAGAAGCCAUUAUGUAUAUCACUAACUCCUAGGCUCUAGCUUUGUACCCCGACUUGCUUUUGUUACCCUUUAUGUGACGGCCACACCGCUAUCACAUAUGUUAGUUACUACCCGCGUGACGGUAAAGAGCCGUUCGGUAUAUUACUAUUUUAUAAUUUUAAAUUUAAAACUAUUCGCUGGACUCCGUGUUACUAGCCACCAUCGUAAGCCUAACUGGUUGCCGGCGAACUGCGUAAAACACUGGCCAUCUUCUUUUUCAUCGUCUUCUCCCUUCAUCUUUUGAGGUAAGCUUGUGAUUAUGUGUUUCUUCUCUUACUUAGCUUGUAAUUAUAGACUUUGAUUUUUUUUUAAUUGGCAUUGUAGCCGUUAUUGUCAAUUUUUGUCCCGCCAGCAAUAUAUUUUUAUUGCUUCAAGUUGAAGCCCCUGUUUUCUUGUUCCAUUGGUGAGUUUGCUCACUCAAAUUAAUUUUGUUCUGCGGAAUUUGCAACGUUCAAAUGGAUUCGUUUGAAUUACUAUUGAAUUUAGCUUUAAUUUCAACAUCCAUUCUAAUGUUUUGCUAUUAGAUUUACUUUAAUUUUAUGUUUAAAGCUUCUACAGUGAAUAGCGGAGCUUGGGUUUUAGUUUCAUUUUCUAGAUAACUUGUUUAUCCUGUAUGCUCACCAAGUGCUUGUUAUAUUGUCUGAUAAGUUAUAAACAUUGCUGAUUUUAUAUUAAUAAUGUUACGUUGUAUUUUCAGAAAUUAUAAUACAAAAGUUUUUGCAAUGGCGUGCAUCUACAAACUGAAUUGACUUGUAGAAUAAGAGCUCGGAGUAGUGUUAUGUUCUUGAAUAAUUGAAAGUUCAUAUUGUGUAAGAGCAUGUAGAUGUAAAGCAUCAUUACCAUUUCUACAAAGUGCUUUCAUUCUGUUCAUAUGCUCUUCUUGAACUUUGAAAGGUGCCUCGUUCAAGUCCUAGCUAUAACUACUAGCUUUGAUUAAUUAAGUUCCUAUACUAGCUGAAACAGAUUUAUUUAAUUAAUUAAUUGUGUAUGUACUAAUUAUAUUGAAAGUAUAUGAAUUUUUUUUUAACAUGAAUGACUUCUAAAUGACUUAAAAACCUAAAGGAUGUGUGAAAUAAUGCUCAUUUCACUUGAAUGAGCCCAUUAAUACUUUUAUGUCUAUGAUUUUCAAUAUUGGCUAAAGCAUUUCAGUUAAGUGGUUUACCUAACAGAGAAAAAAAUUUAAUAGAAAACUUCAGAGUUCUAACAGAAAUAUAGUUCACUAUGCAGAUAUAGUUAUUUUACGGUAUACAAAUCAAGUUGUCCUAAUCUCAAUGCCCCAUGACCGAUUUUAUUUUAUAUAGUCAUUAAUUUUUGCCAUGGUUUUUUGUGUUUAUGAGUUUGAAAUAGUGGGAUUUGGUGUACCUUAGCAUCUUUUGAAAAUUCUCUUUAAGUGUGGCCAACAGAAAUAUACAUAUAAUCAAGUUUCUUAAUCGUGUAUAUUAGUUUUGGGUAUGAAUGUUCCUAUUGUAGUUCUAGGCAAAGCUUCUUCGUUUUGGUCUUCAGAUUUCCAGUAGGUUAAGUUAAUCAACUAUCAUAACUGGCUAGCUAGUUAUUGUCUGCCUUGGCGCCAUUACCCAGGCCAUUAUAUUGCAUAGCAUAAGGAAUAGUGAUUAGGUGAUUAUUAGUGAUUUGUUGAGCUUAUUAUUGACCAAACAAACAUAUUCGCCUUUGCCCACAACUUAGUUUGAUUAGUUAUUAGACCACAAAGAGCCUUGAUCUAUUCAUUGGCUUUAUUAUUUUUAUUUGGUUUUUCUUUCAACAAUAUUGUUGAUUUCUUAUAAAAAUAUUCAUUGGUUUUUAAACACCUAAUCAUUGGCUAUAUGAAGCUAAUUAAAAAUGAGGCUUUGGAUCAAUUUCUUCUAACAAGAUACAAAUGAGCAUAACCUUUCUCCUCUAAGUAAAUUUUUUUAAUAUCCUUGAUUUGUAAGGAUCUGGAGACCUGAAAUCCUCUAGAUGUUUUUUAACAUUGUCAAUAUUCUUUUUAUUCUGAAAAGGAAAUAAAAGGUUUUAUCUUUCAUACCCUAAUAGUAAGCUGGCCUUGUCUUAACAUGGCUUCCCGAGGAUUUGCAAGAUUCAUAGUUCCCCCAACCACCACCCCCCCCCCCCUCCCACCAAAAAAAAAAGAAAGAAGGAAGAUUUUCCAAGAUUCACUACCAGGUUUUUUUUUAAUUUAUUAAUUGUGUGUACGUACUAGUUAUAUGUUGAAAGAAUAGGAAGAAGUAUUUCAACAUGAAUGACUUAAAACUUAUUGCUCAGUAAACAUAAUCUGCAUCAGUGCGAAAAUGUAUUUAUCGUUUGUAUUUUUUAUGGUUUUGCUUAAGAAAUGAUAUGUGAAAUAAUGCUACAUUGUAUCAGGAAUAAAUUGAAGAGAUUUAUGAUAUUUAUGUGUUAUUCAAAUUUCAGAUUCAAUUUUAAACUUUUGAUACGUGCAUUGAAAGCUUAGACUUGUUUAAGAAAUUAUUAAUAGACACAUGUUUUAUUAGUGUCAUCUUUGGAUGAUAGUGAGGAUCAUAUGUCUAUUAAUAAUUCUUGAAUUGUCCAAGCUUGGACAGUUUGGGAAUGCAUAGUUCUCUCUGGUAGCUAGUAGCUGAAGUUUUUUUCCCACGUAAAAAUGGGUUUUUCGGUAGCUGCUCCUCGUGUUCUCUGGGUACGUACUAGGUGAAUGGGUGUCAUGUGUUGUUUUGGCAUAACGCAUAAACACUUAUAUAGCUACGUCGUGAGCUUGGAGAAUUAUAGGGAGAUGGUGCUGAAAUUUUUAUAAACGUAGAAGAAAACUUUAGGUACUUGAGAUUGAAGAAACUUAUGCAUUCUUGAGUGGGAUAUGUAGGAUUUAUCACUUACCUUUGGUAAAUAGGAAGGGAAUGUUGACUCCUUGAAAUAUGCCCAAACCCAUGGAGUAUCUAAAUAAGUCUGAAAACCAAACACUGUUACCUACUAGACGACAAAGCAGAAAAAUUUUCUUGACUUGCUCACCUUUUAAAUAAUUGAAACUCAGCUCAAUACUUGAAUAAGUCUCUGCAGGCACCCCUUCGAAGUUUACCAUUGAAGGCUCUCGCAAGGCAUUCUUCCAUUCAUGGAGACUCUUGUUUCUCAGUGCCCUCGCUACAGUAGUCAACGCAUGGGCAAACCUCCACAUGCCUUAGCCACAUUAAUUGCUGUAGACUUGAACUUACAACUUUCAACAUCAUCACCAUUCAUUAUCUUAAACAAUCGCCAGGCUUCUUGUUCAGUUAGAUUGCCAAUCAAAAAGUUAUCUUUGGAGCCCAUACUUAAAAGCACAUUAUUAUCUCUUGCUGUCAGCAAUAGUCUGAUAGGUCCCGAUCAAAUACAGAAAAGCAGUGCCUGAUAUUCGUUCAAUUUAUGGUAUGAACAACCAGUAUUUGUUUUGACUAAUUUCCUUCCUUUUAAUCGUCAUGGUUGCUGCUUAUUUAUCCAGAUAAACAUAAAGUAUACUACUGAUUUGUAGCCUAAAACCUUGGCUCAAAUCCAGCCAAAUCAAAUCAAUAUUAACAACUAGAUAAAAACAAAACAGAAAAUAAAUUAACUUGAUUCUUGGCAACAACUUUGAUGUAGUCUUUUUGUUAGAGUACAAUUUAUGCACUAGUUUUGCAUUAUUUACUUCCUUUAAUAUCGAUGUUUUGCACUUAAUAAUAAUGAUUAACUUGUGUUUUAUUUUUGUAGGUGCAAUUCUAUUGAUUGGUGCUAAAAUUGAGCUACAAGAUGAUAUUUGAGGAUCAUUGAUUUCUUGGAGAAAUUAUGAGCUUCAGAAAAACUGUGUUGAUAAGGUGUGGGCACGUGCCGUCAACUGCGGACCUACAGUUUUUAGUUUAACGUAUUUUAUAUUUUUGGUUAUUUUUGUAAUUAUGAAUUUAAUAUUUAGAUAAUACUUUAGAUAUCAGUAUUUUAUUGUAAAAAGAACUUUAGAGGAGAAGAGGGAGAAGAGAAUUUAAGGGAGGAAUGUAUUGUGAAAAGGAGAGAUUUUUGAAAAGAGAAAAACCCUAGAUCUAAAUUUUUCUCUUUUCUCUAUGAGGAACUAAACCUAUUAUUCUGGUUGAAGGUUAAUGAAGGUUUGAUUCAUCACUACUGUGAGAUCUUUCUUAUGCUUUAAUUAUUUUAUUAUUUUUUGGGUAUUUGUUUAUUCUCUGAAUUAUUGUCAUGAUUAUGUUUGUUAAUUAGAUAAUUGACCACUAUUUAAUUAUCAACUUAAUAUGUUGUCAAUUAAAUGAUUUAUCGUAUGAAGAUUUUAAUGUUUGUGACAAAUAGCAUAGCAGUGCAUUGUGUUAUGAGAAUAAACAAUCUAAUUUAAAUGAACCAUUGUAUGCGUUUAUUUAUUAGAAUUUGGGUCUCUCUGGAUUUUCAGGCUGUCAAUUGAUUAAAUCCUAUGAUCGUAUCUAGGUUGUCUAUUGAUUAGGGAAAUAACCAACGGUCGUACUUUGGUUAUCGAUUAGUUAAGAAGAGAUUGACUAUUAGAGGGUCUCAGUAGCUAUAACCGAUCUAUUCAUAAGUAGUAGUGAUUUAUAAUUGAAUCAAUGAUCAGUAAUCAAAUCAAGCUGAGUUAAUUCCUUCAACCAGAGCUUUUUCCAAUUUGAAUUAAAAUUUUAAUUUGCAUUCUUGUUAUUUUUAUUUGAUUUUUAUUAUUGUCAACAAUCCCCCCAUUUUGCAAUUUACUUUUUAAAAGAAUUUAAAUAAUUACCGAUCUCUGUGGACACGACCUUACUCAAUCACUAUACAUAAUUUAUUUAGAGUAGGUAUUUAUUUUUACUGGCUUCGACAACCAUCACUUUUACUUCAAUAUCAAUUCCUCACGUGCUCUUAUUCCAACUAACUCGCAUGAAAGUGUUAUGUGGGAGAUCAAUUGCAUGGCUUGCAUGGGCAUGGUUUGCAUGGUCAAACAAAGUCCACAAGCUUGCUGCUUGGCUUUGAAACUCUAGCUGAUCUCCUUGGUUGUCUAUCAAAGUCUACAUCCUUUAUGAUUAUUUCCAAAAAGAAUUCCAACGGUCUCCAAAUCAAGAUGUUUCCAGAUAUUAUCUAGAAUCACAAGAAUCUUAUUCUCACUCUUCAAUCGUUCAUUCAGCUUGCUAGCUCUUCUAUAUUCAGCUUCAUGGGACAACUCCAGACCUAACUUCUCUGUAAUUUCCCCUUGAAUCUUUUUUUAUCUCUGGAGUUUAUGAAACCUCUGAUAAAACCACCCGAUAAAACAACUUCUUUUCCCUGGCUUGCCUAGCAAACUCCUUCACCAGUGUGGUCUUUCCAAUGCCGCCGAUGCCGUACACCCCAAUAAUGCUGACAUUCGCCUCAGUCAAUGCAUUUUUUAUAGAUUGCAAAGUAGAAAGUCUUGAUUCGAAGGCCUCGUAACCAUUGCUAGAGUUAAGCCAUAUCUGCUCCGGAAUGGUACCGUGGGAAACAGUAUCAAACUUCUUAACUUCUUCUCCAAGUUCAAUAAUGGCCUUCACCUCCGUCUCUGCUUUCUUGCUAAGCUGAUAGCGACUCUUCCAAAUAGGACUCAAGCCCUUGACACAGCGCUUAUUCGUUGACUCCUCAUCUUCAAUGAAUUUGGCUGCCCGGUCAAUGAUGCCGUUCGUACUUCGCACUAACCAGCCACUUUUCAACCUUCUCUUCAAUCUCUUCCCCUUUUUCUUUCGCCUCUGAAACCCUGCGCUGAAUGCUCGUACGUUCAACCUUCAACUUCUCCAUUUCCGCCUUGAUAUUCUCAAAGUUGGCAUUGUAGUUCCGCUUUCGCAAAUAAACAAGUUGGCGUGCAGUUGGAGGAGCCAAGCAUUUUACAAGUUCCAAGACGAUAGUCACAAUGAUUUCCAGCAUCUCGAAGCCUGACAAAAACGUAGAAGCGAAGAAGGCCAAAGGAAAGUAAAAACAAAGAGACAGCGAUAGGACAAGCAAUUGUGUUUUUCAGAUGAGAUGAAGGAAACAAGAAAAGGGUUUCUAUCACGACGUAAAGAGCUAAAAGAGCUGAUGGGUACAGAAUUAGAAAUGAGACUGAGGAGUGAACAAAGCUAAAUAAUAACAGAACAAGAACAAUGACGAAUAGAAGAAACAGUACCAAAGAGCCGUUUAGAUGAUUAGAAUGAAACUAAGCGACUGGAAAGAGUGGAUAGUAGACUAAAGAGAAAGUGAUUGAUUAUUUUAGGAGGCCAAUUAACGUAAUGACAGAUCCGGUUUCGAUGUUUGUAAUUUGAAUAUGAGGUAAAUCGAUUCUUUGUCGAGCCAGUCAAAUACAAACCCAAAUUAGUAAAACACGAGCCGGCAACUUUUACUCACACAAAAGCCAAUAAUAUAUUGGGAUCACGCAACAUUGCAAUAAAGUUAUCAUCAAGUUGUAGCCUUCUUAUUCAAUCAAUUAUAGCAUUAUCUCUAGCUCUGUAUUUUUUUUAAAAAAUAUUAUUCAAAAGAUGUCUGUCAUUAAUUUUUCAAUGAUUAAAAUUAUAAUUUUUGUUUAAUAUAUAUAACGUAAAAUUUUAAAAGAAUCAGACAUGCAUUAGGGUAAAAAAUAAAAAAUAUGGAGGUAGCUUUUAACUAGGUAAUUGGCUCAACUAUGGAUCAGUGUGAGAUCACUAUUUUUCUUAUAAAAAAAAAAAAUUCCAGCCAAACAAUUGUCGCAAAAUUUUAAUAUAAAUUACAAAAAAAAGACAAUAUUUUCUAAAAUCAUAGCAAUAAUUUAUAUUUUGAAUACCUGUAAAUAAACCACUUAGACAAUAUUCAGUAUGUGUAUAUGUAUGUAUGUAUGUAUGUAUGUAUGUAUGUAUGUACGACCAAUAUAACAGUUCAAAUUCCUCGAGAAGUAAUAAUAGGAUGCAUCUGACAAACCUCUUAAUACCAUGAUGAAAUUGAAUGGUCUUCAUACAUGCUUGGCAGAGCUCUAACAUCUGUUUUGUGGGGAAUGGUGGCUGACCGCUGUGGUCGAAAGCCUGUAAUAAUAAUAGGAUGCAUCACAGUGUUAGUGACCUCUAUUUUCAAAUGAUCAAGCUUGAAAUUGAUGAUAUUUUGGCAAUUUCUGGGUUUCUUAUUUGUCUUAAAAUGCUCACAGGGUUAUUUUUAACACUCUCUUUGGGCUUAGUGUUAGUUUCUGGAUGGCCAUAGCUACAAGGUUUCUCCUUGGGGCUUUGAAUGGUUUACUUGGACCAAUUAAGGUAUUGAUUGGGGGUAUUUGUUGAUAAUUCCAAUUUAACUCCUGUAAAUAUUUGUACUCAAACUUCUCUUGCACCACCAGGCAUAUGCAUGUGAAAUAUUGCGCGAUCAACACAAAACUUUAGGACUGUCAACGGUGAGCUUAUCAGUUCGUGAAUGAUUGCAAAGUUCUUGAGAAAAUUUUAUAGCAUCAUUUACCUUGAGAACUACGAUAUAAUUUCAGCUCAGUACAGCAUGGGGCACAGGAUUGAUUAUUGGCCCUGCAGUGGGUGGCUUUUUGGCCCAGGUUCGGCAAUUUUUACUUGAUUAUUAUGCGCUUUUUUUUUUUUUUGAAUUUUUAGUAGUUUGGCUUGAUAAAUAUUAUUCUUAUAUAUAUUCGUGGAUAAUUUUGCAAUCCAGCCAGCAGAGAAAUAUCCAAAGGCAUUUUCCAAAGAAUCUAUGUUUGGAAAGUAAGUGAAUUUUUACUGCCAUUAGCCUUAUCUUUUUCUGUAAUACUUUCAAUAUGAUGGUAUUUUGAAAAACAAAUUUAUGCAGGUUUCCUUACUUCCUUCCCUGUCUCUGUAUGUCACUCUUUGCUUUUGCGGUAACUAUUGCUUCUUGCUGGAUUCCGGUACGUAGCCUUUAGCUCUCUUUUCAAGCUGAAUUGUACAUGUAAUAGCAACUCUCCCAUAACUUCAAAUUUUCUUAUGGGUGAGACUAUAAAAUAUAACUUUCGCUUCUCUUAUAAUGACUACAUUGACACCAUCACAUGCUUUUUGAUGCAGGAGACAUUGCACAAACACAAUGAAGAUGGUGUAUCACUUGAUGUAUCAUGUGAUGCUUUGGAAUCCGCCUGUGGGUCCAAUGCAGAAUUUAAACAAGAUGAAGGAAGUGAGGAGGCCACUGCUAAGAAAAGCCUCAUGAAGAAUUGGCCCUUUAUUUCUUCUACUAUUGUUUAUUGUGUUUUCUCGCUUCAUGAUAUCGCUUACACCGAGGUAUAAACAUCUCUACCUGAGUUUGAUUGUUUAUAUAUAUAUAUAUAUAUAUAUAUAUAUAUAUAUAUAUUCUACUUUAUUAUGACAUAAAAAUGUUCCAAUCCAAAAUCUAAACUAUUUUAAUGUUCGGAAAAGUUAUUGUUGAUGCCGAAAUCUGGAUGAGUUGGUCAAAUCUCAGAUCCCUGCAUCAGCAUUAAAUUUGUUUGGUGGGAAGCUGAUGAUUAGUUAGCACCAUGAGCAGAUUUUCUAUGAGCAGAUGUUCUGUGAGCAAACAACCCAUGAGCAGACGAUCCAUGAGCAGAGAACCCAUGAGCAGACAAUCCAUGAGCAGACGAUCCAUGAACAGAGAACCCAUGAGCAGACAAUCCAUGAGCAGACAACCCAUGAGCAGACAAUCCAUGAGCAGACGAUCCAUGAGCAGAGAACUCAUGAGCAGACAAUCCAUGAGCAGAUAACCCGUGAGCAGACGAUCCAUGAGCAGAGAACCCAUGAGCAGACAAUCCAUGAGCAGAUAACCUGUGAGCCUGUGAACACAACCAACAGUCAGGAGGUGCCGGAAGUUUUUCCGGCGAGAACUCUCCGACGCUCAAGUCAGCGAUUCGGGUCUUACUUGGAAAAACCCAUACCACAAUUCAUGUGGCUUAAUUAUGAUUGCUUUAAACAAAAAGCUUUUAAGUAAAUUUAAAGGAAAAAAAUUCACAAUAAUCAAUCUUAAAGAAAUCACAGGCGAAAGAGAAAUUUCUCAGUAGUAGAGGAAGAAAAAGGUCCAAUGGGUUCAGUUGCUUAGAGAGAGAGAGAGAGAGAGAGAGAGAGCUAGAAGAAUCCCCCCUUAGGGUUUUUAUAUGAAAAUAUAGCGGUUUUUAUCCUCUCCCAUAGGAUUCUCAAGAAAACUACUAAUUUUCAGCCCACUAAGAAUAUGGUCCCUAAUAUUUCGGAGAAAAUGUUUUGACUGAAUCGUGUUUUCUGGUAACUUCCUAGUCGAGGUGACCAAUAACAUCCUGGUCGAGGUGAUGUGCUUGAGGUCACCACAUAUUAUUCUGGUCGAGGUCAUCACAUAUUAUCCUGGUCGAGGUGAUCAAUAAUAUCCUGGUCGAGGUGAUCUGCUCGAGGUCACUACAUAUUAUUCUGGUCGAGGUGAUCUGCUUGAGGUGACCAAUAACAUCCUGGUCGAGGUGACCAAUAAUAUCCUGGUCGAGGUGAUCUGCUCGAGGUCACCACAUAUUAUUCUGGUCGAUGUGAACUAUAAUAUCCUGGUCGAGAUGAUCUGCUCAACCAGUUAUUAAGCCACAUGGUUUAAUAGUCCAAUGACCAAUGGCUUUCCCGAACUUGAAUAAAGUCCAGGAUCCUGGAUCAGAUCGCUUUCUGUUAGAUAUUUGCAAAGUUAUCUCUUAACUUCUACCUGAAACAGAGGGUGCUAUUGCUGUUGAUGGGAUUGUUUUGAGUUUUAUACAUAAAGAAGACAUAUGGCUAUUACUGAUCCUAAGAAUUUCUUAUCUAUGUAAUUUUUUUAAAUCAUAAUAUUGCAACUAUUCUGUUAGAUAUUUUCACUGUGGGCUAUCAGCCCGUGGAAGUACGGGGGUCUGAGUUACUCAACCGAAAAUGCUGGCCAAGUUCUUGCCAUCUCAGGUGCAAAACCAAUACUCUUGUUGCCCAUUUAUACUUAUUACGAAACUGAAAAUGUUACUCGUUCCUCUUAACUUCUUUUCUCAUGCAUCAACCCCACAAAACUGCUUAUUGAUUGUCCUCAACUCCUCAUUUUGAACUUACUGCAGGAUUCAGCCUCCUUGUUUUUCAACUUACUCUAUACCCUUACGUUGAGAGGAUGAUCGGGCCAAUAAUAAUAACACGCAUUGCAGGGGUAAAAUUUUGAACAAACCAUGUGGCAUUUAGAUCAUUUGAUAGUUUGUUUCAAACAUAUUUGUUUAUAAAAUACUUUUCUUCAUGGAUUUGGUGACGUAAUUUUCUAUGUAUAUACAGGUUUUAUCGAUACCGCUUUUGACAAGUUACACUUACAUAGCAAUGUUAUCUGGGUUCAGCCUUGCCUUAUUGAUAAACUGUGCUUCUGUGAUGAAGAAUGUUUUAUCUGUAAGUGGAUAUCCUAAUCAUUGAUCCAUAUACUUAGGUUAUAUUACCCAUUAGCAAGAAUGUAUAAAAAUUAUUUUAUAUCUUCUUUAUCAGAAAUGUUGUAAUUCUCUUUCACUUUUCCUGAAUUAUAACAUCAGGUGUCUAUAAUGACUGGAUUGUUCCUUCUGCAAAACAGAGCAGUGGUAAAUAUAUUUUCUUUUGUUUGUUUAGUACAUUUCCAUGCUUUCAGCUUUUUCAUGCUUUGUAUGUGUCAAAAGUUUAAAUUAUUUUUUUGGUUUAUGGUAUAAUAACAGGAACAGCAUUAUACCAUAAUGGACUUGCUAUGACUGUGGUGUCGCUUACCAAAACUGCCGGUCCAGCUGUAGGAGGUGCUCUGUAAGUGUCCUAUUGAUUUUGUAAAAUUAUAUGUAAAUGAUGUUAUAAUUUUUUUUCAUUAAUUGGGGUUCUGGCAGAUUUUCUUAGUCACAAAAGCGUCAAGGUGCUGGUUUCCUCCCAGGUAUGAAUUUACUAAUGAAAUUUCUCACUAGUAUGUGAAUUACUUGGUGCUAAUUAACUUAAUCAGCUGCUUAAACUAAAGUGCAGGUAACCAGAUGAUUUUCUUCAUUCUGAAUUUGGUUGAGGCACUUGGAGUAAUAUUGACAUUCAAACCGUUUCUGAUUCAACGUGCCACAUGAGUAGAGAAAAGAUGCACCUGUUGAAAUAUUAAAAUACAUAUCUAGCAAAUUAAAGUUUUCAAAAUCUAUCAGGAAUUUGAUUAUUUGUGUGGUUGCCACUCGCCAUAUUUUGUGUUACUGUUCUAACGGCUUAAAUAUGAAAAUGGUUGUUGGUGCUCACAAAUUGAUUGCUGGUAACAUUAAUUGCUCAAUAUUUAUCUCUGUUGAUGUUUCAACUUAUUCAUUGUCAGUAAUACCACAAUUUAUCUUCACAAUGAUUCUAUCUAGAAAGAAAUUUUCAUAUCAAGUAAAAUAUUGAAGCCAUAAAGAGUCUUAUUCAAGAGCCUUAAUUAAGUACUAAAGUUUUCUGCCAUGAUUUCAAUGGUAACACAUUCGGAGCUUUUACUCCAGGGGCUUCACAGAAGAGAGACCUGAUGGAACCAGGCAUUAGAAUUUAUGAUGACGGAAAAUUGGACGUUGAGAUUGAAAAUAUAGAGAAACACAAGUUUUUGAAAAGUCUGAAAUUUUAUUAAUAGAUAGGUCUGAAUAACAAAAUUUGGAUUUUGGACCCUCUUUAUACUAAUUCUAAAUAUUACGAAUUUACCAAAAUAAGCAAACCUAAAAUAUUAUUAUAUAAUAACAUUCUUCUAAUAAAAAUAAAAUAAAUCGUACUUAAAUCUUAUAUUUGUAGAAAAAAAAUAAAAAUCUUGAAAAUAAUAAGAAAAAUAAGAAAAUAUCUUAAACUUGUAAAAUAACUAUGAAACAAAUAGAAUUUCUAGCUGGACCACGAGACCAAUACAAUGUUAUAGUAAUAGAUUAAUGAUAUAUUAUACGCCCUAGAUAGAUAUCUAUAACUCAAGUUAUGAUCUCAGAGCGAUAUCCUACUCAUCAUAUGCAACCAUUGGUUGCAUCAACUUUGUUCCAAAAUUAACAAGAAACCAACCGACGCAUUGCAAAUAAUUUAGAUGAAACGAUGAAAUAAACUUAGAGAUCAAACAAAAUGAAAUGAAAACGAUUGUUACCUCGGACCUUGUUCUUCAAAUUUGACAACACCAUGUAAUAAAUUAAAAAGCCUAUGGGAUCAGAACAUAUCGUACUGCUGAAAAUAAAUUAUGUCAUUCAUUAAUUUGAAGUAAAAUUUGUAAAUUUAGGUACUUGCACAUAGAGAUUUGCAAGGGGAGCGAGAGAUUCAAUAGCGGCAAUUUAAUUUGACAGGACUUUCAUUGAAUAAUGAAAUUAAAAACUAACGAUUAAUGAAUUUUUUAUAUUCUCUUAAAUCUAGUGGAAAUGUCAGCUCUAAAUAGGACAGUUUCAAGAAUCUUUAUCUGAAAGCGUAAUUUGCAAAGCAGAAACUUGUGAGACUAUCUAAAUCACACAGACUCGACGUCUUCAAUUUGCUGAAAACAAUCUCUUGUUUUGAAAUUAAAUUUGGUGCUCCAUCUUCUUCUCCGUCACCUAUUAACACCUCUGUCAAACACCUCUGUCAUUGGCCUGCAUCCAGUUACCUUCAUUGAUACGAGCCGCACUCGACUUUCUGCUGUAGUGGAUGGAUGUUACAAUUCUUUGCAAUGGAAAACCACCAGUUCUGUUAGAUUCCCAAAAGUUACAGAUGAUCAUGGGAAUAGACUUAAAAGAUUUUUACAAGCAUUAAUAUAGCCUUAGAAUUUCAAGAUAUUGAAAAUGGAGUCCAGUUUGGAGUUGCUUCAGAUGAUUAAGUCUGGACAGGAUUAACCAUUUUAUCAGCGCCAACUUCCUCCCUUGUUUCUACCAGUAUCCGGCUUCAUUUGAGAAUAUCUCUUUGUAUGAGCUAUAAACCCAGUAGGAGAUAUUCCCAAAAAAAAAAAAAAAAAAAAAAAAAAAAGACCUUAUUUCAAAUGAUGCACAGAAGAAGAGUUACCUGAAUCUUCAUGAGUAUCCAGACAUUCUACAAUCACAGAGUAAAGAAUUUUAAUAGGAACAACAGAGAAAAUACUGUUCUUCUGCACUUCUCAUAAAACUAGACCAGAUUAGUCCCUUUCUUGGUAUCCAACGUUUUCAAACAAUAUUUCCACAAUAUAGUUUUUCAUAGCGAAGAGUUUUGCUUUGAUGGCUUAAGGAUUUGUUCCAGGCAUAAUGCUCUGAUUAGAUUUUGUUUAUUUUUAAUUUUUUUUAAUUUUUUUAUCCGAUGAAUGAUUUUCAGCUGUUCUUAAUUAUGUGUUCAUAGGGAAGAGCAUUUUCUAAGUACUUCCUUUGCCUUCUAAGUUUCCAAAGAAAGAUAGGUGUGAAGCAAACCAAACCAAAUGAACAAACAGAGCACAAGCUAAAAUAACAGAACAGCAAUGAUGAAAACAAAUAAUUGGCGAAGAAAGAUAGGAAAAAAGUACGCACGAUUUCAUGGAAUUAUAAAAUAUGAAGGCUUUUAAUGAAAUUUUAUCAUAAAAAGUAUGCAAGGAAUUAUACAAUUUUAGAAAACAAGGGAAACUCUCCAAAAAAAAAAUAAAAUUAAACUAGACUGAAAGACAUUCAAUGAUGCAAAAUCUGUCCAUAAAAGUCUGAACGAAUCAUUAAAAUGGCAUUCCAAAUUUAACAGUAAAUCGAGUGACCCAUUCUAAAUAAUUCAGAUGAAAUUGCGAAAGAAGCCAUGAGAUCAAAUAAAUGAAAUAAAAAUUAAUUACCAGUUGAGACUUUCUUCUAAAAAUUCACAACUCCCAAGUCAUAAGAAGCCUAUGAAAUUAGUACCGGGUGGAGAACGACGACGGCACCGCCAACAGCUGAAAAUAAAAUUCUUAUUCAUCAAUUUAAACUUUUACUUUAAACAAAUAUCUUAUCUAUAUUGUAUUUUAAAAAGCAAAUUUUAUAAAAAUUUAUCAUGGGAGAUAGAGAGUAAUAUGUAUAUCCGUACCUUCUCAGCAUGUAAUUGUUGUAUGGUUGCGUUUAGAUCAUUAUUAGCCCAGCACCGUUGAUCCGCUGUCUCUCCAUACCAGACGUAUACUCCCGGAGGCGUGAUUGAUUCUCCUGUAGUGAAAAUCUUCAUCUUGGGACAACAAAUCACCCCCAACUCUUGCAAAGAUGGGAAUUCAAAGGUGUAAUUGGCAGAGCAGAAACUUGUGAGGCUGUCUAAAUCACACAGUUCCAACGUCUUCAAUUUGCGGAAAACAAUCUCUUCUUUUUCAACCCCGUCUUUGUCAUUUAUUACCACCUCUGUCAUUGCUCUGCAUCCGUAUACACCAAGUGAUACGAGUCGCACUAGAGUUUUUGCUGUGGAGGAUGUUACCAAGUGCAUCAAUUCCUUGCAACCGCUAGCUACAAGUUUUGUUAGGUUCCCAAAAGAUACCGAUGAUGAUGGCAAUAGAAUUAACAGACUUUGACAAUGAUAUACUUUUAGAAUUUCAAGAUACUGAAAAAUGGGGCCAAGUUUGGAGUCUUGUUUGCACAGCUGCUUCAGAUGAUAGUGCCGGUACAGCUCUAAUUCUUUUAUCGUUGCCAACUUCCCCACAUGUUUCUCUAAGCAUCCUUCCAUCGAAAAUACCUCUUCGUGGAAUGAAAAAUUAAACAGUGUGAGUAUUUCGAGAUUGUGAAAUCUCUCAAGUACGUUCCAGAUUGGAAAACCAGCUGAGUCAUCUUCAGCAAUCACUAGUCGUUUAAGACUGCCAAAAAGGUGUUGUGGGAAAUCGGCCUGCAAAAUCAUCUUCGCGUCUUUUCCGCUUAGUGAUAGUUCCGUCAAGUUGGGUAAGAUCUGAUCAUCAUCAAUCAUAAUAACUGACAAGGUCAAUUGGUGUUCUCUCAAAUGAUUUUGAGUAAUCCAAUCACAUGCAGUGACUUUAUAGUAUUUGUUUUAUAUUAUAUUUUACAAAAACAAAUUGAAUUAUUGAUAAAUUUUAUUAAAUGAUUUUUUAUAUAUUAAUUUUAGAGGUAAAAAAGAAAUUAGGGAAAAAAAGAAAUUAUUUUAUUGCACGAUAAUAAAUUACUAAUUUAUUUUGUAAGUUCUUCUAUAGGAAAGACUAAGGAUUCUUUUAUAAAUGCUAUACCUAAAAAAGUUCAUAUAAUUAUUAAUCUACCACAUUGAUCCCUUAGUCUAGACUAGCAAAGAUUAUUGUAUAAUAAAAGUUUUCAAUUUAUUGAGUAUUAAUUUAUCAUUGCUUUGUCAUAUUUUUCAAAGUUAAAAAUAAGUUAUUGAUAAAAAAAAUCUAGAAAAUGGCUUCAUACCUUUUCCAACGGCAAUGGGGGCUGUUGUACAGGAAUACCAAGUUGAUCAUUCUCAUUUUUCUGCAAUAAAUCUGCAGCGAAUAUCUUUAAUUUGUCACAGCGAUACACAAAAAGCAUUUCAAGCGCAAGCCAUUCCGGAGUAUGCAUUCCAGGGUACAAACAUCUAAGUUUUGGUAGAUCUUGGAGUCUCAGAGUGGUGAGCUGUGGAAAGACAAAAUAAGGGAUCACUUGAUCUGCUCUGUUUUCAGAAAUGAUCUCCUGUAAAUCCUUACAGUCUCGUAUAUCUAGGUGUUGGAGCUGCUUGAGGCUUCCGAUCAUAGACGCUGAAAAUAUGUAUUUUAAUUUGUGACAACGCCACACAAUCAAUCUUGUUAAACUUUGAAAGUGAGGAAACACGGCCGCCGGAAUUUGAUUGUAGUGCCAAAUCUUGUCGACAUUAAUUUCAGAUAUCUCCAAAGCCUCCAAGUUAGGCAACGCAACCUAAAAAAAUAAGAAUUUCUCGUUAGAUCCAAUAUCUAUAGGGGAAGCACUUGUUGAAAUUUUCUUCUUUGAUUACAAAUUAAUCAAGUCUGAAUCAAUUUCCAACUGACAGCUGAGUAUGCAUUCUAAUUCAUACUACUUGUUAAGAGCUCAAUUAGUGAGCGCGUGAGAUUCUUUUUAUCCUUUUUCCAUUUUCUUUCAAUUCUUUAAAUGAUUUAAUUAUAUAUAUAUAAAGAAAAUGUUAGCCUACGCACCUUCUCGUUGAAAAGCAGAGUUGAAGUAUCCAAAGUGAUUUCGCUGGAGCAAUACGUAGUCGUCGAUUCCUCUUGCGACACUUGUCUGUUCGGUGAUGCUGAAGGAGUCUCCACCUCACGGCGGCAAAAACUUGUAACCUCUGGAAGAUUCCCCAGACUCAAAGAUCUUAAUUGAACAAACUCUAUCUUCUCAAUUGCAUUAUCAACUUCUUCCCCAAUUGCAAAAAUCUCUUUCAUCUUGCUGCAAUUAAUAACUGCAAUUCUCUCAAGUCUUGGAAGGCAUUUUGAAGUAGAGAGCCAAAAGAUAUUACUCAACUUAUCACAAUUAUAUACUUCUACAUUUUUGAGUUCGUUGAAAGACUCUACUUUGAGCCGAUCAACACAUAUCCUCUCCAUGUUGAUCAAAUUGUGAAGGGCAAGUGACUCCAAAAGAGGAAAGGCAUCACAAGCGACCAUCUCCCUUGAAUCGACGAUACAAAAGAAGUCAGGAUUAUUUUGGACGCAGAGGACCUUCAAUUGUGAAAAGCCCUCCGUGUCCAAAUUGAAAAGAACAUUCUCGAUGCCUUGCAGCUUGUCCAACCGUAAGUAUUCAACGUUAUUGAUGCCCUGCAAUUUCAUGGAGCAAAUGUCCAUAAAAUCAAGCUUGAGCUCCAAUUCUCUUGAAAUCUUGCGAUUACUGUCGAUCAAAAAGUGCAGCUGACUUUUAAACCAAUGUUGUCCAAAAAGCAUGGGAUGCAUGAAUAACCCAUUUCCAAUAGAUAUUUUGAACCUUUCGAGCUUUCUGGCCAAAAAGCCUGCUGGUAACAUACUCUCAUUUUUAACAUCAAUUUCUAGAGUGGUUAGCCAACGUAAAUGCAUCAAUUCGUCAAGGCUAGCAUUACUUCUUUUGCUGUUGGCUCUUUCAACCUCCCAUUCAAUGGAGCAAUUACACAUAUACAAUUCUUCUAAUCGGAUUAAGCUUGAUAUGACAUUUGGAGCAAUAACUUUUAGAUGGAAACAGUCUGUUAAAUCUAACAGCCUUAGCUUAGUCAGUUGACCUAGUGCUUUGGGCAAUUGCACCGUAUCAGACCGCACGAAGCUGAGGAUUUCUAGAUUUUCCAACUUUCCAAUAAUGGCUAUGUCGAUGUCUCUCAAAAUGCUUUCAUCAAGACAAAGUGUUUUAAGUUUUACUAAGAGAUCAAUUGAAGAAGGCAAUGAAAAUAACUGCAUUCCAGUAAAAUCUACAACUUUAAGCUUUCUCAUCCCUACAAAAAAAUUUUCAGGAAUACUCACUUCAAGAGAAGAAUCUUCGGGAGACAUGCACAAGAACUCAAGUUGUGGACAUUCCAAUGCAUUGGGAAGCUCAUGAAUGCAACAAUAUCUUAUAGAGAUUGCAUAGCAUUUUUUUAGUGAUUCCUUAUCUGGCAACUCCCACACAUCCUCGUUUUCCACCACAAAUACAUGUUGGUCUCGGCAUGCAAUUGAUCUGGCGACAUCGCGAACAACAUCAUGCAUUGAAAUUAGUUUAUUGCUAUCACCCUCAAGCAACAAACAAGAGUCUCUAAGUUCAUGUACCAACGCAUAUAACUUGUUUCGUGCAUCUUCCAUCUUAUUGACUCCUUGAAAUAUACCCAAACCUAUGGAGUAUUUAAGCAAUUUCAAAGUAGGGAUACUGUUACCCAUUAGACUGCAGAGCUGAAAAAGUUCCUUGAGUUGCCCACCUUUUAAAUACUUGAAACUCAGUUCAAUACUUGAAUAAGUCUCUGCAGACACUCCUUCGAAGUUUACCAUUGAAGGCGUUCGGAGUUCUCGCAAGGAAUUCUUCCAUUCAUGCAGACUCUUGCCUCUCAAUGCCUUUGCUACUGUAGUCAAGGCAAUGGGCAAACCUCCACAUGCCCUGGCGACGUCUAUUGCUGUAGAUUUCAACUCACGAUUUUCAACAUCAUCACCGGCCAUCAUCUUAAACAAUCUCCCGGCUUCUUCUUCAUUUAAAUUGUUUAUCAAAAAGUUGUCUUCAGAUCCCAUUUUCAAGAGGACACUACGAUCUCUUGUCGUCAGCAGUAGUUUGCAUCCUUUAUGAUCUUCUCCAAAAGGAAUUCCAACGGUCUCCAAAUCAAGGUGUUUCCAGAUGUUAUCCAGAAUCACAAGGAUCUUCUUCUCAUUUCUCAAUCGCUCACAUAGCCUACUAGCUCUUCUAGAUUCAACUUCCUCGUGCAACUCCAGGCCCAACUUCUCGGCAAUUUCCUGUUGAAUCUUUUUUAUGUCUGGAGUUUGCGAAACCUCUGAAAAGACCACCAUAUCAAAGAGCUUGUCUUCCAUAGCUUGCCUGGCGACCUUCUUCACCAGUGUCGUCUUUCCAACGCCGCCCAUGCCGUACACCCCAAUGAUGCUGACAUCAACAUCGAUCAAUGCAUUUUGUAUGGCCUUCAAAGUAGAAAGUCUUGAUUCGAAGGCCUCGUAGCCUUUGUGAGACUUGAGCCAUAUAUCCUCCGGAACGGUACGGUAGGAAAUUCUAUCAUCAAAUCUCCCAGCUUCUUCUCGGAGUUUAAAAAGGGCCUCCUUCUCUGUUUCUGCUUUCUUUCCAUGCUGAUAGCGAGUAAUCCAAUUUGGAAACAGCCCCAUGAGACAUCGUUCAUUUGCUUUCUCUUCGUCUUGAAUGAAUUUGGCUGCCUCCUCAAUGCUCUUGUUCGCAUUAACCAGCCAUUUCUCAACCUUCUCUUCAAUCUUUUCACCUUUUCUUUCAGCCUCAGAAACUCUGCGCUGAAUGCUUUCUCUUUCAUCCUUGAGCCUAUCGAGUUCUGCCUUGAGAUUCUCAAAGUUGGCAGCGGAGUUAUACCAAUAACUAAAUUCGCGUUGUGCGUGAGGAGACAAGCAGUUCACAACUCCUGGAACAAUGCUUUUCAAAAUGUCCAUUUUUUAUUUUUUGGGGAAGUGAACGAAAUAGAAAUAGAACAGGGUCAACGGCCGCGCAAUUGAUAAUCAAGCAGAAGCAAAACAAGGCAAAGUUGAAAAAAGAAAUGAUAUUUGUACAAAACAAGGGAAAAUCAGUGUAACAGAAGAGAAUCAAAGUGUUUUUGAGAUCAGACAAUUGAAUCAAGAAAAGGGUUGCUUGAUCCAAUGAAAAUGCGAAGAGCUGAUGGCAAAAGGGAACAAAGCUAAAUAAGAAAACGGCUAGCACGAGCAGCGACCACGAUGAACAGAAGCAAAGUGUGUAUGAGAUCAAAAGACGAAAAUCAGGAGAGGUUUUCUUGACUGAGAAUUGAAGGCAAAGAGUAGGAGCUGACGAUUACGGGGAUCAAGAGGGAAAAACUGCUUGCUUGUAAAACUACUUUCAAGCGAAUCUGAUAAAAUUAUUUCAGUACUAGUGGGCGACUCCAUUUUAAACUGCUGAAGGAAAAAAAAAAUUAUGAAUUUCAAUAUAUUAAUUUUUAUCCUAAUUUAUGUUGAGGCUCGUAAUCUCGUCUCAAUGAUUAAUUAGUAGAUAAUCUUUCUAACAAAUAUGUGUUGAAUAGAUAUAUUUCUUGACUAUUAGUAGGUUAGAUAUAUUUUAGCAUAGGAAUGAAAGUACAAGUUGUGUCGUAUCAGAAUAAAAAUUUGACCUAAAAAUAUUGUUUUAUGAGUCCAGCUAUCUUGCAACAGUUGUAAUGUGCCACUUAUUUUUGUUUUAUGUGACGUUACAUUUCAUUUAAUACCUUACUUUCUUUCUUAUUUACAUUUUAUUUAUAAGUUUAUAUGUUUUAGCUAGUGACAUUUUAAAAUGUAAUUUUAUUUUAUUUAAUAUUAUUUAUUUUUUUACAUUUAUUUAUAAUUUUGUAUGCUUUCGCUGGUAACUUUUAUAAAAUGUAAUUUUAUUUUAUUUAACAUUAUUUAUCUUUAUAAAAAAGAAUAAAUAUAAUAAUAAGCCUAUGACUAAAUAAUAUUAAAUAAAAUAAAUAAUAUUAAAAAAUUUAAAUUAAAUAAAUAAUAUUAAAAUUUUAACUUAAAUAAAAUAAAUAAUAUUAAAAUUUAACUUAAAUAAAAUAAAUAAUAUUAAAAAUGAUAUUAUUUUUAAGACACUAUUGAUUUUUUAAUAUUAUUCAGUUUUUAAAGAAUAAAUAUAAUUAUAAGCCUAUGACUAAGUAAAAAUAAUAUUAAUUUUAACAGUCAUUAUUGAUUAUUUUAUUUUACUUAAUAUUAUUUAUUUUUUAAAAUAAUAAAUAUAAUAAUAAGCCAAUGAUUAAAUAAAACAAAAAUAAAAAUAAUAUUUAUUUUUAAAGCGCCCUAAUGAUUAUUUUAUUUUAUUUAAUGUUAUUUAGUUUUUUGAAAGAAUAAAUAUAAUAAUAAGUAUAUGACUAAAUAAUAUUAAAUAAAAUGGAAUAAAUAAUAUUAAAUAAUAUUUAUUUAUUCUUUUAAAUAAAAUAUAUAAUAUUAAAAAUAAUAUUUAUUUUUUAAUACUCACUACUAAUUAAACAAUAUAAAUUGUAAACAAUCCGGACUUAUGUGUUAAAAUUUUAAACUCUUUAACUUGUUUGUGUCUUUAAUAAAUAUCAAGGAGUGUAAUGUUAAUAUUUAAAUGAACAAAUCUCUACCAUUGAAACCACCUUUUCAUUAAAUCUAAUGAUAAAAAACUGAAAUUAAGAAAAGUCAAAAUUUGGUGGUACCUUGCAACUGUUGUAAGGUAGCUGAGUCCUGUUCUAUAACCUUUUAAUUAUUUGUCAGCUAAUAAUUAAGUAAUAUAAAAAAAUUAAUAAUCGGAAUUACUCUUUUAAAUAUUAUAAAUAUUUAUUUAUUUUUUAAUUAUAAUAUCAUUAUUUAAAAAUAAUUGCUUGACUUACAUUAGUAACAUUACGAUUGUGGUAAAGCAUGUGAUUCUCAUCCAAUAUCCAUUAUUUGUGAUCCUUAAUCAAUAAAAUAUCUGACAAUAUCUUCGCCAAAAGUUUGAGACAUGUGAUCUUUAUUCCACUGCGUCAAUUACACUCCAGUCCCAUGCUGCCAUCAUUAUCGAACAGUCGAUAUCCAACACUUGCACGAAGAUUCCAAGAAGUUGCGUGGCUGCCGACAUUUAGAUGCUAAGCCUUGUUGUGUCGAAGAUACACAAAACAGAGCAGUCCGGGCAAUUGCCAAAACUUAGAACUAAACAGUAGCUUAGUCAAAAAAAUCAAAUGCCAGCACCGCUAAAAUGAUCGAUAAAAAUAUAAAGAAACCAAAGCUUUAAAAGAAAUCAGCCAAAUCAGGAAGAUUGAAAAGUAAAUCUAUGGCUUUAGAUUUUUAUUUUAUUUUUUUAGAUAAUAGAUAUUAUUUUGAUGAAUUUUUAAUAUUAGAAUAAUGCUAGGAAUUUCGAUAGUAGAAUUCUAAUUUGAGACCCAAUUGUUAUGUGUUAUUUUUUUUAUUAGAUAAUGAAUUUCAUAAUUAGUAAAAUUAAUAUCAAAGUCCAAAGUUAUUGGGAUGAUAACUUUUUUUUGAUAGACUGAUAUAUUACAAUGAGAGCUCUACUGAUAUUUACAAUAAAAAAUGAAACUCUCCUCAAUAAUUCUAUUACAGCACAGCCUGAAUAUUAAGCCUUACUUAAAGUUGGAGGGAGAUCCAUUUUAUCCCAAUACAAAAAGACAAAUAAACUCUUAUUGUACAGAAAAGUUGAAUCUCAGUGCUGUGACUCAGUAUGCAUGCGCCCAACAACCUUGUGAUGAUAACUUAUAAUCGUCAAACUAGCAUAAGGACCUUAUUUUUCAUUCACAAAUAAAUAAAUGAUGUGACUUAACGGUUGGCGGGGUCCCUUGUGCCAUUUGUGCAUUUCACUAAAGGUCCGCCUAAGUUAUACAUUUAACGUAACUUACCGUCAGCCUGUGAAAUUUUAUAUAACCCCCCAUAUUCUAUGUUAUUUAUAUUUUAUUCAUGAAUAUUAUAAACUUUUUGAAAUAUAAAAUUUCGUUUAACCCCUUAUACUCAAUUUUAUUUUAUUAAAACCCUAGAGUAUGAAUUUGCCCCUAUAAUUUUAAAUUUUCCAAAUAACCUCCAUUAUUUAAAAAAUAUAAUUAUUGUUAAAUGAAUUAUAAUUAUAAUUGUUAUUUUAUUAUAAUCAUAAAUAUUUUUUAAAUAGAUUAUUUUUAUUAUUAAUACAAGAAUAAAAAACAUUAUAAUUAAUUAAUCUAUUAACAAUAAUUAAUAAUAUUUUUAUUAAAUUGUUAAUAAUAAUAAUAAUUAAUGAUUAUCUAACUAUUUCACAGUCUGACCGUAAGUUACAAAAUCAUAAAAACUAAAAGUUUUUAAAUAUUUACUUAAGGUAAAAUAAUAAUAAUGACAAUAAUAUUACUUAAAACAAAAAAAUCUGUAAACUUUAAUAAUGUUGAUGAUGAUGAUGUUGACAACAUUAAUAAUAAUAUAAUAAUUAGAAUAAUAAAUUUUAAUAAUAUUACUAUUAAUAAAAUAAUAAUAAUAAUUAAAAUGAUAAAGUUAAUAUAUUUUAAUAAUAGUAAUAAAAUUAAUAAAUAAAAAUAACUUAAUUAAAGUAAUUGUAACAAUUAAAAUAAUAAAAUUAAUUAAUUUUAUAAUAAUAAUAAUAUUAAUUAAUGACAGCAAUAAUAAUGCAUAAUAAUUAAAAUAAUAAAUAAUAAAUUUUAAUGAUAAUAAUAAUAAUAAUAAUAAAGUUAAUAUAUUUUAAUAAUAGUAAUAAAAUUAAUAAAUAAUAAUAACUUAAUUAAAGUAAUUGUAACAAUUAAAAUAAUAAAAUUAAUUAAUUUUAUAAUAAUAAUAAUAUUAAUUAAUGACAGCAAUAAUAAUGCAUAAUAAUUAAAAUAAUAAAUAAUAAAUUUUAAUGAUAAUAAUAAUAAUAAUAAUAAUAAAGUUAAUAUAUUUUAAUAAUAGUAAUAAAAUUAAUAAAUAAUAAUAACUUAAUUAAAGUAAUUGUAACAAUUAAAAUAAUAAAAUUAAUUAAUUUCAUAAUAAUAAUAAUUAAUGACAGCAAUAAUAAUGCAUAAUAAUUAAAAUAAUAAAUAAUAAAUUUUAAUGAUAAUAAUAAUUAAUAAUGAGUAAAAUAAGUAAUUUCAUAAUAAUAUUAAUAAUGAUGACAUUUAUGGUAGUAAUAAUAAUACAUGACAAUAAUUAAAAUAUUAAAAUUAAAUAAUUUUAAUAAUAUUACUAUUAAUAAAAUAAUAAUAACAAUAAUUAAUAAUGAUUAAAAUAAUAAAGCCAAUAUAUUUUUAAUAAUAGUAAUAAAAUUAAUAAUUAAUAAUGACUUAAUUAAAGUAAUUGUAACAAUAAAAUAAUAAAAUUAAUUAAUUUCAUAAUAAUAAUAAUAAUUAAUGACAGUAAUAAUUAGGGGUGGGCAAAAAAACCGUGGUCUUAAAAACACCGAACCGAACCGGCGGUUUUUUCGAAUUUGGAUCGGUUUUUAUUUUAAAAAAAACCGAAAUAUAUCAUUUGUAAAAAAAAACCGAAAUGUCGGUUCGGUAUUCGGUUCACUCAGCUGAACCGAAAAACCGAAUUAAUUUUAUAUUUUAUUCAAAUCGACAUGUGUUAAAUUUUUUUUUAUAAAUCCAAAUAUUGAGUCGAAAAUGCCUAAAGUUGAUGUUGAUAUUCAUGAAGAUGGGAGAAUGUUGUUGGCAUUUGUUUGCAAUUUUUUUUUUUGGGUGAAGAUGGGAGAAUGUUGUUGGCGUUUGUUUCUAAAUUUUCUUUUUAUUUUGUGUUGUAAGUUGUAAUUGUUGUUAUUUUUAUUUGUCUUUACAACAUUAUGAUUAUGUUUAUGUAGAUGGAGUAUUGGAGUUUGGUUAUGUAUUUUGAAAUUUUAAUAUUUCAUAUUUUGUGAGUACCUUAUUAGUAGUUAAUAAGAUAUUAGUGAUAAAAUGUGUUUUGAAUACUUUGUAUUUAUUGUUAAUAUUUGUAAUGAAAUUAGGAUGAACUAAUUGUUGAAAACAAUUAUUACAUUUAUGAGGUCCAAUGGGCUAAAAAUUUGAAAUUUUAAAAUAGGCCCAAUAGACCUAGAACCAAAAAACCGAACCGAACCGAACCGAUCCGAAAAGAUCCGUUUGAGUUCGGUUCUUAUUCGGUUCUUUUUAUAAAAUAACCGAUUUAAAUCGGUUCUACUUAAUUUCGAUCCGAACCGAACCAAACCGAACCGAACCGUGCCCACCCCUAGUAAUAAUACAUAAUAAUUAAAAUAAUAAAAUAAUAAAUUUUAAUGAUAAUAAUAAUAUUAUUAUUAAUAUUAAUAAUGAUGACAUUUAUGGUAGUAAUAAUAAUACAUGACAAUAAUUAAAAUAUUAAAAUUAAUAAUUUUAAUAAUAUUACUAUUAAUAAAAUAAUAAUAACAAUAAUUAAUCAUGAUUAAAAUAAUAAAGUUAAUAUAUUUAAUAAUAGUAAUAAAAUUAAUAAAAUAAUAAUAAUGACUUAAUUAAAGUAAUUGUAACAAUAAAAUAAUAAAAUAAAUUAAUUUCAUAAUAAUAAUAACUAAUGACAGUAAUAAUAAUACAUAAUAAUUAAAAUAAUAAAAUAAUAAAUUUUAAUGAUAAUAAUAAUAUUAAUAAUGAUGACAUUUAUGGUAGUAAUAAUAAUACAUGACAAUAAUUAAAAUAAUAAAUUUUAAUAAUAAUAACAAUAAUAUUAAUAUAAUAAUAAUGAAAUUUAUAAAUAUUAAUAAUAGUAACAGUUAAAUUUUUUUAAAAUCCAUUUUUAUCCCAAAAGAGGACUCAUAUAUAAAAAAUUGUAACUUCUAGUGUCUAUUCAACUUUUUUAUAAAAUAUAGGUAUUGAGAUGUAAUUAAUUGAAAAAGACAAAAUUGAGUAGUACGGUGCAACCGUUGCACCAUAGUUUCAUCCAAUUUGAAAUCUUGGAAAACCCUUUAAUCAAUCUCUUAGUAGUAGGCUUUGGUAGCUUGGUUUGAUUAUGAUUUAUAAUCAUUUGAUAAUAAAGUCAGAGGAUGUAUUAAUAUAAAAUUUAUUUAUUGGUGUUGAAGAUAAUUAUCUCAUUAAUAAUAGUAUAAAAAGUUAAAUACUAAGAAACACAUAGCAGUAGUUAAUUGGUGUCAUAUGAUUGGGAUUCAGGGAUAUAAUUUUAUAUCAUAACUUUGUAAGUGUAUAAUUACUCAUUAAAUUAACAAAAUUAUUUAAAAAUAUUUAGUUAGAAAAAAUAAAUUAUAUUCUUUUUAUUUCAAAUAAUCUAUAAGUUAACUCAAAACAUAAUCAAGCUGAAAAUAAAAAUAAUGCUACUGUAUGACAUGAUUUUUAUUUUUUCUCGAAGUUUCACUAGGAAAUUAUUGAUAUACAGCUUUAUUCAAAUCAUCUCAGUUCAAACGACAAAUAAUUGAAAGACUAAGCUAAAUAGACCAGCCAACAACUUUGUACAGCAGAGUUCAAUAAUUAACGUCAUGGUAUUGAGGUGUUAUGUCUUGAAAAGUACAGCAUAGUAAUAAAAUAAAAGUUAUUAGUUUUUAGGAAAAUAUGACUUUUAAAUAAUAAUUUUCACAAAAAUAUAAAGAAUAUUUAUAAAGUACUUCUAUAGUGAGGAGACCCCACUUUGUUAAAGUGAAAAUAUUAAUAAUACAAAAUAUAUAGAUUUUAACAUAUUAAAAACUGUAUUUUUUUUAAUCUAUUGGUGUAUUGAAAUAUGCGUUUUUUAGUUAGAUAUAUCAUCACUUUGUUAAAAUGAGAAUGUUGUCACUAGACAAUAAUCAUAUAUACAUAUAUAUAUAAAGUGCUUCUCUCCAAGACCUAGACUUUAUUAAAAUUUAAGAAAGUAAAUAUAUUUUAUAUGGUAUAAUAGUGUAAUAACAUCACACUAUUAUAUCAUGUAGAGUAAUAGUUUUUCUAACUUUAAUAAAAUUCAAGAUUAUAGAAUGAAUGAUUUAUAUAUAUUAUAAAUUUUUUAUCAUAAAGUGGAGGACAAAAUUAACAUAUUUUUCAAAUUAUAAUAAAUAUUUAUCAAAUAAUUUAACUUCGUAAUUUCUCCUAACUAGUAUAGUAAAUACAACCUCGGAGGUACAUUCAAAGCAUUUCAUAAGUUUGUUGUUAACAAUAAAUGAUACAUGCAGCUCCAACCAUCAUUGUACGGUGAGUAAUUUCAAUAGAUUUUUUAUGGCUUAAUUUACUAGGAUCAUAAUGAACAUUGAAUGUCAAAAUAUUAAUGGCCAAACAGACCAGCUGCCAACGACUUAUUCCAAUGUGAAUAUUUCACAGUGGGUACUGCACAUGAUGCUUGUUUCUCCUUUUGCAUCUAUUUUUUUUUUAACACUAAUUUCAAUAGCAGCUCGUCAUGUAUGCAAUAUUUCAAAGUUAAUCAAAAAAAAAAAACAAAAAUUAGUUCAGCUGACUAAAUUAUUUUUUUUCUUUUCUGUGGUAGUAAGUCCGACUCCUUAGUGACAAUUUAAAUUGAAAAAAUAAAAUCAUAAAUAAGAAUUAUUUGAUAAUAAUUAAAAUAAUUGAUAAAAAUUUGAUUGGAGCAAUUUUGGAAGAUUCGAUUUCUAAUAGAAAGGGAAUUUGAAUUUUACAGCCUUCGGUGAGGAAUCCAAAAUGCACAAUUUGAUGAAAAUUAAAUUUCAAUAGAAAUUGAAUUCCCAUUUAUUAGUGAAAACCAAACAACAGGAAAGUGAAAGGAAUUUGAAUUCAUUUCCUUCCUCUCCUCCCUCCAACUAAACACCAUCGAAAUCCAAAGGUAUGGAUUGGGAUUCCAUAUUGAUCAGAAUGGGAUUUGUCCAUAUUAUUAGGACCAAUUUUAAAAGCAGUCCGAGUUUCAAAGUUUAAGAUUGAAAUUAAUCACAAUUGUUGAUUUGGGACUAGAUAAGAAUUUAUCUUGGAACUCCAAUUCUCCCAAUUAUUUUAGUUGACAAUAUGUUUAACAUUAUUUUUUUAAACAUUAUUAAUUGCAUAUUAUUUAAUUAUCAAUAUAUAAUAUUCUUUAAUUUUCUAAUUUUAUAGGAUUAGACACAAAAUUGAUUAUACCUUUUGAAAUUUAAGGGUUAUGUCAAUUGAAUAGAAAACUUGGAGUUAAACUUUUGGAUGUUUUUGUUGAUUAUCAAUUUAUGCAUGAAUUUUUGUACGUUUACUCUGGUUUAUUAUUAUUACUUUAAAACAUUUUUAUUGGUUUGAUUUAGGGUCAUUUUGGUAAUCUUGUAGCUUAAAAAUACUUUUAGUUAUAAAAACAGUCGUAUGUGUUUCGUAAAUCUUAUUGUUAAACUGGUGCAAUAAUAUAAAUGAUUGUGAGGGGUUUGAGAUUGGUCCUAAUUUUGAUCACAAAUAUAUAAACAGGACGAGUUUAUCCAUACUUACAUUCCAUUUGAUAAUUAAGAUGAGAGUAGAAUGGUCAAAUCCCAAAUCAUCUCGGACCAUUGCCACCAAAGGUACUCUCACUAAUAAUAUCUAAAGUAAAAUCUACACCUAUUUCAUACCUUUUUUUUUUAUUUAACGGAAGGAGCCCUCAUGGGGCUUGAAAUGGUAUCCUAAAUAAUAUUAAGAAUAUCAUGUCGUGGUUGGUUUCGUGACAAAUAAAUAUUACAUGGUUGGGAUGCAUAGUUACUAGUGUCCCAAUUUAUAGGGGUGGGCAAAUUACCCGAUCCGACUCGACCCGACCCGAAAAAUUUCAGGUUCGGAUCGGAUGGGGUUGUGCAGAAAACCCGAUCGGAUCAAAACAAUGAAACCCGAUCGGGUUAUGAUCGGAUUGGGUUCGAUCCGAUCCGAAACCCGAUCGGGUUGCUAUAAAAAAAAAAAACUAAACCUAAAGCAAACAGCCACACACACGCAGCACACACAAAUCACAAUUCCCAUUUUCACAACACACGGUUACUUACACAAACACUCACAACUCUCCUCAAUCCCCAAUCUCAUUACACAAUCCCCAAUCUCAAUACACAAAACACAUACACAGUCACCCCCAACGGCGUUGGGCCAACGCCAAGCCGCCAACGGAGGUCGCUGCACAAGUCACAGCCUCACCCGCAUCUCCAUGGCCGAUUUGCCGCGCGUCUCCAUGCCCGAUUUGCUGCAAGUGCCGCCAAUAUGCUACUACGCGUCCGUCGGUCUGCUGCUACAAGUGCCGCGGCCACCGAUCUACUGCAAGUGCCGCGAAUCUGCUGCAAGGUGCUUCUGCUGCUCCAAUCCUUCAACCCGAGCUUCUCACCUUUGACUUUGAAUCUUGAGUUUUCACGCUUUUUUUAAGCUUUUUUUUUUAAAGAUUUGAAUUGAUGGUGCAUAUGGUUAAAUUAAACAAUUAAUAUUUAGUAUUUAAUUGUUGUAAUUAUGUGUUUUUAAAUGGUAGUAACAAAAUCAAGGAAAUUGGUCAACCCGAUCCUACCCGAUUUCAACCUGAAUUCACAACCCGACCUGACCCAAUCCGAAUAUAAAUCGGAUCGGAUCGGGUCGGAUGGGAAGUUCGGGUUGUAUUCGGAUUAAUUUUUGUUAAACCCGAACAACCCGAAAUCUGAUCGGGUUGAUCCGAACCCGACCCGACCCGAACCCGGUUUUGCCCACUCCUACCAAUUUAUGUAGUAUUUAUCAUUUAGUGCACAUGCACAGUAUUAAUCAGCUUAACUAAUUUAUAAAAUUUAAAUCUAAUUAAUAAGUGACGCAUAAAUGCCAAGUGCAUUACAUGCAAAUCAUGUUUUUCGAUCACUACAAAACUGGCUCUUGAAAACAAGCAAGAAAGCUUAAUUAAGAACUUAAAACAAAAAGAAUUAGAUUGAGAACAAUCAAGCCUUAUUUUUUCAAGGAUGGAGCUUAUAAAUCUUCAAGUACCAACAUACGCUUGGCCCAAUUGUUGUUAUUAAAAUUUCAAUAUACAUAUAUAAGUAUGAUAUAGCAAAAAUUUGAUGGUACAUAUGUCGGAAUAUACUAGUUCAUGGGUGCAUUUGAUUAUUGUUUCCAUAAAUUUGAACCAGGAAGAAUGAAACGAUAAAAUUUGAUUUUAUGGUAUGGUUGAUUUCAUAUCUCAUGCACUCAUUUCUUAAGAUAAUCAAAUUUUCUCUGGCAUCUUUUGCAACUGUCGAAAUAACAAUUAUGAUCAAUCAAACGAUUUCAAAACCUUUCAACGAGACAUAUUUCUAAUACAAUAUUGUGAAAAUUACACUAAAAUUUUAAUUUAUUAUAUAUUAUUAUCCAACGAGCACACAAAAAUGAUUUCGUACAAAUCUAAAAUACUGAGCAAUUUUCAAAUAGAAUUUACCAUGUACUACAAGAAAAUAGGGUAUAUGUGACCCCUAAUGUGAAUGCAAAAGCAGCCAUUACGCAUAUCACUAACUUCUAACUCUGUAACCCCGAGUUGCUUUUGUUACCCUUUAUGUGACGGCCACACUGCUGUCACAUAUGUUACGAACUGCGUGACGGUGAAGAGCCGUUCGGUAUACUAAUAUUUUAGAAUUUUAAAUUUAUUUCCAGUUAGAAAAGUAUUCGCUGGAGUCCGUGUUACUGGCCACCAUCGUAAACAUAACUGGUUGCCAGCGAACGGCGUAAAACGCCGGGCAUCUUCUUCUUCAUCGUAUUCUCCCUUCAUCUUUUGAGGUAAGCUUGUGAUUAUGAGUUUCUUCUCUUACUUAACUUGUAAUUAUAGACUUUGAUUUUUUUUAAUUCGUAUUGUAGCCGUUAUUGUCAAUUUUUGUCCCGCCAGCAAUAUUUUUUUAUUCGUACAAGUUGAAGCCCCUGCGUUCUUGUUCCAUUGGUGAGUUUGCUCACUCAAAUUAAUUUUGUUCUGCGGAAUUUACAAAGUUCAAAUGGAUUCAUUUGAAUUACUAUUGAAUUUAGCUUUAAUUCCAACAUCCAUUCUAAUGUUUUGCUAUUAGAUUUAGUUUAAUUUUAUGUUUAAAGCAUCUACAAUGAAUAGCGGAGCUUGGGUUUUAGUUUCAUUUUCUAGAUAACUUGUUUUGGUUUAUCUUGUAUGCUCACCAAGUGCUUGUUAUAUUGUCUGAUAAGUUAUAUACAUUGCUGAUUCUAUAUUAAUAAUGUUAUGUUCUAUUUUCAGAAAUUAUAAUACAAAAGCUUUUACAAUGGCGUGCAUCUACAAACUGGAUUGACUCGUAGAAUAAGAGCUUGGAGUAGUGUUAUGUUCUUGAAUAAAUGAAAGUUCAUAUUGUGUAAAGCAUCAUUAUCAUUUCUACAAAGUGCUUUCAUUCUGUUCAGAUGCUCUUCUUGAACUUUGAAAGGUGCCUCGUUCAAGUCCUAGCUAUAACUACUAGCUUUGAUUAAUUAAGUUCCUAUACUAGCUGAAACAGAUUUAUUUAAUUAAUUAAUUGUGUAUGUACUAAUUAUAUUGAAAGUAUAUGAAUUUUUUUUUUUUUUAACAUGAAUGACUUCUAAAUGACUUAAAAUCCUAAAGGAUGUGUAAAAUAAUGCUCAUUUCACUUGAAUGAGCCUAUUAAUACUUUUAUGUCUAUGAUUGUCAAUAUUGGCUUAAGCAUUUCAGUUAAGUGGUUUACCUAACAGAGAAAAAAAUUUAAUAGAAAACUUCAGAGUUCUAACAGAAAUAUAGUUCACUAUGCAGAUAUAGUUAUUUUACGGUAUACAAAUCAAGUUGUCCUAAUCUCAAUGUCCUAUGACCGAUUUUAUUUUAUAUAGUCAUUAAUUUUUUCCUUGGUUUUUUGUGUUUAUGAGUAUGAAAUAGUGGGAUUUGGUGUACCUUAGCAUCUUUUGAAAAUUCUCUUUCAGUGUGGCCAACAGAAAUAUACAUAUAAUCAAGUUUCUUAAUCGUGUAUAUUAGUUUUGGGUAUGAAUGUUCCUAUUCUAGUUCUAGGCAAAGCUUCUUCGUUUUGGUCUUCGGAUUUCCAGUAGGUUAAGUUAAUCAACUAUCAUAACUGGCUAGCUAGUUAUUUUCUGCCUUGGCGCCAUUACCCAGGCCAUUAUAUUGCAUAGCAUAAAGAAUAGUGAUUAGGUGAUUAUUAGUGAUUUGUUGAGCUUAUUUUCGACCAAACAAACAUAUUCGCCUUUGCCCACAACUUAGUUUGAUUAGUUAUUAGACCAUAAAGAGCCUUGAUCUAUUCAUUGGCUUUAUUAUUUUUAUUUGGUUUUUCUUUCAACAAUAUUGUUGAUUUCUUAUAAAAAUAUUCAUUGGUUUUUAAACACCUAGUCAUUGGCUGUAUGAAGCAAAUUAAAACUGAGGCUUUGGAUCAAUUUCUUCUAACAAGAUACAAAUGAGCAUAACCUUUCUCCUCUAAGUAAUUUUUUUUAAUAUCCUUGAUUUGUAAGGAUCUGGAGGCCUGAAAUCCUCUAGAUUUUUUUUAACACUGUCAAUGUCCUUUUUAUUCUGAAAAGGAAAUAAAAGGUUUUAUCUUUCAUACCCUAAUAGUAAGCUGGCCUUGUCUUAACAUGGCUUCCCGAGGAUUUGCAAGAUUCAUAGCGCCCCCAACCCCCCCCCCCCCCCCCCCCCCCCCACAAAAAAAAGGAAGAUUUUGCAAGAUUCACCACCAGGUUAUUUAUUUAUUUAUUAAUUGUGUGUACGUACUAGUUAUAUGUUGAAAGAAUAGGAAGAAGUAUUUCAACAUGAAUGACUUAAAACUUAUUGCUCAGUAAACAUAAUCUGCAUCAGUACGAAAAUGUAUUUAUCAUUUGUAUUUUUUUAUGGUUUUGCUUAAGAAAUGAUAUGUGAAAUAAUGCUACAUGCCUACAUUGUAUCAGGAAUAACUUGAAAAGAUUUAUGAUAUUUAUGUGUUAUUCAAAUUUCAGAUUCAAUUUUAAACUUUUGAUACGUGCAUUAAAAGCUUAGACUUGUUUAAGAAAUUAUUAAUAGACACAUGUUUUAUUAGUGUCAUAUUUGGAUGAUAGUGAGGAUCAUAUGUCUAUUAAUAAUUCUUGAAUUGUCCGGGCUUGGACAGUUUGGGAAUGCAUACUUCUCUCUGGUAGCUAGUAGCUGAAGUUUCUUCCCACGUAAAAAUGGGUUUUUCAGUAGCUGCUCCUCGUGUUCUCUGGGAACGUACUAGGUGAAUGGGUGUUGUGUUGUUUUGGCAUAACGCAUAAACACUUAUAUAGCUAUGUCGCGUGCUUGGAGAAUUAUAGGGAGAUGGUGCUGAAAUUUUUAUAAAUGUAGAAUAAAACUUUAGGUACUUGAGAUUGAAAAAACUUACGCAUUCUUGAGUGGGAUAUGUAGGAUUACUUACGGUUGGUAAAUAUGAAGGGAAUGUUGGAUAUAUUGAGGGUAGUGUAGGAGCUGAGUUGGAUGAAUGUAAUUGGUGAUGAUUUUGCUGAGUUGACCUUGGUUUUGAGCUUGUAAUUUUGUUUGUAAAUGGAGUGCUAUCUCCAAUGUUGGUUUAUAAAAAUGUUUCAGGACUUGCUGACCUAAUUUUUUGUUUCUAGGUUACAGGCUUUAUAUAUCUGUAAUUGAUAGCCAAGUGAAGUUCUCAGCACUUGGCAAGGAUAUUUCUUUACAGAAGGUAUUGGAAACUGUUUUUUACAUUAAUUAUCGUUGAUUAUAUACUUUGAUUGUCACAUCUUUUUCUCUGAUUCUUGUGGCUUUGUUUGCUUUCAUAUAUGUAAAUUCUAAUGAAAUUAACCAUAAAAUUGUAAAAUGAUCUUUUUAUUAUAUUGCAAAACUGUGCACACACGAAAAUAUCUUGUUUAGUAGUAGAAAUGAAGAACUAAUUUUUUUAGCGCAUUAAAAGGAGAUAGUCAUGGACAAGUGUUGGGUUGGUUUGCCAAAUAGAUAUCCAAGUCAUAUACUGAUGGCGUUGAAAAAUUUAUAGAUUUUGUAUUUGAGAAUGUUGUUGGUGGUACAAGAAUUUAUUGUCCUUCUUGAUAAGUGUUGUAAUCUAUAUUUCGUUAUAAGGGAAGUGGCUGAUGAUGAUAUGGUUGGAAUGAUACAGUACAUCACGUAAUCAAAUGUUCAAGUUACACGCAGCAUUGUUAUGAACUAUCAGUGGCAACUUGUCUGGGUGGAGUAUUAAAGGUAAAUAAGCAUGUCUUGUUUGCCAACAAAGCACUGGAUCUAAUUGGUUGAUACAUAGUAGAAAAUUUUGUCACGUGGGUCACCGUCGAUUUUUCCCAACAAAUCAUAGGUUUCGAAAAUAUAGUGUCUUUGAAUAAAACUAGAGAGUAGGGACAAACACCUUCUCAGUUGUCUGGAACUGAAGUGAAAAAGCAGUUUAAUAUAUUUACUGAGUAUAAGAUUGAAGACUUGAAAAGAGAAGAACGAAUAAAAUGAGAGAAAUGAUAAGAUUACUUGGAAGAAGAACAGAAAUAUUUCUUAAGAUUACUUGGAAGAGAAAUGAUGUGGAAGAUGGCUAUAAAAGAUAAAAGGAAAGGCUUAAAAAGAAAAGCCAUGCCUGUCAAAAACAAAAAAACAAUGGCAGCGUCAAAUUUAUAACACAAAUCAAAACGGUGCGUUUGAGAGUGUAUAAAAUACAUUUAGAGUGGGAGUUGUGUUGUUGCUUGAAGGCAGAAUGUUUGUGAGAUAUUUGUCGGCGAAGCCGAAACCAAAGAUGAAGCCCAUCAAAAGCAUUUAUAGUGUAAAAAGUAUAUUGUGGAAAUGUCUGGUCGGUAAUACAACUAUUUCUUAUAGUGUAAAUGAUACACUAAUUUGAAUUUAUAUGCUUUUAUGAUUAUUUGAUUAUCAAGUGGUGAUCAUAUGUGAUGAUAAACUUAGGUAGUACCUUUAUAUUUAUUGCCUUAGUUUUCUAAGCGUUCACAUUUUGAUGAGUAAAUUAAGGAUUUCUAGAUGAAGUACAUAAUUAGAUUAAUGCUAAGGAACUGAAGUUUGAUCAACUGAAAACGAAAAUAAUAAUGAAGGUAAUUAAGAAAAUGAACAAUACAGAAGCGGUCCUUAUUAGGACUUCUAGAUUUUCUCUUGGGCUUCCUUAUUAUUGUUAAAAAAUGACACGAAGAAGAGUUUAAAAAUCUGGCCCUGAUGCCUGGUAGCCCUCCAACAUAUGAAGCACUAGAUGUUUUAAUGAGAAAAUGACAAGACCAUUUAUCAAAUUUCUUGUGGAUAUAAAUACAUACACAUAGACGAGACCAACCUCCUCAAAUGAGAAUCAGAGUGAUUACAAGACCUUGCAAUGGGACGAUAACACACCAUCAAAUCUCAAAAUACAAUAGAAAUUCAUGACACAUGUAUAAUAAAAGACCUCUCAUUGAGUUCUAUAUAUUGAGAAUAAAAAUGUUAUAAUACAUACAAAGAGCUUAGCUAGAAUAAAAUGUCUUUGAACUUGCGAUGAUCAAAUAAAGGAAACAGACAGGUUGUAACUCAUACUAUCACAAGAAGAUCACGAAGAUGGAAAUGGGAACCCCUCAGAAUGGAAAUUUUGAAUAGAGGAAAAAAGAAAAACGACCUUAUUCACAGAAGAAGAGUGACUUAAAUCUUCAUCAGUAUCCAGACAUUCUGCAAUCACAGAGUAGAGAAAUUUUAACCAGAACAGCAGAAAAAAUAUUAUGAAUAUGCUAUAGACCAAUAUACUUGUUCAUAGCUAACGUUUGAUGGUUUAAGGAUUUGUUCUGGGAAUAAUGGGCUGAUUACUUUUUUUUUUUAUUUUAAUUUUUUUGAAUCCAAUGAAUGAUAUUCAGCUGUGAAUUAUGUGUUCAUAGGGAAGAACAUUUUCUAAGUACUUUCCUUGCCUUCUAACUUUCCGAAAAGCAAACCCAAUAAACAAACAGAGCACAAACUAAAAUAAAAGAACAGCAAUGAUGACAAUAAAUAAUUGGCAAAGAAAAAAAGGAAAAAGUAUGCACGUUUUCAAUGAAUUAUAAAAUAUGAAGGCUUUUAAUGAAAUUUUAUCAUAAAAAGUAUGCAAGGAAUUAUAAAAUUUUAGAAAACAAGGGGAGCUCUAAAAAAAAAAUGAAAAACUCAAAUUAAAGUAGACUAAAAAGACAUUCAACUAUGCAAAAUCUGUCCAUAAAAGUCUGAAAGGAUCAUUAAAAUUGCAUUGCAAAUUUAACAGUAAACCGAGGGACCCAUUCUAAAUAAUUCAGAUGAAAUUGCGAAACAAGCCAUGGGAUUAAAUAAAUGAAAUAAAAAUUAAUUACCAGUUGAGACUUUCUUCUAAAAAUUUGCAACUCCAAGUCAUAAGAAGCCUAUGAAAUUAGUCGUACUGCGUAGAGUAUGACGACGACACCGCCAACAGCUGAAAGUAAAAUUCUUAUUCAUCAAAUAUCUUAUCUAUAUUGUAUUUAAGAAAGCAAAUUUUGUAAAAAAUUAUCAUGGGAGAUAGAGAGUAAUAUGUAUAUACGUACCUUCUCAGCAUGUAAUUGUUGUAUGGUUGUGUUUAGAUCAUUAUUAGCCCAACGCCGUUGAUUCGAUGUCUCUCCAUAGCAGACGUUUACUCUUAGAGGCGUGAUUGAUUCUCCUGUAGUGAAAGUCUUCAUCUUGGGACAACCAAUCACCCACAACUCUUGCAAAGAUGGGAAUUUGAAGGUGUAAUUGGCAGAGCAGAAACUUGUGAGGCUAUCUAAAUCAAACAGUUGCAACGUCUUCAAUUUGCAGAAAACAAUCUCUUCUUUUUCAACUCCAUCUUUGUCAUUUAUUACCACCUCUGUCAUUGCUCUGCAUCCAUAUACUUGCACUUUGACCAGUCGCACUAGAGUUUUUGCUGUGGAGGAUGUUACUAAGUGUAUCAAUUCCUUGCAACCGAAAGCUACAAGUUUUGCUAGGUUCCGAAAAGAUACCGAUGAUGAUGGCAAUAGAAUUAACAGACUUUGACUAUGAUAUACUCCUAGAAUUUCAAGAUACUGAAAAAUGGGGCCAAGUUUGGAAUCUUGUUUGCACAGCUGCUUCAGAUGAUAGGGCCGGUACAGCUUUAAUUCUUUUAUCAUUGCCAACUUCCCCAAAUGUUUCUCCAAGCAUCCUUCCUUCGAAAAUACCUCUUCGUCGAAUGAAAAAAAAGACAGUGUGAGUAUUUCGAGAUUGUGAAAUCUCUCCAGUACGUUCCAGAUUGGAAAACAAGCUGUGUCAUCUGCAGCAAUCUCUAGUUCUCUAAGACUGCCAAAAAGGUGUUGUGGGAAAUCGGCCUGCAAAAUCAUCUUCACAUCUUUUCCACUUAGUGAUAGUUCCUUCAAGUUGGGUACGAUCUGAUCAUCAUCAAUCAUAAUAACUAAUGAGGUCAAUUGAUGAUCUACGGUCACACGCAGUGACUUUAUAAUAUUUGUUUUAUAUUAUAUUUAAAAAAAAUUGAAUUAUUGAUAAAAUUUAUUUUAUAUGUUAAUUUUAGAGGUAAAAAAGAAAUUAGGGAAAAAGGUUGAUUUAUACUGGCUCGAAAUUAUUUUAUUGCACAAUAAUAAAUUACUAAUUUAUUUUGUAAGUUCUUCUAUAUGGAAAGACUAAGGAUUCUUUUAUAAAUGCUCUACCAAAAAAAGUUCAUAUAAUUAUUAAUCUACCACAUUGAUCUCUUAAUCUAGACUAACAAAGAUUAUUGUAUAAUAAAAGUUUUCAAUUUAUUGAGUAUUAAUUUAUCGAUGCUUUGCCAUAUUUUUCAAAGUUAAAAAUAAGCUGUAGACAAAAAAUCUAGAAAAUGGCUUCAUACCUUUUCCAACGGCAAUGGGGGCUGUUGUGCAGGAAUGCCAAGUUGAUCGUUCUCAUUAUUCUGCGAUAAAUCUUCAGUGAAUAUCUUUAAUUUGUCACAACGAUGCACUGAAAGAAUUUCUAGCGCGGGCCAUUCCGAAGUAUGCAUUCCAGGGUACAAACAUCUAAGUUUUGGUAGACCUUGGAGUCUCAAAGUGGUGAGCUGUGGAAAGACAAAAUAAGGGAUCACUUCAUCUGCUCUGUUCUCAGAAAUCCUCACAGAAGCGUACUUCUAGGUGUUGGAGCUGCUUGAGGUUUCCGAUCAUAGACGCUGAAAAUAUGUAUUUCAGUUUGUCACAGUACCACACAACUAAUCGUGUUAAACUUUGAAAGUGAGGAAACACGGCCGCCGGAAUUUGAUUGUAGUGCCAAAUCUUGUCGACAUUAAUUGCAGAUAUCUCCAAAGCCUCCAAGUUAGGCAACGCAACCUAAAAAAAUAAGAAUUUCUCGUUAGAUCCAUCCAUAUGGGAAGCACUUGUUGAAAUUUUCUUCUUUGAUUACAAAAUAAUGCAAGUCAGAAUCAAUUUCCAACUGACAGCUGAGAAUGCAUUCUAAUUCAUACUACUUGUUAAGAGCUUAAUUAGUGAGCGCGUGAGAUUCUUUUUAUCCUUUUUUUCCAUUUUCUUUCAAUUCUUUAAAUGAUGUAUUUAUUUUCCACGUAUGACAUCAAAAGAGAACGUAUGAUAGAAUAAAGUCUGUUAUAUAUAUAUAUAUAUAUAUAUAUAAAGAAAAUGUUAGCCUACGCACCUUCUCGUUGAAAAGCAGAGUUGAAAUAUCCAAAGUGAUUUCGCUGGAGCAAAACAUAGUCGUCGAUUCGUGUUGUGACACUUGUCUGUUCGGUGAUGCUGAAGGAGUCUCCACCUCACAGCAAAAACUUGUAACCUCUGGAAGAUUCCCCAGACUCAAAGAUCUUAAUUGAGCAAACUCUAUCUUCUCAAUUGCAUUAUCAACUUCUUCCCCAAUUGCAAAAAUCUCUUUCAUCUUGCUGCAAUUAAUAACUGCAAUUCUCUCAAGUCUUGGAAGGCAUUUUGUAGUACAGAGCCAAAAGAUAUUACUCAAUUUAUCACAAUUAUAUGCUUCUAUGUUUUUGAGUUUGUUGAAAGACUCUACUUUGAGCCGAUCAAUACAUAUCCUCUCCAUGUUGAUCAAAUUGUGAAUGGUAAGUGACUCCAAAAGAGGAAAGGCAUCACAAGCGACCAUCUCCCUUGAAUCGACGAUACAAAAGACGUCAGGAUUAUUUUGAACCCAGAGAAGCUUCAAUUGUGAAAAGCCCUCCGUGUCCAAAUUGAAAAGAACAUUCUCGAUGCCUUGCAGCUUGUCCAACCAUAAGUAUUCAACGUUAUUGAUGCCCUGCAAUUUCAUGGAGCAAAUGUCCAUAAAAUCAAGCUUGAGCUUCAAUGAUCUUAAACUCUUGCGAUCACUGUUGAUCGAAAAGCGCGGCCGACUUUUAAACCAAUGUUGUCCAACACUCAUGGGAUGCAUGAAUAACCCAUUUCCAAUAGAUAUUUUGAACCUUUCGAGCUUUCUGGCCAAAAAACCUUCUGGUAAAAUAUUGUCACUUUUAACGUCAAUUUCUAGAGUGGUUAGCCGAGGUAAAUGCAUCAAUUCGUCAAGGCUAGCAUUACUUCUUUUGCUGUUGGCUCUUUCAACCUCCCAUUCAAUGAAGCAAUUACCCAUAUACAGCUCUUCUAGUCGAGUUAAGCUUGAUAUGAGAUUGGGCGCAAUAACUUUCAGUUGGAAACAAUUUGUUAAAUCUAACAAUCUCAACUUAUUCAAUUGACCUAGUUCUUCGGGCAACUGCAUAAUAUCAGACUUCAAAAAGCUAAGGACUUCUAGAUUCUUCAACUUCCCAAUGAUUGCUAUGUCCCCCAACGCACUUUGAUCCAGACAUAGUGUGUGAAGAUUUGGUAGAAGAUCAAUUGAAGAUGGAAAAGAAGAAAACUGCAUUCGAGUAAAAUCUAGAACUCUAAGCUUUUUCAUCCCUACAAAAAAGUUCUCAGGAAUAUUGAUUUCAAGAGAAGAAUAUUUGAUAGAGAUAAAUAAAAAUUCAAGGUUUGGGCAUUCUAAUCCUUCAGGAAAUUCACGAUUACUAUUAUUUCUUAAAGAGAUCGCAUUGCAUUUUCGAAGUGCAUCCUCAUCUGGCCAGUCCCACACAUCCUUAUUUCUCACCAAAAACACAUGUUGGUGGCGGCAUGCAAUUGAUAUUGCGACAUCACGAACAACAUCAUGCAUUGAAAAUUCUUCAUUGCUCUCACCCUCAAGCAACAAACAAGAGUGUCUAAGUUCAUGGACCAAUGCAUAUAAUUUGUCUCGCGCAUCUUCCAUCUUAUUGACUCCUUUAAAUAUACCCAAACCCAUGGAGUACUUAAACAAGUCCGAAGUAAGAAUACGGUUAUCCAUUAGACUACAGAGCAGAAAAAUUUUCUUGAGUUGCUCACCUUUUAAAUGGUUGAAACUCAGCUCAAUACUUGAAUAAGUCUCUGCAGAUACUCCUUCGAAGUUUACCAUUGAAGGCGUUUGGAGUUCUCUCAAGGAAUUCUUCCAUUCAUGCAGACUCUUGCCUCUCAGUGCCUUUGCUACUGUAGUCAAGGCAAUGGGCAAACCUCCACAUGCCCUGGCGACGUCUAUUGCUGUAGAUUUCAACUCACGAUUUUCAACAUCAUCACCGGCCAUCAUCUUAAACAAUCUCCAGGUUCUUCUUCAUUUAAAUUGUUAAUCAAGAAGUUGUCUUUAGAUCCCAUUUUUAAGAGGACGCCACGAUCUCUUGCUGUCAGCAGUAGUUUGCAGCCUUUAUGAUCUUCUCCAAAAGGAAUUCCAACUGUCUCCAAGUCAAGGUGCUUCCAGAUGUUAUCUAAAACCACAAGGAUCUUCUUCUCAUUUCUCAAUCGCUCAAAUAGUCUACAUGCUCUUCUAGAUUCAACUUCCUCGUGCAACUCCAGGCCCAACUUCUCGGCAAUUUCCUGUUGAAUCCUUUUUAUGUCUGGAAUUUGGGAAACCUCUGAAAAGACCACCAUAUCAAAGAGCUCGUCUUCCAUAGCUUGCCUGGCGACCUUCUUCACCAGUGUCGUCUUUCCAGUGCCGCCCAUGCCGUACACCCCAAUGAUGCUGACACUAACAUCGAUCAAUGCUUUUUUUAUAGCCUCCAAAGUAGAACGUCUUGAUUCGAAGGCCUCGUAGCCUUUGUGAGACUUGAGCCAAAUCUCCUUCGGAAUGGUACGGUAGGAAAUUCUAUCAUCAAAUCUCCCAGCUUCUUCUCGGAGUUCGACAAGCGCCUUUACCUCUGCCUCUGCUUUCCUGCUAAGCUGAUAGCGGGUCUUCAGAUUAGGACACAGACCCUUGAGACAUCGCUUAUUUGUUGCCUCCUCGUCGUCAAUGAAUUUGUCUGCAUGGUCAAUGAUCUUGUUCGCAUUAACCAGCCAUUUCUCAACCUCCUCUUCAAUCUUUUCUCCUUUUCUUUCAGCCUCUGAAACUCUGCGCUGAAUGCUCCUACUUUUAUCCUUGAGAUUCUCGAUUUCAGCCUUGAGAUUCUCAAAGUUGGCAUUGGAGCUACGCAAAUAACGAAGUUGUUGUUGUGUUGGAGGAGCCAAGCAUUCUGCAACUUCUAAAACGACAGUAACAAUGCAUUCCAACACCUUCAAUCUUUUUUUUUUUUUGGGAGGGGGGGGUUGUGGGAGGAUGGAUUGAUCUGAAGUGAAAGAAACAGAAAAAGAACAGGGGAAACGACUGGACAAUUGUUAAUCAAUGAAGAAUAAACUUCAUAAUAAAGUAGCAUUAGAGUACUAGACAAGCUCACCACGUUUAAGCUAAGCGGAGAAUAGACUUCAUCAACAACGCUUUCGUGAAUAUGCGUUGCAUUACAACGCUCCAAUGUGAUCCUCAUCCAAUACCCAUUAUUUGUGAUCCUUAUUCCACUGCGUCAAUUACACUCCAGUCCAAUGCUACCAUCAUUAUCGAACAGUCGAUAUCCAACACUUGCACGAAGAUUCCAAGAAGUUGCGUGGCUGCUGACUUUUAAAUGCUAAGCCUUAUUGUGUCCAUGAUACACCAAAUAGAGCAGUCCCGGGUAAUUGCCAAAACUUAGAACUAAACAGUAGCUCAGGUCAGAAAAUCAAAUGGAGUGAUGAUAAGAAGCUGAGGCACACCAAUCGAUUGCCUAAGCCUAGCAGCAGAUUGGAGGAAUAUGCAUGGACACAUGCGGCUCGACGUCCACGCCAUGCAACACGUGCAUGAGUAGUGUAAGGCACGUGAGAAUUGAUUUGCUAUUAAUUGGGAGCUGGAUAAUUGAUGAUUUGGAGCUGACCUUUUCAAAAGUUGUUGCUGAUUUGGAAAGGAUCUCACGCAUGAGUUGUUCUUUUCUUUGAUUUGAUAUUUAUUCCAAAAUAAUAAAAACUUGUUUAAAUCAAUAUUAACAACUUGAUCUUGUAAGCUUUGAUUAAGCCUAACUACACGCUACAAAGCAUAAUAAUUAGUUUUGCAUUACAACUAUAAAUAAGCUCCAUCAGUGAAUAAAAUCAUCAUCAGACUUUUAUCCAAACACUACUAGCAAUUGUGGUAGUUCUCACUUUAAGAAGAACAAAUUAUUCACUUAUUAUUUCUACUAAUUCUGACUGGGACCUAUUAGGAUGAAACCAUAAAAUUUGAUUUUAUUGUAUGGUUGAUUUCAUAUCUCUUGCAGCCAUUUCUUAAGAUAAUCAAAUUUUCUCUGGCAUCUUUUGCAACUGUGGAAAUAUCAAUUAUGAUCAAUCAAAACGAUUUCAAAACUUUUCAAUGAGACAUAUUUAUAACACAAUAUUGUGAAAAUUACAACAAAAAUUUUAUUUAUUAUAUAUUAUUAUCCAACGAGUACACACAAAUGAAUUCGUACAAAUCUAAAAUACUUAGCAAUUUUCAAAUAGAAUUUACCAUGUACUACAAGAAAAUAUGGUAUAUGUGACCCCUAGAAGGCAAAAGCAGCCAUUACGUAUAUCACUAACUUUGUAACCCCGAUACCUUUUAUGUGACGGCCACACUGCGGUCACAUAUGUUACUAACCACGUGACGGUAAAGAGCCGUUCGGUAUGCUACUAUUCGCUGGACUCCGUGUUACUAGCCACCAUCGUAAACCUAACUGGUUGCCGGCGAACGGCGUAAAACACUGGCCAUCUUCUUCUUCAUCGUAUUCUCCCUUCAUCUUUUGAGUUAAGCUUGUGAUUAUAAGUUUCUUCUCUUACUUAGCUUGUAAUUAUAGAUUUUGAUUUUUUUUUUUAAUUCGUAUUGUAGCCGUUAUUGUCAAUUUUUGUCCCGCCAGCAAUAUUUUUUUAUUCCUACAAGUUGAAGCCCCUGUGUUCUUGUUCCAUUGGUGAGUUUGCUCACUCAAAUUAAUUUUGUUCUGCAGAAUUUACAAAGUUCAAAUGGAUUCAUUUGAAUUACUAUUGAAUUUAGAUUUAAUUCCAACAUCCAUUCUAAUGUUUUGCUAUUAUAUUUAGUUUAAUUUUAUGUUUAAAGCUUCUACAAUGAAUAGCGGAGCUUGGGUUUUAGUUUCAUUUUCUAGAUAACUUGUUUUAGUUUAUCUUGUAUGCUCACCAAGUGCUUGUUAUAUUGUCUGAUAAGUAAUAUACAUUGCUGAUUCUAUAUUAGUAAUGGUACGUUCUAUUUUCAGAAAUUAUAAUACAAAAGUUUUUAUAAUGGCGUAAAUGAAAGUUCAUAUUGUGUAAGAGCAUGUAGAUGUAAAGCAUCAUUACCAUUUCUACAAAGUGCUUUCAUUCUGUUCAGAUGCUCUUCUUGAACUUUGAAAGGUGCCUCGUUCAAGUCCUAGCUAUAACUACUAGCUUUGAUAAAUUAAGUUCCUAUAUUAGCUGAAACAGAUUUAUUUAAUUAAUUAAUUGUGCAUGUACUAAUUAUAUUGAAAGUAUAUGAAUUUUUUUUUUUUUAACAUGAAUGACUUCUAAAUGACUUAAAAACCUAAAGGAUGUGUGAAAUAAUGCUCAUUUCACUUGAAUGAGCCUAUUAAUACUUUUAUGUCUAUGAUUGUCAAUAUUGACUUAAGCAUUUCAGUUAAAGUGGUUUUCCUAGCAGAGGAAAAAAUUUUAAUAGAAAAACUUCAGAGUUCUAACAGAAAUAUAGUUCACUAUGCAGAUUUACGGUAUACAAAUCAAGUUGUCCUAAUCUCAAUGUCCUAUGACUGAUUUUAUUUGAUAUAGUCAUUAAUUUUUGCCAUGGUCUUUUGUGUUUAUGAGUAUGAAAUAGUGGGAUUUGGUGUACCUUAGCAUCUUUUGAAAAUUCUCUUUAAGUGUGGCCAACAGACAUAUCCGUAUAAUCAAGUUUCUUAAUCGUGUAUAUCAGUUUUGGGUAUGAAUGUUCCUAUUCUAGUUCUAGGCAAAGCUUAUUCGUUUUGGUCUUCAGAUUUCCAGUAGGUUAAGUUAAUCAACUAUCAUAACUGGCUAGCUAGUUAUUGUCUGCCUUGGCGCCAUUACCCAGGCCAUUAUAUUGCAUAGCAUAAGGAAUAGUGAUUAGGUGAUUAUUAGUGAUUUGUUGAGCUUAUUAAUGACCAAACAAACAUAUUCGCCUUUGUCCACCACUUAGUUUGAUUAGUUAUUAGACCAUAAAGAGCCUUGAGCUAUUCAUUGGCUUUAUUAUUUUUAUUUGGUUUUUCUUUCAGCAAUAUUGUUGAUUUCUUAUAAAAAUAUUCAUUGGUUUUUAAAAACCUAAUCAUUGGCUAUAUGAAGCUAAUUAAAACUGAGGCUUUGGAUCAAUUUCUUCUAACAAGAUACAAAUGAGCAUAACCUAUCUCCUCUAAGUAAAUUUUUUUAAUAUCCUUGAUUUGUAAGGAUCUGGAGGCCUGAAAUCCUCAAGAUUUUUUUUUUUAACACUGUUGAUGUUCUUUUUAUUCUGAAAAGGAAAUAAAAGGUUUUAUCUUUCAUACCCUAAUAGUAAGCUGGCCUUGUCUUAACAUGGCCUCCCGAGGAUUUGCAAGAUUCAUAGUGCCCCCCAACCCCCAAAAAAAAAAAAAAACACAAAUAGGAAGAUUUUGCAAGAUUCACCACCAGGUUUUUUUUAAUUUAUUAAUUGUGCGUACGUACUAGUUAUAUGUUGAAAAAAUAGGAAGAAGUAUUUCAACAUGAAUGACUUAAAACUUAUUGCUCAGUAAACAGAAUCUGCAUCAGUGCGAAAAUGUAUUUAUCGUUUGAUUUUUUAUGGUUUUGCUUAAGAAAUGAUAUGUGAAAUAAUGUUACAUUGUAUCAGGAAUAAAUUGAAGAGAUUUAUGAUAUUUAUGUGUUAUUCAAAUUUCAGAUUCAAUUUUAAACUUUUGAUACGUGCAUUGAAAGCUUAGACUUGUUUUAAGAAAUUAUUAAUAGACACAUGUUUUAUUAGUGUCAUCCUUGGAUGAUAGUGAGGAUCGUAUGUCUAUUAAUAAUUCUUGAAUUGUCCAGGCUUGGACAGUUUGGGAAUGCAUAGUUCUCUCUGGUAGCUAGUGGCUGAAGUUUUUUUCCCACGUAAAAAUGGGUUUUUCGGUAGCUGCUCCUCGUGUUCUCUGGGUACGUACUAGGUGGAUGGGUGUCAUGUGUUGUUUUGGCAAAACGCAUAAACACGUAUAUAGCUAUGUCUAGUGCUUGGAGAAUUAUUAGGGAGAUGGUGCCGAAAUUUUUAUAAACGUAGAAGAAAACUUUCGGUACUUGAGAUUGAAGAAACUUAUGUAUUCUUGAGUGGGAUAUGUAGGAUUACUUACCUUUUGUAAAUAUGAAGGGAAUGUUGGAUAUAUUGAGGAUAGUGUAGGAGCUGAGUUGGAUGAAUGUAAUUGGUGAUGAUUUUGCUGAGCUGACCUUGGUUUUGAGCUUGUAAAUGGAGUGCUAUCUCCAGUGUUGGUUUAUAAAUAUGUUUCAGGACUUGCUGACCUAAUUUUUUGUUUCUAGGUUACAGGCUUUAUAUAUCUGUAAUUGAUGGCCAAGUGAAGUUCUCAGCACUUGGCGAGGAUAUUUCUUUACAGAAGGUAUUGGAAACUGUUUUUCACAUUAAUUAUUGUUGUACUUGUAUAUAUACUUUGAUUUUCACAUUUGUUGUACUUGUAUAUAUACUUUGAUUUUCACAUCUUUUUCUCUGAUUCUUGUGGCUUUGCUUGCUUUCAUGUAUGUAAAUUCUAAUGAAAUUAACCAUAAAAUUGUAAAAUGAUCUUUUUAUUAUAUUGCAAGACUGUGCUCACACGAAAAUAUCUUGUUUAGUAGUAGAAAUUAGGGGUGGGUCAAAGCGGGUUCGGGUCGGGUUCAGGUCAACCCGAUCAAGUUUUUUGGGUCGGGUGAAAAUUAACCCGAAUUCAACCCGAAUUACUGACCCGACGGGAACCGACCCGAAUUAAUUCGGGUCGGGUCGGGUCAGUAAUUCGGGUUGAAUUCGGGUUAAAUUGGGUUCGGGUUUAAAUCGGGUCGGGUCAUUCGGGUCAUUUCGGGUUGGUUCGGGUCAAAUCCGGUUAAUGCACUUUUUAGCUCUUUUUUUUUCCUAUUUUUGUAGUUUUAGGGUGUUUUAAAACAUUUUCUUAAUUGUAAUCCUUUUUACUAAUUUUCAACCAAAAAAAGAAAAGAAAAUAUUAUGAAAUCAAAUGAAUAAAGUUAAAAUGCAAGAAUAUGAUUAUUUGCCUAUUGUCUUGGAAGGGAUUAGGAUUAUUAUUUGCUCAACCAACAAAGUCCAAACCUAAUAAAAGUUAAAAUUAAUAGUUUAAUACAAACUUACAAAAUCUAAAGUUAAUAGGCUAUUACAAACUUACAAAAUCUAAAGUUAAUAGGCUAUUAGUCUCCAUUCAAAGCACAAUUUCUAAAUACUAGUCUUUGAAAGUUUGAAAUAUAAAAUCAAAAAAUUUAAACAUAAUUAAAUUUUUCGGAAACAUAAUUAAAGUGUCCAAGCAUCUGAAUAUACAAAAUAAUAAUUAAUAAUCAUUAAUUCAAAAAUAAUCUAAUUGGUAAUUUCAAUUCAAAUUGUUCAUAUCCAUAAAUCAAAAGCAAGAAAUUCAUGAUUAAAUAAUUAAUUUAUAAUAUCCAAUUACCCAUUUCCCAUAAUAAUAUGAUAUUAUUUGUCUAUCUAUGUCCUAAUUCUUAUUAUAAACCCUUUAAUUUCAAGUCCAAAUUGAUUAACAUACAGUAAAAUAUUAAUUGAAUUAAUUAAUUUUUUAAGGUUGAAGGUUUAAAGCGAUUGCACAAGUGCACAUAAUCACAUAACACAAUAACACAUUAUAAUUAGAAAAUAUAUGUAACAUCAUAUUUAAUUUUAAUAUUUAAUCUAUCUACCUAAUCUCCUAAUUUAUUCAUUAAAAAAAAUUAUUAAUUGUUAUUAACAAUUAUUAACAAUUAUCAAUUAACAUUGAUAUAAAUCUUAAUAAUUAACAAAAUUUUUGUUAUUUAUUAACAAUUAAUAAAAAUUUAUUCAUAACAAAAUCAUAAAAACAUCAAUUUUUUUGAUUUUAUUACUAACAUUUAAAAAUACAUAAUUACAAAUUUACAACAAUUAAACAAUAAUCAAUUACAUAAUAAAUAACCAAUUAAGCAAUAACUAAGAAGCAUAUAUAACUAUAUAAUAUACCAUGAAAGAUUGAAAUUGAAACUUGAAAGUGAAACUUGAAAGUCAAAGCUUCAAAUCGGUUCGGGUGAGAGUGGGAGAAACUCGAGUCGGGUUGGUCCGGUUGGAACUUGGAAGCUUCGGCCUUGGGCUUGGAGGCUUGGAGCAGCAGAUCGGCCGACGGUGGAACACGGCAGGCGGCAGCAGAUCGAGGCAACAGAUCACGGCUGUAGGAAGUGGGCAGAUCGAGGCAGCAGAUCACUGCAGCAAGAAGUGGGCAGAUCGCAGCAGCAGGAUGUGGGCAGCAGAUCGCGGCAGUGGGCACUAGGCAGCAGAUCGCGACGUGGCUGAUUGGCUAUGGCCUGUGUGCGUGAGUGGCUGCUAUGUGUGCUCUAUGUUCCGUGGAGACUGGAGAGUGGAGUGGUUGUGGUGUGGCGGUUGGCCUGUGUGUGUGACUGUGUGUGAGGCCGUGAGUCCGUGACUUGUGAGUGUGUGAGUUGUGAAUCUUGUGACUUUGUGUGUGAGAGUUGAGACUUAGACUAUGAAUUCACAGUUGUGAUUCUGUGCGUGUGACUGUGAGUGAGUGGUUGUGGUGUGUGUAAUCUGUUUUUUUUUUUAGGUGACCCGAUUGGGUAUUCUGGUUCGGGUGACCCGAUCGGGUUAACUUUUUCACCCGAUCGGGUUUUAGUAACAACCCGAUCCGACCCGAACCUGAAAUUUUUCGGAUCGGGUCGGGUAAAAUGCCCACCCCUGGUAGAAAUCAAGAACUAAAAUGAUUUAUUUAACUAAUAUUUGUAGCGCAUUAAAAGGAGACAGUCAUGGACAAGUGUUGGGUUGGUUUGCCAAAUAGAAAUCCAAGUCAUAUACUGAUGGGUAGGGGUGGGCAUAAACCCACAACCCAUGGGUUUACCCAAACCCAAACCAAAUUAAAUGGUUUGGGUUGGGUAAAUUAUGAAAAUGGGUUAGAUGUGGGUUUUAUAUAGAAAACCAUUUCAUUAUGGGUUGGGUAUGGUUUACCCAUGUGUUAUGAAUAAAACCCCAACACUCAAAUUUUUCAAAUGAAAUAAAUGAAAACAAAAUAAAUGAACACAAAUAGGUAAAAUAUUUUAUUAUUUAUCUUAUAAUAAAUUUUUAUUUGUCAUUCAAGUUUUCUUAUAAUAAUUUUUUUAUCAUUUUACUAAUAUUUUUCUUAUAUAUUUAUUAUAAGAAAAUUUUCACAAAAUAAAUAAGUAUAAAAAAAAUUUAUUAUUAAUUUUUUUGUUCAUAUCAAAAUAUAUAUUUCUUAUUUUUAAUGCUUUAUUUUUUAUUUAGUUUCUAUUCAUGUGAUUAAGUAUAAAAAAAUUUUAUUAUUAAUUUUUUUGUUCAUAUCAAAACAUAUAUUUCUUAUUUUUAAUGCUUUAUUUUUUAUUUAGUUUCUAUUCAUGUGAUUUAUUUAAUUUAUAAUAAAUAUAAAUAAAAGAGUAGUUGAAAAUAAGGGUAAUAUUGUAAACUUAUGCUAUUAGAGGGGUUUUUGGCCAUUAUAAAAACAUAAGGGGGAAAAAUGAUAUAUCUCCCUAAAUUUAUGCAUAUAAGUAGACAACAUAACGCAAAACUACCAAAACGAUAAAUAAAAUCAAAUAUUGCAUAAUUAAAUAAAUAAUAAGUGGCAAAAUUUAUUAUUAGAUUGUUAAUGUCAUGUUUGUGAAAGUUUAUUAUUAAAGUGUAUGUUCUUAUUUAUUGAGAAAUAAUAAUUUUUGUGUGUUAAACUUUAUUUUAAUUUUCUAGUAUUCUUUAAUUUAAGGAUUAAGUUAUUGUAAAAUUUAUAAUUUUUAUCCACUAUAUUUUUUUAUAUUUUAAUAUCAAUUUAAUAAUUAAUAACAAUUAAUAAUUAUUAUAAUUUUGAUAUAAUUAAAUUUUAUUAAAAUAAAAAUUAUUUUGAUAAUAAAAUUCAAACCAAACCCAAACCAAACCCAAAUGAUUUGGUUUGGGUUGGUUUGGAUUGGAUCUUAAUUUUUAUGGUUUGGUUUGGGUUGACUUAAAAUCCAACCCAAACCAACCCAUGCCCACCCCUACUGAUGGGGUUGAAAAAUUUAUAGAUUUUACAUUUGAGAAUGUUGUUGGUGGCACAAGAAUUUAUUGUCCUUUUAAGAAGUGUUGUAAUCUAUAUUUCGUUAUAAGGGAAGUGGCUGAUGAUGAUAUGGUUGGAAUGAUACACUGCAUCACGUAAUCAAAUGUUCAAGUUACACGCAACAUUGUUAUGGACUAUCAGUCAACUUUCUAGCAUUGCCAACUUGUCUGGGUGGAGUAUUAAAGGUAAAUAAGCAAUUAAGCAUGUCUUGUUUGCCAGCAAAACACUAGAUCUAAUACAUAGUAGAAAAUUUUGUCACAUGGAUCACCGUCGAUUUUUACCAACAAAUCAUAGGUUUCGAAAAUAUAGUGUCUUUUGAUAAAACUAGAGAGUAGGGCAAAGCACCCUCUCGAUUGUCUGGAACUGAAGUGAAAAAGCAGUUUAAUAUACUUACUGAGUAUAAGAUUGAAGACUUCAAAAGAGGAAAACGAAUAAAAUGAGAGAAAUGAUAAGAUUACUUGGAAGAAGAACAACAUUUUUUAUGAACUACCGUAUUCACCAUGAUCUUGAUAUCAUGCACUGUUUUAAUUUUUGUUAUGAAUUCAGAUCAAAAGUUUAAUGUGAUCAAAAUUUCUUAAAAAAAGUGAAAACGACUCCUCCUAAUAAUAUGGAAGAUGGCUAUAAAAGAUAAAAGGAAAGGCUUAAAAGGAAAAGCCAUGCCCGUCAAAAAAAAAAAAUGGCAGCGUCAAAUUUAUAACAAAAAUAAAAACGGUGCGUUUGAGAGUGUAAAAAAUACAUUUAGUGGGAGUUGUGUUGUUGCUUGAAGGCAGAUUGUUUGUGAGAUUUUUGUCAACGAAGCCAAAACCAAAGAUGAAUUACGAGGGUUAUGUUUGCCAUAGUCAAGGAACACUGUCCUCUCACCGUUGCCGAAACUUGGGAACGCGUCAAGGCGUGUGUAUCUGUUAAAUUGAAUUUCAACCGUUUGAUCUGUAAUUAUAAUUAAUCCAAUCAAUCUGACAGUGAUCACUGAUCAUAAUUCUAGUAGUUGUUUUACAAAUUCAGCAAGCUGGAGCAAGCGGAUUGACGGGCAAAAGCUGUCAAAUAAGGUGUCCAUCUAGAUGGUAUAAAGCAGCCAUCUAGAUGGUCAGCACAAUUUUGUUCAAAGAAGACGAAGAAGAAUUUGGCAGCAGUAAAUUUGGAAUGAAGAAAAUGGAAAAAGAAGAAGUUUGAAGAAGAAAAAGGGGAACGAUUUUGACAAGAAAAAAAAUUAAUUAUUAUUUUAAUAGCCAAUUUUGGCUAUAUAAAGGGAGCUCUUCAUUUAGUUUUCAGCAUCUAAUUUUGUAGAGAGAGUUGAGAGUUGUGAGAAGUGAUUCUUGCAAGAGCAAAGAAUUUUGUGUACUUAGUGAUUUGAGAGUUUGGGUGUAUUGGGAUUUUGGGUAGUGAGCUAAAAUACUACAAUACUUGUAACUCCUUUUCACUAGUAAAAUAUUUCUUUUUGUUUUUGCCUAUGGACGUAGGCUAAAAGCUGAACCACGUAAUUUCUGGUGUCCUCUAUUGUGCUUGUUCUUUAUUUUCUUACAAUUUCAUUUUAGCUGCGAUCCUGCUUCACCCACCAAUUUCCUAACAGUGGUAUCAGAGCUAUUGGUUGUAUUUUUGGAGUCGGGUACUAUUCACGUAAGGGUACUAUUCACAUAUACGGUACUAUUCACGUGUACGAUGCUGUUCACGUAUACGGUACUAUUCACGUAUCCGGUACUAUUCAUGUAAAACGGUGGGAGCGAUCCAAGAAUUUUACGGUGUUAAGCAGGGAAUAGUGGUGUGAGUAAAACAACUGUGUGGUUUUGUACAUGUCUAGGAAAGUUCCGUCACAAAGGUGAUAACAGCUUAAGGAGUUUGGGUUUUAAGUGGGAUCUUUGUGACCCCUCCAGUUUUUCCUAGGAACUUUCUUAGUGUGCAUAUUCACACAUACUCACAACUAUUCAAGGUGAUACACUAGUUUGUGUACAAUAUUUAUCAACAAAAUGGCGACAAAGUAUGAAAUUGAGAAAUUUAACGGAAAUAACUUUUCGUUGUGGAAAAUUAAGAUGAAAGCUGUAUUGAGGAAAAAUAAUUGCUUGGCAGGAAUUGGAGAAAGGCCCAUGGAGAUAACUGAUGACAAGUGGAACGAGAUAGAUGGCACCGCCAUUUCAGAUCUACACUUGGCACUUGUAGAUGGAGUAUUAUCCAGUGUGGCAGAGAAAAAUACAGCGAAGGAAAUAUGGAAUACUCUUACAAAAUUGUACGAGGCCAAGUCACUACACAACAAAAUCUUCUUGAAGAGGAAACUCUAUACUCUUCGAAUGACGGAAUCUACAAUGGUAACCAACCACAUCAACACCUUGAAGACUCUAUUUUUACAACUCACAACGUUGGGUCAUAAUAUAGAGAAGAAUGAACGUGCAGAGCUUCUACUUCAAAGUCUACCAGAUUCGUAUGAUCAGCUCAUCAUCAACCUGACGAAGAACAAUCUAGUGGACAGUCUAGUUUUCGACGAUAUUGCAGCCUCCAUAUUAAAUGAGGAGAGCAGGCGAAAAAAUAAGGAAAACAGACAAGCAAGUUCGCAGCAAGCGGAGGCGCUAUCGGUGACGAGAAGGAGAUCAACGGAACGUGGCCCCAGUGGGAGUCAAAAUCAUGGUAGAUCAAAAUCCAUAAGUAAGAAGAAUGUUAAAUGCUACAACUGUGGUAAGAAAGGGUACGUCAAAAAGGAGUGUUGGAGUAACCAGAAGAGAAGAGAGGGUAAAGAACCUGAGUCAUCAAAUGCUCAGGGGUGUGUAGCAAGUACCUCAGAUGAUGUCGAAAUUCUCUACAGCGAAGCAACAACUGUUUCAGAAGGCAGAAAAUGACUUUCUGAUGUCUGGCUUAUAGACUCAGGAGCUACCUGGCACAUGACCUCUCGGAGAGAGUGGUUCCACACAUAUGAACCUAUCUCAGGAGGAUCUGUAUAUAUAGGUAAUGAUCAUGCCUUGGAGAUCGCUGGUAUUGGUACUAUCAAAAUAAAAAUGUUUGAUGGUACAAUUCGCACAAUUGGGGAGGUACGACAUGUCAACGGCCUGAAGAAAAAUCUUUUGUCUUUGGGACAAAUGGAUAGUCAUGGGUAUAAAACUCAUGUGGAGAAUGGAAUUAUGAAGAUCGUUAAAGGAGCGCUUGUAUUGAUGAAGGCAGAAAAGAUCGGUGCUAAUCUAUUCAUGUUUAAAGGAGAAACACUACAGGAGGCUGAUGCGUGUGUCGCAUCAAAUGGAGAAGAGUCAACGAUGAUGUGGCAUCUCAAACUUGGUCACGUGUCAGAAUAAGGCUUGAAGAUUCUCUCUGAGCGAAAAUUGCUUCCGGGGCUCAAAUCGGUAAGUUUACCAUUUUGCGAGCAUUAUGUUACAAGUAAGCAGCAUAGAUUAAAAUUCAGUAGAUCUAUUGCUAGAAGUAAAUGCAUUCUAGACUUGAUUCAUUCUAAUGUUUGGGAAUCACCGGAUAUAUCCAUGGGAGAUGCAAAGUACAUGGUGACUUUCAUUGAUGAUUAUUCCAGAAGAUGUUGGGUGUAUCCAAUUAAGAAAAAGUCAGAUGUAUUUCCAGUGUUUAAAGAAUACAAAGCGCGGGUGGAACUUGAAUUUGGUAAAAAAUCAAGUGCUUGAGGACGGAUAAUGGUGGAGAGUAUACAGACGGCGAGUUUCUUGCUUUCUGUAAGUAAGAAGGUAUCCAGAGGCAGUUCACGGUGGCAUACACUCCUCAACAAAAUGGAGUGGCAGAGCGGAUGAACAGAACUCUUACAGAAAGAAUAAGAGCUAUGUUGAGGAUUGCUGGUCUACCCAAUUCAUUCUGGGCAGAAGCAGCCAAAAUUGCUUGUUAUAUAGUAAAUCGAUCGCCAUCUACAGCUAUUGGGCUGAAGACAGUGAUGGAGAUGUGGACUGGAAAGCCAGCUGAUUAUUCCUACCUACAUGCAUUUGGAUGUCUUGUGUACGUAAUGUACAAUGUCCAAGAAAGAACAAAACUAGAUGCAAAAUCUAGAAGAUGUAUCUUCUUGGGAUAUGCUGAUGGAGUAAAGGGGUAUCGUUUGUGGGACCCCACUGCCCACAAAAUCGUCAUCAGCAGAGAUGUUAUUUUUGUAGAAGAUCAACUGCAAAUGAAAGAUGGAGGUGAUGGCACUGUAAAAGAAAAGUCAGAGACUGUGCCAGUAUAUGUGAAAAAUAAUCUAGAAGAUUCAGAUUCUUCUGAAGCAGCACCAGAGCACGAGGAAUAAGAACCAGUCGAGUCUGAGGCUCCAGAAGUUCGUCGGUCAACUCGUGAGAGACGACCACCAACGUGGCACUCGGAGUAUGUCACAGAGAUCAAUGUUGCAUACUAUGUCACAGAGAUCAACGUUGCAUACUGUCUUCUAACAGAGGAUGGAGAGCCUUCAACUUUCCAUGAAACUUUAAACAACUCAGAUGUUGCUUUGUGGAUGACGGCAAUGCAGGAAAAAAUUGAAGCUCUACACAAGAACAAGACAUGGAAACUUGUACCACUACCACGUGGAAGAAAAGCCGUUGGUAACAAAUGGGUCUACAAGAUCAAACGUGAUGGCAAUGACCAAGUGGAGCGGUAUCGUGCAAGAUUGGUGGUGAAAGGAUAUGCUCAGAAAGAAGGUAUUGACUUCAACGAGAUAUUUUCUCCGCUGGUUCGACUCACAACAGUCAGAGUAGUUUUGGCGAUGUGUGCUACAUUUGACUUACAUAUAGAGCAGUUAGAUGUGAAAACUGCAUUUCUUCAUGGAGAACUUAAAGAAAAAAUAUAUAUGCUCCAACCAGAAGGUUUUGCAGAAACAGGAAAGGAGAACUUGGUUUGCAGGUUGAACAAAUCUCUAUGCGGUCUCAAACAGGUGCCGAGGUGUUGGUAUAAGAGAUUUGAUUCCUUCAUCAUGAGCCUUGGAUACAACAGACUCAGUUUAGACCAUUGUGCAUAUUACAAGAGGUUUGAAGAUAAUGAUUUCAUUAUUUUGCUGUUGUAUGUGGAUGACAUGUUGGUAGCAGGUCCCAACAAAGAUCGAGUCCAAGAAUUAAAGGCACAGUUGGCUAGAGAGUUUGAAAUGAAGGACUUGGGACCAGCAAACAAGCUUCUAGGGAUGCAAAUUUACCGAGACAGAAAUAGCAGGAAGAUUUGGCUUUCGCAGAAGAAUUACUUGAAGAAAAUCUUGCGGCGCUUCAACAUGCAAGAUUAUAAGUCAAUUUCUACCUCACUUCCUGUUAAUUUCAAAUUAUCCUCAAGUAUGUGUCCUACCAAUGAAGCAGAGAGGAGGGAGAUGUCUCGAGUACCAUAUGCAUCAGCAGUGGGAAGUUUGAUGUUCGCUAUGAUAUGUACUAGACCGGACAUUGCACAAGCAGUGGGAGUAAUCAGUCGAUACAUGGCAAAUCCUGGUGGAGAGCAUUGGAUAGCUGUAAAGAGGAUUCUGAGAUACAUCAGAGGAACCUCAGAUGUUGUAUUAUGUUAUGGAGGAUCAGAGUUUACUGUCAGCAGCUAUGUGGAUUCAGAUUUUGCAGGAGACCUUGAUAAAAGAAAAUCUACUACUGGUUAUGUGUUUACACUUGCGGGAGCAGCUGUAAGCUGGGUUUCGAAACUGCAGACUGUUGUGGCUUUAUCUACAACAGAAGCAGAAUACAUGGCAGCUACACAAGCUUGCAAGGAAGCUAUUUGGAUACAAAGGUUAUUGAAGGAGCUCGGGCACAAACAACAGAAAAUUCCUGUGUUUUGUGACAGUCAGAGUGCCUUGCACAUUGCAAGGAAUCCAACCUUUCAUUCCAGGACAAAGCACAUAGGAGUUCAGUAUCACUUCGUUCGAGAAGUAGUGGAAGAUGGAAGUGUAGAUUUACAGAAAAUCCAUACGAAGGAGAACCUAGCAGAUAUUUUGACCAAGCCGAUAAAUACUGAUAAAUUUGUCUAGAGUAGAUCCUCUUGUGGCCUAGCAGAAACGUAGACAACAUGAUUAUGGCGAAGCAGAAAGGAUGGUGUGGAAAUUAAUUAAUUCUCAUUUAAAUCUCCAAGUGGGAGAAAUGUCAAAUAAGGUGGCCAUCUAGAUGGUAUAAAGCAGCCAUCUAGAUUGUCAGCACAAUUUUGUUCAAAGAAGAAGCAGAAGAAUUUGGCAGCAGUAAAUUUGGAAUGAAGAAAAUGGAAAAAGAAGAAGUUUGAAGAAGAAAAGGGGGAACGAUUUUGACAAGAAAAAAAAUUAAUUAUUAUUUUAAUAGCCAAUUUUGGCUAUAAAAAGAGAGCUCUUCAUUUGGUUUUUAGCAUCCAAUUUUGUAGAGAGAGUUGAGAGUUAUGAGAAAUGAUUCUUGCAAGAGCAAAGAAUUUCGUGUGCUUAGUGAUUUGAGAGUUUGGGUGUAUUGGGGUUUUGGGUAGUGAGGUAAAAUACUACAAUACUUGUAACUCCUUUUCACUAGUAAAAUAUUUCCUUCUGUUUUCGCCCGUGGACGUAGGCUAAAAGCUGAACCACGUAAUUUCUGAUAUCUCUAUUGUGCUUGUUCUUUAUUUUCUUACAAUUUCAUUUUAGCUGCGGUCCUACUUCACCCACUAAUUUCCUAACAAAAGCCACAUGAAGAUUGUGUGUGUUGAGAUGGAAGAGGGAGAGACAAAAGCUUAGGCUCGUCUGCAAUCACGUAGGCCCUCAUAAGUGAAUCCUGUACACAACUUGGUUCACCAAACCCAACAACUUGAAGCUGCCUUAACCUUGUAGUGAAACGGUGAUGAUGGAAGCCCCUCAGCAAGUCAGCAUGUAAACUUUUCAACAGCGACACAGCUCUUAUUCCAGAGGCCGCACAAAAGAGCGACCUGAAUCCUUUUCAAAACUUUCAAAUUUUUAUCAAGUAAAGCUUUCAAAAUUUCUCAACAAAUUGAUUAUUUGGUGUGGUUGCCACAUUUUGUGCAACUGCUAUUCGUUUUCGAGUACAAAUUCCUUGCCUUCUAAGUUAGGGAAGAUAGAUGUGAAGCAAACAGGGAAACAGAACAAACAGGGCAAAAAUUAAAAUAACAGAACAGCAAUGAUGGCAAUCAACAAACUAAUAGCAAUAUUGCAUUUGAUUCUUUAGACCAAUUGUUCAUUCUCUCAGCAUUCUUCAAUAGUUUUUGAAAAUUAGAUGUGAAGCAAACAAAAUAAAACAAAUUUAGACAACAGAAGCCCUGUAUUCAGCAUCAUAUAUAUACCUUGAAUACCUAAUAUAAUAAAUUUCACAUCUAAAAUACUAGAAAUUUCAAACAGUACCAGCAAUAGAAUAAUGACAACGACAACAAUAACAGAAAAUUAUAAGAUUGCUGAUAAAAUUUCAUUUGCAUGGAUGUCUGACAAAAUUUCUAUGAUUUAAUGUGCUUUCAUGCAUGCAAAUCCUAACGUUUCUGUGAUCACAAAAUGAAACUGAAGAUAAAUCAGAACAACUACCAAACCUUUGGCUGAAAAUUCAGAAGAAUUUAUAUUCAAAAUGUCAAAAUAAACUGGAAAUUUAUUUCACAUAUUACAAGAAGCAGUGCAGACCAAUGGUAAAUUGAUACAUCGUUUUUGAACUUAAUAGCGGCGGGUUAAUGUAACACUUUCAAAGCUGCAUGUAGUGAUACAGUAGAGUGAAUACCCUCAGAAUGUAAGCUUAACUUCAAAGGACGGAGCACGAGUUUCACAGAAAAGUAGCUCUUAUUUCUGAUGCUGCAAACACAGAGAAGUGACCUCAAUCUUCUUCAUAUUUAUUUUGAAAAAUUUUCAUAUAACCUGACUAACCGAGAUUAAUUUUGUGGUAAUGUAUUGGGUCAUUAUUUUUUAUGUUCUUACUGUGAUCACUUUAGGAAAAAACUAAUUUCUCAAUGUGAAAUGGCCCAUAAAAAUUAUUCUCAUUUAAAAACUAAAUUUGACAGACCCCUCGAUUAAAACAGGGGAAAAAAAAAAAAGAUCUGAAGGCUUUCCACAUGAAAAUGUUGUCACUUUGAAUGAUAUUUUCAAGGAGAAUAAAAUUCCUUUUCUAAAAAUAAAAUACCUUAUUCUUCAAAUUGACAGCUCGCCAAGUACUGAAGGCGUAUGAGAUCAGUACUGCGACGAGUAAGGAGACGAACCCUCCAACAGCUGAAAAUAAAAUUCGCAUUCAUGAAUUUAAAUUAAAAUUCAUAUUAUGAAAUUAAAACUAAUGAUUAAUGAAUUUUCGAGGAAUUUAAUAAGAUUCUCAUAUAUAAACGUGAUUAAAAAUUCACUCAUUAAUAACAAAUAUUCUAACAGUUACCCGUACCUUUUCUUGAUGUAAUUGUUGUAUGAUUGUGUUAAGGUCAUUAUUAGACCAACGCACUUUGUCCUCACUCCUUCCGUACCGGACGUUUACUCUCAGAGGCGUGGUUGAUUCUCCUUUGGUGAAAAUCUUCAUCUUGGGACAACCAAUCACCGACAAAUCUUGCAAACAUGGGAAUUUGAAGGUGUAAUUGGCAGAGGAGAAGCUUGUGAGACUAUCUAAAUCAAACAGGGACAAUGUAAUCAAUUUGCUGAAAACAAUCUCUUCUUUUAUAUUUGCUGUUUCAUCUUCGUCACAUACUACGACUUCUGUCAUUGCUGUGCAUCCAAAUACCUUCAAUGAUAAGAGUCGCUCCAGACUUUUUGCUGUGGAGCAUGUUCCUAAGUUCAUCAAUUUCUUGCAAGCAAAAGCUUGCAGAUGUGCGAGAUUCCGAAAAGAUACCGAUGAUGAUGGCAAUAGACUUAACAGAUUUUGACAGUGAUAUGCUCUUAGAAUUUCAAGAUGUUGAAAAAUGAAGUCCAGCUGUUUGGAGUCACGUUUCCACAGUUGCUGCAGACGAUUAAGUCUGGUCAGGUUUAACUUUUUUAUCAGUGCCAACUUCCUCCCAUGUUUCUCCAAAUAUCCUUCAUUUGAAAAUACCACUUCAUACGAACAAUCCGACAGGAAGAGAAGUUUCAGAUUGUUAAACCUCUCAAGUAAACCAAGUUGAAAGCAAGCUAAGUCAUCAUCCCCAACAUGUAGUAGUUUAAGACUGCCAAAGAGGUGUUGUGGGAAAUCGCCUUGCAAAAUCAUCGUGAUGUCUUUUCCACUUAAUGCCAGUUCCUCCAAGUUGGGUAAGAUCUGAUCAUCAUCGAGCUCAAAUUAUUAACUUAGCACAUUGAUCCAUAAUUCAAGACUGGCAAAAUUCAUUGUGUAAUCAAAGUUUUCAAUGAUCUAACUAAUAUAUAUAUAUAUAUAUAUAUAUUCCUUCUCUAAUGCGGACAUCCUCAUUUUUUUUUCUUGUGGACCAAUUUUUAGACCCCAUGGUUUAAAAAAGUUAAUUUUUAACUCUCUAAAACCGCAUGGCUUCAUAAUUCAUUAAAAAACUAACUCUCUUAAACCGUACGGUUUAAAAGCGUGUCCACAUUAAAAAAAAUACGAACCCCCCACACCUGAGAAUGAUUAUAUAUAUAUAUAUACACACGCUCUUAAACUGUGGGAUUUGAAAGCUUCUCCGCAUGAAAAAAGUAAAAAAUAAGGGCAUUCCCACUUGAAAAAAACUCCAUAUAGGUAUUUAUUAAACCUGUGAGUGAGGAACAACAAAGAUAAUUGAUAAAAAAAAUCUAAAAUUUGGUUUCAUACCUUCUUGAACGAGAGCAGGGGUUGUUGUGCCGGAAUACCAAAUUGAUCAUUCUCGUUAUUCUGGGACAACGUUAUUUUAUCACAAUUACAGGCCUCCAAAUGUUUUAGUGCUGGCCAUUCUGAAGUAUGCAUUCCAGGGUAUAAACAUCUGAGUUCUGGUAGACCUUCGAGAUUCAGAGUGGUCACUUGUGGAAAGACAAAAUAUGGGGUCACUUGAUCUGCUCUGUCUUUGGAGAUGAUCUCUUGUAAACCCAUACAUAUCCGUAUCUCCAGGUGUUGGAGGUGCUUAAGGCUUUGGAUCAUAGAAGCUGAAAAUAUGUAUUUUAAUUUGUCACAGCCCCACACUAUCAAUCGUGUCAAACUUUGAAAGUAAGUAAUCAUGGCCGCAAGUUGAUUGUCAUUCCAAAUCUCGUCGACAUUAAUAGCAUUCAGCUCCAAAGCCUCCAAAUUUGGCAACACUACCUAAAGAUAAUUUUCUCUUUAGAUCCAAUAUCCGUAUGGAAAGCACUUGUUUUGACACAAUAUCCAUAUAAGAAGCACCUAAUUAAGAGCUUAAUUAGCGAGUGUAUGAGACUUUUUUUUUUUUUUUCAAAUUAGAGUGCAUGAUAGAACUAAAGAAAAAAAAAGAAGCAUUAGCCUACGUACCUUCUCGUUGAAAAGCAGAGUUGACGUUUCCGAACUGAUCUCGUUGGAACUGGCUGUCAAUUCCUCUUGCGACUCUUGUCUGUUUGGUGAUGUGGAAGGAGUCUUCACUUCACCGCAAAACCUUGUAACCUUUGGAAGCUUUCCCAGACUCAAAGAUCUUAAUUGAACAAACUCUAUCUUCUCAUCAACAUCAACAUCAGCUUCUCCUCCAGUUGCAAAAAUCUCUUCCAUGCUGCUGCAAUUGAUAACUGCAAUCCUCUCCAGUCUUGGAAGGCAUUUUGUACUACUAGAGAGCCAGAAGAUAUUACUCAACUCAUCACAAUUUUCUACUUUUAUGGUUUUGAGUUCAUUGAAGGACUCUAUUUUGAGUCGAUCAAUACAUAUCCUCUCCGUAUUGAUCAAAUUGUGAAGAGUAAGGGACUCCAAAAGAGGAAAGGCGACACAUGGUUCUCUCUCCAUUGAAUCGACGAUACACAGGAAGUCUGGAUUAUUUUGAACAUGGAGAUGCUUCAAUUGUGAAAAGCCCUCAGUGUCCAAUUCUAAAACCACAUUCUUGAUUCCUUGCAACUUAUCCAAACAUAAGUAUUCAACGUUAUUGAUGAGCUGCAACUUCUCGGAGCAAAUGGCCAUAGAAUCAAGCUUGAGCUUCAAUGUUCUUAAACUCUCAUGAUUACUGAUCAUAAAGUGCUGCCGACUUUCAAACCAAUCAUUCUCAAUAACCAGGGUAGAGUCGAAUGAUGCAUCUCCUAUUGAUAUAUCAAACCUUUCCAGCUUUUUGGAAAAAAACCCAUCCGGUAAAAUGCUAUCAUUUUUAACAUCUAUUUCUAAAGUGGUCAAUCGCCUCAAAUGCAUCAAUUCGUCGAGGGUGGCAUUACUUCUUUCACUAUUGGCCUUUUCAACUUCCCAUUCAACAGGGGAAUUACCCAUAUACAGUUCUUCCAAUCGAGUGAAGCUUGAUAAGACGUUGGGCACAAUAAAUUUUAGUUGCAAACAAUCUGUUAAAUCUAACAGCCUUAACUUAGUCAGUUGACCUAGUUCGCCAGGCAACCGUACAAUAUCAGAAUUUAAAAAGCUAAGGAUUUCUAGAUUCUUCAACUUUCCAAUUAUGGCUAUGUCUCCCAACAUGCUUUGAUCUAGACAGAGUGUUUGAAGAUUUGCUAGAAGACCGAUUGAAGAUGGCAAUGAAAAUAAUCGCAUUCGUGUCAAAUCUAUAACUCGAAGCGUUUUCAUCCCUUUGAAAAUGUUGUCAGGAAUAUUGACCUCAACAAAAGUGUUUUGGGAAAUAUGUAAAAAUUCAAGUUGCAGACAUUCAAAUUCCUCAGAAACUUCAUGAAUGCUACUAUUUAAUAAAGAGAUUGCAGAGCAUUUUUUAAGUGCAUCCUCAUCAGGCCACUCCCACACAACCUCAUUUCUCACCAAGAAAACAUGUUGGUCUCGACAUGCAAUUGAUACGACAACAUCGUAGACAACAUCAUGCAUGGAAAAUUGUUCACUGCUAUCACCCUCAAGCAAUAAACAAGAGUCUCUAAGUUCAUGGACCAAUGCAUAUAAUUUGUUUCGUGCAUCUACCAUCCUGUUGACUCCUUGAAAUAUGCCCAAACCCAUGGAGUAUUUAAACAAGUCUGUAAACCAAAAACUGUUACCUAUUAGACUGCAGAGCAGAAAAAUUUUCUUGAGUUGCUCACCUUUUAAAUACUUGAAACUCAGUUCAAUACUUGAAUAAGUCUCUGCAGGCACACCUUCGAAGUUUACCACUGAAGGCGUUUGGAGUUCUCGCAAGGCAUUCUUCCACUCAUGCAGACUCUUGUUUCUCAGUGCCCUCGCUACUGUAGUCAAGGCAAUGGGCAAACCUCCACAUGCCUGGGCUACAUUAAUUGCUGUAGACUUGAACUUACAAUUUUCAAGAUCAUCACUAUUCAUUAUCUUAAACAAUCUCCAAGCUUCUUCUUCAUUUAGAUUGCCAAUCAAGAAGUUAUCUUUGGAGCCCAUACUUAAUAGCACAUUAUUGUCUCUUGCUGUCAGCAGUAGUCUACAUCCUUUAUGAUCAUUUCCAAAGGGAAUUCCAACCGUCUCCAAAUCAACAUGUUUCCAGAUAUUAUCUAGAAUCACAAGAAUCUUAUUCUCAUUCUUCAGUCGUUCAUACAGCCUGCUAGCUCUUCUAUAUUCAGCUUCAUCGGACAACUACAGACCUAACUUCUCUGCAAUUUCCCCUUGAAUCUUUUUUAUGUCUGGAGUUUGUGAAACCUCUGAAAAAACCACCCGAUCAAACAGCUUGUCUUCCCUGGCUUGCCUAGCAAACUCCUUCACCAGUGUCGUCUUUCCAAUGCCGCCCAUGCCGUACACCCCAAUAAUGCUGACAUUCACAUCAGUCAACGCAUUUUGUAUGGACUUCAAAGUAGAAACUCUUGAUUCGAAGGCCUCGUAACCUUUGUUCGACUUAAGCCAUAUCUCCUCCGGAGUGGUACGGUGGGAAACGAUAUCAAACUUCUUAACUUCUUCUCCAAGUUCAACAAGGGCCUUCACCUCUGUCUCUGCUUUCUUGCUAAGCUGAUAGCGGGUCUUCAAAUUAGGACACAAGCCCUUGAGACAGCGCUUAUUUGUUGACUCUUCAUCUUCAACGAAUUUGGUUGCCCGGUCAAUGAUGCCGUUAGCAUUAACCAGCCACUUCUCAACCUUCUCUUCAAUCUCUUCCCCUUUUUCUUUCGCCUCUGAAACUCUGCGCUGAAUGCUCGUACGUUCAACCUUCAACUUCUCCAUUUCCGCCUUGAGAUUCUCAAGGUUGGCAUUGUAGUUCCGCUUGCGCAAAUAAACAAGUUUGCGUUCUGUUGGAGGAGCCAAGCAUUUUACAAGUUCCAAAACGAGAGUAACAAUGAUUUCCAGCAUCUUGAAUCCUGACAACAAUGUAGAAAUGAAGAAGGCCAAAGGACAGUAAGAACAGAGAGACAACGAUACGACAAGCAGUUAUGGAGCUAAAAAUAACUAACAAACAAACAGAAGCAAAGUGUUUUUCGAAUGAGAAGAAGGAAGCAAGAAAAGGGUUUCUAUUUAGAUUAAGAAUGAAUGUAAAGAAGUGACAAAGAUGUCACAUAAUGUAAUUAAGUACAGAAUAAGAAAUGAUUAAGAGAGUGGGGGAGCUAAUAAGACUGUGGAGUGAGCAAACGUAAAUAAAUUUUUCUUAACCUAUUGUCACACGCGUAUGACAAAUAAUAUAAUUAAUUUUAUAUUUUUAUUCAAUAACUAUUAAUUAUAGUUUUUUAAAAUUAUUAAAAAAAUAAUUAGGUACUGAAUUUAAAUCCUAUCCUAAAUGGUUAGAUAAAAAUAAGGGAAUGAAAAGAGUAAUGGUAAAUUAAUAAGAAGGUGUGAUUGAUUAAUUUAUGAGGCCAAUUAACGAAACGACAGAUCUAGUUUCCAUGUUUGUAAUUUAAGUGUAUGAGUACGAGGUGAACCAACUCUUUGUCGAGUCAAGCAAAUAGAAAGAGAAAUUACUAAAAUAAGAACCAGCAACUUUCACUCACACAUGAGCUAAUAAUGUAUUGAGAUUGGGCAGAGUAAUAUAAAACCUUAAAACUAGUAUAAUAAAUUUGUCAUCAAGUUUUAGCCUUCUUCUUCAACCAAUUACAGCACUAUCUUGAGCUCUGAGUUUCUUUUUUUAAAUUAUUCAAAAGAUCUCUGUCAUUAGUUUUUCAAUGAUAAAAAUUAUAUUUUUAUGUCAUAAAAUAUAAAAUUUAAAAAAAAAUGAAACAUAUAUUAUAGGUCUGUUUGAGAUUAUUUUUAAAGGCUCAAAAGUCAUUUUUUAAAGUUAAAUGUUAAUUUUGGUAUUUGGUAAAAUUUUUAAAAAUCGCCUUUGGUAAAAUCACUUAUCCCACAACAAAUUUCGGAAAGUAAAAAAGGAAUAGUUUGUCAAAAUCUAAUUUUGAUAACCAGUUUUAUACUUAAUAUAAUUCUAUAUACAACCUUAUAUAUAUUAUAAAAAUAAAAAAUUAUCCUUAUUAUUUAGGAAAUAAAAUUAUUAAUUUUAAAGAUAUUUUAACAAUUACAUUGAGAUAACAAAAUAAAAAUAAAAUUAAUAAUAUAAAAUAUUUAUUUCUGUUAUCAAUUAUUAUAUGUACAAGAUAAAAUUUUUUUUAUAUACAUGUUUAUAAAUGUAUAAAUAAAUUUUGUUUAGCAUUAUGUUCAAUUCGGUCAUUUACAUUAAUAGCACUUUUAGAAGUAAAUUUUCCUAAAUGUUUAACUGAUUAUCUUUACAGUGAUUAUUUCCACAACAUAACUACCAGAAAUUAUUGUAAAAGAUACAACAUUACCAAAAAAAUAUUGAGGUACAUUUUAAUUAAGUAAUUGACUUAAUUAUGAAUCAAUUUAUUAUUUUCAUCUGUGUUAUCUAAACCAGUUCAUUAAUGAGAUCACUCUUUUCCUUAAAUAAAAAUAUUCCUGCCAAACAAUUGUUAACAAAAUUUCAAAUAUAAAUUACAAACAACAAAAUUUUCUAAAGUCAUAACAAUUAUUUAUGUUCUAAAUACAUGUAACUAAACCACAUUGAAAGUUGUCAAAACACGAGGACCUAUUGUUAGUAAAAUUAUUUCUCAAGCAAAUGCAGUGACGGAUUUGGUUUCAUGUUUCACCCUCAAUAACUUAAUUUUCAUAUCUAACAAAUCAUUCAUAUUAUUAACAAUAUCAUCACCAACCAUAAUCUACCUAAACAUACAUAUAACUAUAUACAUACCGAAUCAGGAAAACAAUGAAGGCUACACGUAUCCGGCUCUACAAUUCCUUGUUGGUACCCUUGUGCUUCUAAAAUAAUCGACCAAUUAUAAAAAUUAGCUUUGGCGCAACUUUACCCCUUUUUUUUGGAAAACUUAACUAUAAAUAAAGUAUACAAAUCUCUAAAUUAACUUCGUUCCCAUGAAAUUCAGCAUAAAUAGAAAUAGAAUUAUAGAAACCUUACUACCUUUUAUGAGAAAUCCAACUCAUAUAUUUGAGGCCUCUCUCUCUAAACACGCGCUUCCUCUCUCUGUAGACUUUCCACCUUUGAAUUUUCCUUCACUAAGUCUACCUAAAUGAAUUUAGCAUUCUCCCAGUUUCUUUAGCAUUUUUUCUCCGUGAAAAUAGGUGAAAAAGAGAAAGUGGUUUGAUUAUUUUAAUGUAUGACAGAUCUGGUUUCCAUCUCUGUAAUUUAAGUUUGUCAAAACGAGGUGAUCAACUCUUUGUCGAGUCAGUCAAAUAUAAAAGACAAAUUACUAAACCAAGCAGAGCCCAAAAAAAAAAAUAUUUCCAAUUAAAUAAUCAUCAAGUCUUUUUCAAUUAAAUUAGGGAGUGCAGAACAACUGUCGAGAGAUAAUCAUUGUUUAUGGAGCCAUAUUAUAUUUUCGAUUAAAAUAGGUGCGCGUGAACAAUUGGCAGAAUUCGUAUAAAUUGUUGUCAGGUCUAUUAUAAUUAACAAGCGGAAUGGCCAAUGGAUGAAGAACCACUGUAAUUUCGUUUAUGAAUUCAAAAUGCUAAAGAAACUGGACAUCAACGCUACACGUGAGUCUGCGGCCCUUGCCCCAGUGUCUUUCAGGCGUUACUCGGGGUAGUUGAUAUACUGACGGCCCCUUUAUCAAUUAAUAAUCGAAAUAGAUUAAAAUAUGAAUGGAUUGGAAUGGAAUGACUUGGAAUUAAAAUAUGGAAUGACGAUUAGAUUAAUUAAUUUAUUUAAAUUGAGAAAUUAGAAUCAUAAUAAAUUAUAUUGUUAUUGAUGUAUUUGUUUUAUCUUAAAAUUGCGAUGAGUUGUUACAAAUUACUAAUAUGCCUUUGAUUUUGUAUUAUGAUAAUUAUUAUUUAUUAUAACAUUUGUCAUAUAAUAAUAAUAAUAAUAACAACAACAACAAUUAAUAUUGAAAAAUUUUUAUUGUUAAUAAUAAAUAGGCAAUUAUCCACCGACCAUGUGAUCUUUUGGACGUUUUAAAAAAUAUACAAACACUUUUUUCUUUGCAGAAAUCCACCUGAAAUUUACAAAGUGUUUCAAUUGUUCACUGUCAUCUAAAUUUUGUUAGAAUUUUCUUGACGUUGUAAGGAUAAAAUUGUUAUUUUUACCUUGACUUCCAAAGAGGAUGUCUUUCAAACAUGAUGAAAAUAAAAAAAAAGGAUAAAAAAUUAUCUGUCAACUAUCUGAUCUUUUAGCCAUUAUACAAAAUAUUAAAAAAAUAUGCGAACAUUUUUUAUUUUUUUCAACAAUCCAUCUGAUAGUUAUGAAGUGCAUUAGUGCUCCACUACUAUCAUAACCCUUUAAAAAUAUCGCUUAAACACGAGAACCUAUUGCCUAAAAUUAUUUUUCAAGAAAAUGUAACUACAGAUUUGGUUUUGAUCUUCAUGACUUUUAAGUGUACAAGAACAAGAUGAACGAACCUUUGUCGAGUUGAUGAAUUAAGAUAAAUCAAUUACAAAUCGAGAACAAACUUACGGGUGACAUUUUAGUAUUAAGCAAACUAUAAUUGAUCAUUCAAUGAUAGGCUUAUUUUCAAUUAAAUUAGAGUAAAGAUAGACAUUCCAAAUUUUUUCUCUCAAAUUUAAUCCUAGAUAAUGUGUUAUUAAUUGAGUGCUUGGUAAUUCUUUCAAGAUCUAAGUGAAUUAAUUAUAUUAUCUCUCCAACCAAUUGAUGAAUAUUAUAUUAUUUGAGAUAAUUUUUUUUUAUCUCAAAUCCCAGCAAAGAAAACAGAACAAACGGAGCAAAAAUAUUUUUAGAAACCUAAAAUAACAAAAAAAAACUUUUUCUUGUUUUUCUUAUUUUCCACUGUUAAACUUCAAAAUGAACAACUUUAUUCUACCAUCUCUCAAAUAAUAAUAAUAACAACAAUGUCAUCAUCAUCAAUAAUAAUAAUAAUAUAUUAACUUUGUAGGAUGGAGCUCUCGCAAAUCUUCAAGACACAAAAUGUGCUUGACCCCAUUGUUGUUAUUAUAAUUUCAAAAUCAUCUGUAUUAUAUAAUAUUAGGGAAUAUGACAUAGCAAAAUUGAUGGUACAUAUGUUGCAAUAUACUUGUUCAUGUGGCGACACAUUGAAGUAAAGCACAAGCAAAACAACGAAAAAUGUAACGGGAGAGCUCUCAUUAUGUAGAUUUUCAAUAGAAGUAAUGCAAAUUUCACAAGGGCAAUGUCCUUAUUUCGAAUGCUGCACCUGAGGAAUGACUUGAAUCUUCUUUAGAACUCAAGCAUUCUGUAAUCAUAGAGUAUAACAUUUCAACAAAAAUAUUAUAUAGGUCGUUCCUUUAUAUAUUUUCUGGGUACACAUACAGAAAUAUUAUUUUAGGUACAUUUCUCACAAUAAAGCCUGCCCAAUCUAGCAUUUUCGUAAGUUGGGUUUCUUAUUUACAUGUUUUUUCCAUUGGUUAAUUAUCACAAACCUCCACUGAGAUUUAGCAUGUUUUUAGUUUGAUAGAUUGUAUUCGCGUAUUCUCAAAUACCUUUUAGUUUACCACUUCGUAUAAAUUAAGUUGGUGAGGAUAAAAUCAUAAAAGUACACAUUAAUGAUAAAAAAAUUCAAGUAAACUUGAAAUUUUCAAGGGGUAAUUUUUCGGGACCUCCCCUGAGAUUCGGUGUAUUAAAAAUCUCAUAGAAAGUAUUCAUGUAAUUAUAAGAACCUCCCCUGACGUUAGUACACAGUUAACUUGACUGUUAGUGGACUGAUAAAAAGUCAAAAAUGCCAUUGGCUACAAAAAUGAGUGCAACAAUUUGGAGUUAAAUAGUAAACACGGAGCACUAAAAAGUCUAUAAUAAUCAUGGAAAAAAAUCAUUGACAUUUACAUAAUAUAAAAAAAAAGUAAAAUAUAAAUUAAGAAAAUCAACAAAAUUGUCAACGUAUAGAAUAUUUACAGCAGCAGUGGCUAUAAAUACAACCGUCGUCAAAUUAAAAUAUCACCAUUAGUAAACUACUUCAAUAAGACAAUAAACCAUGAUUCACUCUUCAAAGCAUUCAAAAUACACAACCCGCACAAUAGAAUCACAUACGCACACCUGCUAAUGAAAUAUAAGAACAAACAGGAAAUUGAACUGACAUGGCUAAGAUACUCCUUCCCCAUAGCUAUUAGAAAGAUAAUGAGCGAUUUAUGAAUCAUGAUGCUUGCUUUACUUUCUGGCAGUGUUAGCUUCAAAUUCAAUGAUAGUAAAUGAACAAUGGUUCAUUCAUUAUGAAAGUAAGUGUAAAGCUAGGAAUUUAUAAUAUUCAGAUGUUGGAAUUGAAAAAAUAUUCCUUAAUCGUUUCAAUUGAAGCCAAGGAAGAAAAGAAAUGAGUCUUCUUUUUUCAGGAGACAAGCCAUAUGAAGAAGGCAGACCAGAGCAUAAGAACGAAUGCUACUGCCACAGUAAAAGCCUGGAUCAAUGGGUAAUGGUACCUGCCAUGUCAAUUUCAAGACAAACAAAAAUCAAUUAUCAUCCCCAGACCACAACACCACCAAACCAACCUUUUGAAUCUAAAAUAACAAGUUAAUAAAUCAAAGAUUUCAAUUCAUUUAAGUUUGAAAUCAACUAAAAUAGAAAAAAAAAACCCAAUUUCUUUUUUGUUCAAUAUAACUCAUUCAGCAUCUUCUUCAACACAUUUUUAUCAUUCUUCAUCAUCACAACAAUAAAAAGAAAAAAAAAACAUUGAGUCCAACAUGCAAGUUUUUUUUUGGGAAACUAACCGUUUUUAGGUUCCAAUUCUAGUAGUCUUAAACAGUAGCCGCCGACGAAAUUCGCUUGGCGACACCCUUUUGCCACCAUUGCAGCUUGUCAUGUUCAUACUCAGCUUAAAAUUACUUGAAGGCAGCAGGGAUUUUAUAGUUACAAAAGUUUCUUCAGAGCUUUUCAAGCUUGAAAAUGGCUGAGAGUUUCAUUUAAUGAGAGAGAAAAUGGAGUUUUCAUUCAUCUUAGAUAAAUUGAAGAUAAUUUGUAUUGUGGGUAAUAAAUUGAUUGUCAAUGCCUAAAUUUGGGUCAUCGACACAACUUUGGAAUUUUUUUUAUUUUUCUUUGAUUUUUAUUAUGAAACUACUAAUUUACCCUCAUAUACUAACAUAUAUGAAAUGGCAUACUAACGUCAGUUAUGUCAAGCAGCUCCCUGUAAUUACGUGAAUAUUUUCCAUGAGACUGUCAAUACACAAAAUUUCAGGGGAAAUCCCUAAACAUUACCUAAUUUUUAAGUUGUGUUCUGAAAUUGGUCUCAACUUUGUAAUGUGUAAUGCCCACAAAAAAAGAAAAGGAAAAAUGGUCAUCUCUUUCCUCCAUUCGAACUGAAGCCAUGAAACGCAAUAUCCCUUUCAUCUUCUCUCUAAUGCUUUGAUUAAAAAACUUGCUUACGAACGGGAGACCAUGACACUGAAUCCGAAGACAGAAAUACCUGAGAUGACUGAUUCACGCCGGCGAUGUGGAAGAAUACCGACCAGUGACUUUCGCCGUCGACCCACAAACAAUCCCAGUGUUUUCGAGCCGCCAAUGAGGUAUGAAUAAGAUUAUUUCCGUGCGUGUCAGUUUUGUAAGGAGAUUUGAUUAAAAAAAAGAAUAAUGGGUCUCGAAAUUUUUUUGAGUAUUUCUGUUGCUUAAAUUUUUUUCCAUCGAUUAAUGUUAGUUGUAGGUGAAUGAUUGUUGCAAACGCAUGUUCGCUUGUGAUUGAUUGAAAAUGACUUGUUAUUUGUUAUGCUGCCAUGUGACUCAUUGAAAAUGCCUCUGAAAUUUUUUUAUUUGUUUAAGGUACUGAUUCUGAUUAUUGAACAGGGAUUCAUGCUAGUUUUUAUUAAAUUAAAGAUGAGAUUAUUUUUUAAGAGAUCUACCAAACCUUCUCUACUAUAGAUUUGGCAUCUGACAUACCUGGUUCGCUGGAGAUAAUUGUUUAUAUAGUCAUUGCUGCUCGUAUUAAUCAGGAACAUUGAUUAGCAAUGUACUGGAAUAGAGAUUGGUAUAAUUUUGGAAAAUUAGUCGUAGAUGCAACCUGAUUAUGGUCUCAAAUAGUGUGAUCUGUCAAUUCCGUUUGCUCUAGCCUAACAACCUUGAAUCUGAGCUAUGCCACUAUACAAAGUCCUGACCUAAUCAAGCUUGUUAGCCAAUGUCCAAAAUUGCAGUGUCUUUAGAUAAGCCCUGUCUUACUUGUUUGAGUUAUAAAUGAAAAUUGAAGUGUCUUUGGAUAAUCACGCUGAAUGUUCAAGUUAUUGAAGAGAAGGGACCCCCAGAUUCAAGGCCGGAGCUCCCUGUUGAGAAGCUUUACAUAUAUGGGAUUGUCGCUGGGCGGAGGAUCGAUAUGCCCGGUUUUGUUUGGAAUAGGGAUGAAGAUUUUGCAUUGAGGCUUUCUUGAUAGAUCAUUCUGCAAAUCAAGCUCCAUGUACCUAUCUUCAGACUCUUGGAUAUGUAUAAAGCAGGUGCAUGCUCUAUAUGUUACUCAUUGUAUCACGAUUAUUUUUCUAUUGCUUAAAAUAAUUGCAGUCCUUGAUGUAGUUGGAGACAACUUAUGGAGGGUAUACAGAGGCUCGAGAGUUUGAUUGCCAUUCAUUUGACACUUGGCUGAGCUACAGCAUACCAACUAGUGAUUAAUAAAGAGAAGGUAUGAAGGUCCUGUUGCUGGUGGUAUUAUCAAUCAGAAUUGUUAUUUUACUUAGUCAUAGUUACCAUGUAUAAGAUUCGUAGACUUUUUGCAUGUUUAUGCAUUCGCAUCAUCUUUUUGUUAAGCUAGAGAUGGUUGAUUUGUGUACUCAUUUGUAUCACUUGUAGCCCUUGAGGAAUAAAAUUUAAAAUUUUGUUGCAUCUCCUGUACUAAAUACUAAUUUUGUUUGCUUUAUGUAUGGGAAAUGGUUCAUUAUCUUAUUUCUUUGAUGUGUAUAGUGUUACACUGUCUAAAGUUGAAAAGUAUUUCUAUCACUUGUGUAAAAAACAAACAAUUUUUUUUUCACUCUUCUUAUAUUGAAUAAAAGAGGGACACCAAGAUCUUCACCAAGAUUGAACGAAAUUUGAUGCAGAAAGCAUAGCAAUUAGGCCAGUGCAAAAUAGCUUCCUUCUGAUUCUCUGAUAUUUGACUUAAAUCUUUUGUUUGUUUCAUUCAUCAAAGUCAUUUUGGAAAGUAGCAGGCGUGAUUUGAUAUUUUCAUUGUAUUCACAUCCGUUGGCACCAAAACAAACAUGCUGGUACUAACCAACAAUUUUUUAUUUUUAGUGUACAAAUUAGUUUUUUUAAGACAAAUAAGCUGGUACUAACCAACAAUAUUUUAUUUUCAGUAUACAAAUUAUUAUUUUUUUUUCUAAAUUAGGGGUAUUAAGAAAAGGUAUGCAAGCACCAGGGGAGGUAUUUGAAAAUAUACAAAUACAAUCUAUCAAACUGAGAAUACACCAAACCGGCAGGUUUCUGAUAAAUCCUUUUUUUCUUUUUCCUCCAUUCACUAUAGGUUCAAUUUAGACGCUGUUGACCAAACAGAAGGUUUGGGUUGGUAAACGCACUGGUGUUAAUGCCAACAACCCAAGGCGCUUCAUGGUCCUCUGGGCCGAAAUAGCGUAAUUAUUAAUUCUCCUCCAGUGAAAAUCUUCAUCUUGGGACAAAUACUUACGAAUUGACAUUAUAGCUGUGGAAAUUUGGAGGUGUAAUAACCGGAAAAGUAAAAAUCUUAAGAGACUUUUUAAAUAAAAAAGAUACAACACCUUCAAUUUGCUAAAAGUAAUGGUAUCAUUUCUUGUACGGAUAAUGGAUGAUUAGAUUUUGUUUUUUGUUAUCCGACGAAGGAUAUUCAGUUGUUCUUUAUGUGUUCACAGGCAAGAGCAUGAGCAUAUUCAUGGUUUCAUAUAUGCUUCUUGCAUUUUCUAAUUAAGUACUCUCUUUCCUUGCCUUCUUAGUUUUGAAAGAAAGAUGUGAAGCAAAGCAAACCCAGUGAAAUAUACAGAGAAACAGAACCAUCAGAGGAAAAACUAAAUAACAGAACCACAAUUGAACCAAACAAAAUCAAAUAAACCGAGGCAACGGAUACCCUGAAUCAGGCAUCCCUUUUUCUCGAAAGAAAAUAUGUUUGCAUGGGUGGGAACCUAAUAAUUACUCAAGAGUUGGAGUUGGAAAGAUUUGGUAUUCAUAUCUUCACAAUUCAUAAGCUUUAAUGCAGAAUCGACAGCUUUAUAUUAAUUUAUUCAACCAAAAACGAUAAAGUAGGAAAACCACAAUAAUCCACCAACUUUUGCUACUUUUAGGAAUAAUUUUUGGUCAACUUUCAAAAAGUGAGAUGACGAUCUUUGAGUUGAUAAAUCUUGGCCUGCUGCUUAGUACCCUUCCAACAUAUAAAGUACUAGAUGUUUAGCUGAGAAAAUGACGAGAUCAUUUAUCAAAUUUCUUGCGCAUAUAUACAUAUAUAUACAAGAAAUAAGAAUCAGAGUGAUUAUAAGACCUUUGCAAUGAGGCAAUAAAUACAUCAUCAAAUCUAAAAAUACACAAGAAAUUCGUGACGUAUAUAUAACAAUAGACCUCUCAUUGAGUCAUAGAUAUUGAGAAUAAAAUGUCAAAAUGCAUACAAAGAGCUUAUACAGAAAAUGAAUUUACACACAUUUAGAAUAAACUGUCUUUGAACUUCCGAUGGUCAAACAAAGGAAACAGACAGGAAAUGACACACACUAUCAUAUAUGUAGGGACACGAUGAAGUAAAUCACAUGAAGAUGGAAACGGAACCCCUCACAACAUAAAAUUUGAAUAAAGGGGGAAAAAAAGGCUUCAUUUCAAAUGUUGCACAGAAGAAGAGUGACUUGAAUCUCCAUCAGUAUCCAGACAUUCUACAAACACAGUGCUGAGAAUUUUAACAAGAAUAACAGACAAAAUAUUGUGCUUCUAUAUUUUUCACAGAACUAGACCAAAUCAGUUCCCUUUUUGGUUUGUGAAAACUUGAUAUUUUUGAAAAUUCUAUCCAAUGCUUUCAAACAAUAUUUCCACAAUAUAGUUGUUCAUAGCUAACCUUUGAUGGUGUAAGGAUUUGUUGUAGGCAUAAUGGGCUAAUUAUAUAUAUAUAUAUAUAUUUUACCCGCUGAAUGAUAUUCAGCUUCCAAGUUUCCAAAGAACAAACAGAGCAGAAACAAAUAUAACGGAACAGCAAUGAUGACGAUAAAUGAUUGGCAAAGAAAGAAAGAAAAAAGUUCGCAUGAUUUCAAGGAAUUAUAAUAUCUGAAGACAUUCAACAUGCAAGUGUUGCCCCUUUUAAUGAAAUUUCAUCAUAAAAUGCUUGCAAGGAAUUAUAAAAUUUUAGAGAACAAGCGAAUUCUCAAACAAAAUACUCAAAUUAAAUUAAAUUAGACCAAAAGACAAUCAAUGACGCAAAAUCUGCCCAUAAAAGCCUGAACGAAUCAUGAAAAGUGCAUUCCAUAUUGACAGUAAACCAAGUGACCCAUUCUAAACAAUUGAGAUGAAAUUGUGAAACAACCCACGAGAUCAAAUAAAUAAAAUAAGAAUUAAUUACCAGCUGGGACUUUCUUCUUCAAAUUCGUAACUCCAAGUCAUAAGAAGGCUAUGAAAUUAGUCGUAAUCCACAGAGUAUGACGACGACCCCGCCAACAGCUGAAAAUAAAAUUCUUAUUCAUCAAUUUAAACUAACUUUAUAACAAAUAUCUUAUCGAUAUUUUAUUUAAAAAGAAAAAGCAAAUUUUGUAAAAUUUUUCUAUGGGAGAUAGAGAGUAACAUGUAUAUCCGUACCUUCUCAGCAUGUAAUUGUUGUAUGGUCGUGUUAAGAUCAUUAUUAGCCCAACGCCGUUGAUCCGCUGUCUCUCCAUAGCAGACGUUUACUCUUAGAGUCGUGAUUGAUUCUCCUGUAGUGAAAAUCUUCAUCUUGGGACAACCAAUCACCCACAAAUCUUGCAAAGAUGGGAAUUUGAAGGUGUAAUUGGCAGAGCAGAAACUUGUGAGGCUGUCUAAAUCACGCAGGUCCAACGCCUUCAAUUUGGGGAAAACAAUCUCUUCUUUUUCAACCCCGUCUUUGUCAUUUAUUACCACGUCUGACAUUGCUCUGCAUCCGUAUACACAAAGUGAUACGAGUCGCACUAGAGUUUUUGCUGUGGAGGAUGUUACUAAGUGUAUCAAUUUCUUGCAAUCGAAAGCUACAAGUUUUGUUAGGUUCCCAAAAGAUACCGACGAUGAUGGCAAUAGAAUUAACAGACUUUGACAAUGAUAUACUUUUAGAAUUUCAAGAUGCUGAAAAAUGGGGCCAAGUUUGGAAUCUUGUUUGCACAGCUGCUUCAGAUGAUAGUGCCGAUGCAGCUUUAAUUCUUUUAUCAUUGCCAACUUCCCCACAUGUUUCUCUAAGCUUCGAGAUUGUGAAAUCUCUCCAGUACGUUCCAGAUUGGAAAACCAGCUGAGUCAUCUGCAGCAAUCUCUAGUUCUCUAAGACUGCCAAAAAGGUGUUGUGGGAAAUCGGCCUGCAAAAUCAUCUUCACAUCUUUUCCACUUAGUGAUAGUUCCUUCAAGUUGGGUACGAUCUGAUCAUCAUCAAUCAUAAUAACUAAUGAGGUCAAUUGAUGAUCUACGGUCACACACAGUGACUUUAUAGUAUUUGUUUUAUAUUAUAUUUUUAAAAAAAUUGAAUUAUUGAUAAAAUUUAUUUUAUAUGUUAAUUUUAGAGGUAAAAAAGAAAUUAGAGAAAAAGGUUGAUUUAUACUGGCUCGAAAUUAUUUUAUUGCACAAUAAUAAAUUACUAAUUUAUUUUGUAAGUUCUUCUAUAUGGAAAGACUAAGGAUUUUUUUAUAAAUGCUAUACCAAAAAAAGUUCAUAUAAUUAUUAAUCUACCACAUUGAUCUCUUAAUCUAGACUAGCAAAGAUUAUUGUAUAAUAAAAGUUUUCAAUUUAUUGAGUAUUAAUUUAUCGAUGCUUUGUCAUAUUUUUCAAAGUUAAAAAUAAGCUAUAGACAAAAAAUCUAGAAAAUGGUUUCAUACCUUUUCCAACGGCAAUGGGGGCUGUUGUGCAGGAAUGCCAAGUUGAUCAUUCUGCGAUAAAUCUGCAGUGAAUAUCUUUAAUUUGUCACAAAAAUACACAAAAAGAAUUUCUAGCGCGGGCCAUUCCGAAGUAUGCAUUCCAGGGUACAAACAUCUAAGUUUUGGUAGACCUUCGAGUCUCAGAGUGGUGAGCUGUGGAAAGACAAAAUAAGGGAUAACUUCAUCUGCUCUGUUCUCAGAAAUGAUCUCCUGGAAAUCCUCACAGAAGCGUACUUCUAGGUGUUGGAGCUGCUUAAGGCUUCCGAUCAUAGACGCUGAAAAUAUGUAUUUUAAUUUGUUACAACGCCACACAAUCAAUCGUGUUAAAUUUUGAAAGCGAGGAAACAUGACCGGAAGAUGAUUGUAGUGCCAAAUCUUGUCGACAUUAAUUGCAGAUAUCUCCAAAGCCUCCAAGUUGGGCAACGCAACCUAAAAAAAUAAGAAUUUCUCGUUAGAUCCAAUAUCCAAAUGGGAAGCACUUGUUGAAAUUUUCUUCUUUGAUUACAAAUUAAUGCAAGUCUGAAUCAAUUUCCAACUGACAGCUGAGUAUGCAUUCUAAUUCAUACUACUUGUUAAGAGCUCAAUUAGUGAGCGCGUGAGAUUCUUUUUAUCCUUUUUUCCAUUUUCUUUCAAUUCUUUAAAUGAUUUAAUUAUUUCCACGUAUGACGUCAAAAGAGAACGUUAUAUAUGAAUAAAAUCUGUUAUAUAUGAAGAAAAUGUUAGCCUACGCACCUUCUCGUUGAAAAGCAGAGUUGAAGUAUCCAAAGUGAUUUCGCUGGAGCAAUACGUAGUCGUCGAUUCCUCUUGCGACGCUGGUCUGUUCGGUGAUGCUGAAGGAGUCUUUACUUCACGGCAGAAAUUUGUAACCUCUGGAAGAUUCCCCAGACUCAAAGAUCUUAAUUGAGCAAACUCUAUCUUCUCAAUUGCAUUAUCAACUUCAUCCCCAAUUGAAAAAAUUUCUUUCAUCUUGCUGCAAUUAAUAACUGCAAUUCUCUCAAGUCUUGGAAGGCAUUUUGUAGUGGAGAGCCAAAAGAUAUUGCUUAACUUAUCACAAUUAUAUGCUUCUACGGUUUUGAGUUUGUUGAAAGACUCUACUUUGAGCCGAUCAAUACAUAUCCUCUCCAUGUUGAUCAAAUUGUGAAGGAUAAGUGACUCCAAAAGAGGAAAGGCAUCACAAGCGACCAUCGCCCUUGAAUCGACGAUGCAAAAGAAGUCAGGAUUAUUUUGAACCCAGAGAAGCUUCAAUUGUGAAAAGCCCUCCGUGUCCAAAUUGAAAAGAACAUCCUCGAUGCCUUGCAGCUUGUCCAACCAUAAGUAUUCAACGUUAUUGAUGCCCUGCAAUUUCAUGGAGCAAAUGUUCAUAAAAUCAAGCUUGAGCUUCAAUGCUCUUAAUCUCUUCCGAUCACUGUUGAUCGAAAAGUGCAGCUGACUUUUGAACCAAUUUUGUCUAACACUCUUGGGAGGCAUGAACGACUCAUUUGCAAUAGAUAUUUUGAACCUUUCGAGCUUUCUGGCCAAAAAACCUUCUGGUAAAAUACUGUCAUUUUUAACGUCAAUUUCUAGAGUGGUUAGCCGAGGUAAAUGCAUCAAUUCGUCAAGGCUAGCAUUACUUCUUUUGCUGUUGGCUCUUUCAACCUCCCAUUCAAUGAAGCAAUUACCCAUAUACAGCUCUUCUAGUCGAGUUAAGCUUGCAUGAGAUUGGGCGCAAUAACUUUUAGAUGGAAACAAUUGGGUUAAAUCUAACAAUCUCAACUUAUUCAAUUGACCUAGUUCUUCUGGCAACUGCAUAAUAUCAGACAUCAAAAAGCUAAGGACUUCUAGAUUCUUCAACUUCCCAAUGAUUGCUAUGUCGCCCAACGCACUUUGAUCCAGACAUAGUGGUGUGGAAGAUUUACUAGAAGAUCAAUUGAAGGAUGGAAAAGAAGGACAAUAACCGCAUUCCAGUAAAANNNNNNNNNNNNNNNNNNNNNNNNNNNNNNNNNNNNNNNNNNNNNNNNNNNNNNNNNNNNNNNNNNNNNNNNNNNNNNNNNNNNNNNNNNNNNNNNNNNNNNNNNNNNNNNNNNNNNNNNNNNNNNNNNNNNNNNNNNNNNNNNNNNNNNNNNNNNNNNNNNNNNNNNNNNNNNNNNNNNNNNNNNNNNNNNNNNNNNNNNNNNNNNNNNNNNNNNNNNNNNNNNNNNNNNNNNNNNNNNNNNNNNNNNNNNNNNNNNNNNNNNNNNNNNNNNNNNNNNNNNNNNNNNNNNNNNNNNNNNNNNNNNNNNNNNNNNNNNNNNNNNNNNNNNNNNNNNNNNNNNNNNNNNNNNNNNNNNNNNNNNNNNNNNNNNNNNNNNNNNNNNNNNNNNNNNNNNNNNNNNNNNNNNNNNNNNNNNNNNNNNNNNNNNNNNNNNNNNNNNNNNNNNNNNNNNNNNNNNNNNNNNNNNNNNNNNNNNNNNNNNNNNNNNNNNNNNNNNNNNNNNNNNNNNNNNNNNNNNNNNNNNNNNNNNNNNNNNNNNNNNNNNNNNNNNNNNNNNNNNNNNNNNNNNNNNNNNNNNNNNNNNNNNNNNNNNNNNNNNNNNNNNNNNNNNNNNNNNNNNNNNNNNNNNNNNNNNNNNNNNNNNNNNNNNNNNNNNNNNNNNNNNNNNNNNNNNNNNNNNNNNNNNNNNNNNNNNNNNNNNNNNNNNNNNNNNNNNNNNNNNNNNNNNNNNNNNNNNNNNNNNNNNNNNNNNNNNNNNNNNNNNNNNNNNNNNNNNNNNNNNNNNNNNNNNNNNNNNNNNNNNNNNNNNNNNNNNNNNNNNNNNNNNNNNNNNNNNNNNNNNNNNNNNNNNNNNNNNNNNNNNNNNNNNNNNNNNNNNNNNNNNNNNNNNNNNNNNNNNNNNNNNNNNNNNNNNNNNNNNNNNNNNNNNNNNNNNNNNNNNNNNNNNNNNNNNNNNNNNNNNNNNNNNNNNNNNNNNNNNNNNNNNNNNNNNNNNNNNNNNNNNNNNNNNNNNNNNNNNNNNNNNNNNNNNNNNNNNNNNNNNNNNNNNNNNNNNNNNNNNNNNNNNNNNNNNNNNNNNNNNNNNNNNNNNNNNNNNNNNNNNNNNNNNNNNNNNNNNNNNNNNNNNNNNNNNNNNNNNNNNNNNNNNNNNNNNNNNNNNNNNNNNNNNNNNNNNNNNNNNNNNNNNNNNNNNNNNNNNNNNNNNNNNNNNNNNNNNNNNNNNNNNNNNNNNNNNNNNNNNNNNNNNNNNNNNNNNNNNNNNNNNNNNNNNNNNNNNNNNNNNNNNNNNNNNNNNNNNNNNNNNNNNNNNNNNNNNNNNNNNNNNNNNNNNNNNNNNNNNNNNNNNNNNNNNNNNNNNNNNNNNNNNNNNNNNNNNNNNNNNNNNNNNNNNNNNNNNNNNNNNNNNNNNNNNNNNNNNNNNNNNNNNNNNNNNNNNNNNNNNNNNNNNNNNNNNNNNNNNNNNNNNNNNNNNNNNNNNNNNNNNAUGCUUCUCCUUUCAUCCUUGAGCUUGUCUAUUUCUGCCUUGAGAUUCUCAACGUUGGCUUUAUAGUUACGCAAAUAACCAAAUCGGCGUUCUAUUGGAGGAGCCAAGCAUUUCAAAAAUUGUAAAACAACAGUAACAAUGCUUUCCACCAUCCUGGAUCCUUUUUUUUUUUUUUCAAAGUUCUGACAAGAAAAUAAACAAGGAGCGAAACACAGAGAGAGUGAAAAAAAAAAAAGCGAAACAACGAAGAUGGACAGUUUAUCCGGUUCUGGAAGCGGAGAAAUGAAAGAAAGAGUAAAAGCUGUUAUGGAUCUGGUGAGAAGAUGGAAACAAGGAAAAGGUUUCUAGUUCGAGAACUGAUUGAGUUAAUAUAAGGAAUGAUUUAGAUAAUAGAGGCAAAGGGAACCAAUCAAAAUAACUGAAGUAUUGUGCAGAAGAAAGACGGAAAAAAUAGACUGGUAAUAGAGAUGGAAAAAAUGAAGAUAUCUUGACACGGUAGAAGUACAAAGGGUAGAUAUGGAACCAAACAGAGACAACAGCAGGCCACAACAAGAUUGGGAAUGGAGAGAAACUAAUUAACGAAGACUGGAGAUUACAACAAAACAGAUGCCAAGAGAAAACUUGAUCCUGUGAAAUUCAAGUUAGCUGACGAAUACGGGGAUCAAGAGGGAAAAACUGCUUGCUCGUAAAACUACUUUCAAGCGAAUCUGAUAAAAUUAAUUUUUAAACUGCAGAACAGGUAGAAUAUCAGAUUGAUUAAUUUAAGAAACCCUUGCUUCAGUUUUAAGUAAGAUCUUUUUUUUUUUUUUUAUAAUUUCUCCGAAUGCUCUUUCAAUGGAAGGCAUAUGAUCAUUUUGUAUUCAGUAUACAAAGAUUAAAGAUGAUCCUUUUUCUAAUUUAUUAAUUAAAUAAGGUUCUCUGACAUCUUCUUGCAUGAGUUGUCCCCCUGGUUUGUUAUCAUCUUAUGAAAUUCUCGCAUGCCCGAUUUUCUUUUAUUAAAUUAUAUAUUAAAGUUUUCAAUGAUGAAAUUAAUCGUCAUCAUGUGCCGGCAUGCAUGUAUUGGUUGAUGUCACGUUUUGCAAGUAUGCUGGAUAAAAUUAAUUUUCAAAAUUAAUUAAUAAAAUGUAACGUAAGUUGUUGAAAGAAACUUCAUAUUUAUCCUGAAGCAUUCAACUCAGUUCUUUUACUCUAUGAUAAAUGUAUUUUAAAAAUUACCAAUAAUUGAGAAUAAAAUAAGGACAAAACAUUAAAAAUCGAACACAACUCAUGUUUUACUUGAGUUUUAUAUUUAUGCUGAUACAUACUUUGGACACAUUCUUUGGAAAAGACAUUGACAUUGGCGUGCAUCAUCAAAUUUGUUAGUGAAAAACCAUAAUUAUAUAUUACUACAUUUACAAAUUUUGUAUAAAAGGUUUUAAAGGUUUGCUACAUAGACCUCUAAAAAUUCCAGAAAUGAUUAUAUAUACCUUUUUACAAUUAUAUCAUUUGGUUAUAAUCAAAUUUUUUACAAUAAAUACAAAUAACAUAUUAAGAUAACUAUGAGUAGCAAAAUAGUAUUUCAAAUAUGAAAACAUAUUAAAUGCAUAUAAUUAAUAAAGUAAGAAAUAUAAAGAGUAAACUAUUAUCUAUAUGUCCAGCCAGAUUUAUUAAUACUAAUCCAUUAACCCAAAGAUUGACUUUAAAAUUCAUACUAUACAUAAUAUUCACAUAAUACAACAUAAUUUUUUUAAAUUAAUUAUUUUGAAUGUUAAAUAUAACUAUUUUUUUAAUUUAUCUUCUAUGAAUUCAAAUAUCCCCUUUAAACUGCAGAAGGAGAAAAAAGAAAUGUUCUGAAUUUCAAUGUAUUAAUUUUAACCUAAUUUAGUUGAGACUCGUAAUCUCGUCUCAAUGAUUAAUUAGUAGAUAAUCUUUCUAAUAAAUAUAUGUUGAAUAGAUAUAUUUCUUGACUAUUAAUAGGUUAGAUAUAUUUUAGCAUAGGAAUGAAAGUACAAGUUGUGUCAUAUUACCAGGAAAGUGUAUCAAUUUCUUGCAAUCGAAAGCUACAAGUUCUGUUAGGUUCCCAAAAGAUACCGAUGAUGAUGGCAAUAGAAUUAACAGACUUUGACAAUAAUAUACUCUUAGAAUUUCAAGAUACUGAAAAAUGGGGCCAAGUUUGGAGUCUUGUUUGCACGGCUGCUUCAGAUGAUAGUGCCGGUACAGCUUUAAUUCUUUCCCACAUGUUUCUCUAAGCAUCCUUCCUUCGAAAAUUCCUCUUCGUUGAAUGAAAAAUAAACCAGUGCGAGUAUUUCGAGAUUGUGAAAUCUCUCCAGUACGUUCCAGAUUGGAAAACAAGCUGAGUCAUCUCCAAAAAUCUCUAGUUGUUUAAGACUGCCAAAAACGUGUUGUGGGAAAUCGGCCUGCAAAAUCAUCUUCACAUCUUUUCCACUUAGUGAUAGUUCCUUCAAGUUGGGUACGAUCUGAUCAUCAUCAAUCAUAAUAACUAAUGAGGUCAAUUGAUGUUCUUUCAAAUGAUUUUGAGUAAUCCAAUCACAAGCAGUGACUUUAUAGUAUUUAUUUUAUAUUAAUUUUACCCCUAAAAAAAUUGAAUUAGUGAUAAAAUUCAUUAUAUGAUUUUUUUUAUAUGUUAGUUUUAGAGGUAAUAAAGAAAUUAGGGAAAAAAUGAAAUUAUUUAUGCAUGANNNNNNNNNNNNNNNNNNNNNNNNNNNNNNNNNNNNNNNNNNNNNNNNNNNNNNNNNNNNNNNNNNNNNNNNNNNNNNNNNNNNNNNNNNNNNNNNNNNNNNNNNNNNNNNNNNNNNNNNNNNNNNNNNNNNNNNNNNNNNNNNNNNNNNNNNNNNNNNNNNNNNNNNNNNNNNNNNNNAAGUAUUAAUUUAUCGAUGCUUUGUCAUAUUUUUCAAACUUAAAAGUAAGCUAUGAAAAAAAAAUCUAGAAAAUGGUUUCAUACCUUUAUAUAUAUAUAUAAAGAAAAUGUAAGCUUACGCACCUUCUCGUUGAAAAGCAGGGUUGAAGUAUCCAAAGUGAUUUCGCUGGAGCCAUACAUAGUCGUCGAUUCCUCUUGCGACACUGGUCUGUUUGGUGAUGCUGAAGGAGUCUUCACUUCACGGCAGAAACUUGUAACCUCUGGAAGAUUCCCCAGGCUCAAAGAUCUUAAUUGAGCAAACUCUAUCUUCUCAAUUGCAUUAUCAACUUCUUCCCCAAUUGCAAAAAUCUCUUUCAUCUUGCUGCAAUUAACAACUGCAAUUCUCUCAAGUCUUGGAAGGCAUUUUGUUGUAGAGAGCCAAAAGAUAUUGCUUAACUUAUCACAAUUAUAUGCUUCUACGGUUUUGAGUUUGUUGAAAGACUCUACUUUGAGCCGAUCAAUACAUAUCCUCUCCAUGUUGAUCAAAUUGUGAAGGAUAAGUGACUCCAAAAGAGGAAAGGCAUCACAAGCGACCAUCGCCCUUGAAUCGACGAUGCAAAAGAAGUCAGGAUUAUUUUGAACCCAGAGAAGCUUCAAUUGUGAAAAGCCCUCCGUGUCCAAAUUGAAAAGAACAUCCUCGAUGCCUUGCAGCUUGUCCAACCAUAAGUAUUCAACGUUAUUGAUGCCCUGCAAUUUCAUGGAGCAAAUGUUCAUAAAAUCAAGCUUGAGCUUCAAUGCUCUUAAUCUCUUCCGAUCACUGUUGAUCGAAAAGUGCAGCUGACUUUUGAACCAAUUUUGUCUAACACUCUUGGGAGGCAUGAACGACUCAUUUGCAAUAGAUAUUUUGAACCUUUCGAGCUUUCUGGCCAAAAAACCUUCUGGUAAAAUACUGUCAUUUUUAACGUCAAUUUCUAGAGUGGUUAGCCGAGGUAAAUGCAUCAAUUCGUCAAGGCUAGCAUUACUUCUUUUGCUGUUGGCUCUUUCAACCUCCCAUUCAAUGAAGCAAUUACCCAUAUACAGCUCUUCUAGUCGAGUUAAGCUUGAUAUGAGAUUGGGCGCAAUAACUUUUAGAUGGAAACAAUUGGUUAAAUCUAACAAUCUCAACUUAUUCAAUUGACCUAGUUCUUCUGGCAACUGCAUAAUAUCAGACAUCAAAAAGCUAAGGACUUCUAGAUUCUUCAACUUCCCAAUGAUUGCUAUGUCGCCCAACGCACUUUGAUCCAGACAUAGUGUGUGAAGAUUUACUAGAAGAUCAAUUGAAGAUGGAAAAGAAGAAACCUGCAUUCGGGUAAAAUCCAGAACUCUAAGCUUUUUCAUCCCUACAAAAAAGUUCUCAGGAAUAUUGAUUUCAAGAGAAGAAUCUUUGAGAGAGAUAAAUAAAAGUUCAAGGUUUGGGCAUUCUAAUCCUUCAGGAAAUUCACGAUUACUAUUAUUUAUUAAAGAGAUAGCAUUGCAUUUUCGUAGUGCAUCCUCAUCUGGCCAGUCCCACACAUCCUCAUCAUUUCUCACCGAAAACACGUGUUGGUGGCGGCAUGCAAUUGAUAUUGCGACAUCGCAAACAACAUCAUGCAUUGAAAAUCGUUCAUUGCUAUCACCCUCAAGCAACAAACAAGAGUCUCUAAGUUCAUGGACCAAUGCAUAUAAUUUGUCUCGUGCAUCUUCCAUCUUAUUGACUCCUUUAAAUAUACCCAAACCCAUGGAGUACUUGAACAAGUCCGAAGUAUUAUGGCUCUCCAUUAGACUACAGAGCAGAAAAAUUUUCUUGAGUUGCUCACCUUUUAAAUGGUUGAAACUGAGCUCAAUACUUGAAUAAGUCUCUGCAGAUACCCCUUCGAAGUUUACCAUUGAAGGCGUUUGGAGUUCUCGCAAGGAAUUCUUCCAUUCAUGCAGACUCUUGCCUCUCAGUGCCUUUGCUACUGUAGUCAAGGCAAUGGGCAAACCUCCACAUGCCCUGGCGACGUCUAUUGCUGUAGAUUUCAACUCACGAUUUUCAACAUCAUCACCGGCCAUCAUCUUAAACAAUCUCCAGGCUUCUUCUUCAUUUAAAUUGUUUAUCAAAAAGUUGUCUUUAGAACCCAUUUUUAAGAGGACACUACGAUCUCUUGCCGUUAGCAGUAGUUUGCAGCCUUUAUGAUCUUCUCCAAAAGGAAUUCCAACUGUCUCCAAAUCAAGGUGUUUCCAAAUGUUAUCUAAAACCACAAGGAUCUUCUUGUGAUUUCUCAAUCGCUCAAAUAGUCUACUUGCUCUUCUAGAUUCAACUUCCUCGUGCAGCUCCAGGCCCAACUUCUCGGCAAUUUCCUGUUGAAUCUUUUUUAUGUCUGGAGUUUGGGAAACCUCUGAAAAGACCACCAUAUCAAAGAGCUUGUCUUCCAUAGCUUGCCUGGCGACCUUCUUCACCAGUGUCGUCUUUCCAAUGCCGCCCAUGCCGUACACCCCAAUGAUGCUGACAUUAACAUCGAUCAAUGCUUUUUUUAUAGCCUCAAAAGUAGAACGUCUUGAUUCGAAGGCCUCGUAGCCUUUGUGAGACUUGAGCCAAAUCUCCUCCGGAAUGGUACGGUAGGAAAUUCUAUCAUCAAAUCUCCCAGCUUCUUCUCGGAGUUUAAAAAGGGCCUCCUUCUC
rnacentral:lncRNA from 1 species